rnacentral:lncRNA from 1 species
AGGCAAUGAAAGGUUGAGUACUUCAACUCAAUCUGCGAAUGAUCGCAUAACUACACAAGAGGUUGGAGGCCUAGAGAAAAAUUAGGAGAUCCCAAAAGGAUCUCUUACAUGCUCAAAAAGCAUUUGCAAGGAACAAAGGUGUGUAGGGUAUUCAAUAGCUUGAUUGCAAAACCAUAUGGGUUUAUUAAUUGAUCAAAAGUUGUUUGCUGGUGGUACAUAGUGAUAUUUAUAAAAGUGGCAAUCUUUCUAGCUGGAUAUGAACAUAAAUCACCAUGUUGGAUGGUCAACUGGUUCAAGCAUUUUUUUGUUGUAUUGAAAAGUAGACUUGAUAAACUUUCCAACCAUAUAUACUAUACACCUCAAAAUGUUACAGGUCGGUACAAACUUCACAAGAAGUGAAAGCACUUAUCAUGUAACUUUAAUUUGAGUCUUAUGCGCAUAACCCUACUUAACUUAGGAAGCAUUCAUGGUGUCCUUUGUGUAAUCCUAUAUUCUCCGAUCCAUAUAAUCCAUAAGAGGAGACUGAUGCAUAGACCUGAGUAAGAGUAGCAUACAAGACUUACAUAACAUAUAAUUUCCAUCAAUAUUAAAAUGUACCUCAUAGAGGAAAGCAUGCACAUAUUGUUGUAGUUUUUUUGCAUGACCGCCCAUAACCAGUCCUUCAUACACAUGUGCAUGCUUAUUCGAUACUUGGUUUUGUGUAAUCGAUCUGGCUAUUAAUUCUUCACAUGUAACCACCUAACCAGCGAUGCUAAUGUAACUGAUUUUGAUAUUGUGUUGGUUGGGAUGUCCUCGUCAUAAGUCGUGCACAUACUUUCUAAUAUUAAAACUUGUAUCCCAAUUGGAGUUUCACUCUCAUUGGAUAAGGUGCCAUGUCAACUUUUCUUCGUGUUUUGGCAAGGAAUUAAUAAAGAGAGAGAUGAGUGGUUUCAUCUAGGAAAAAUCAUGUGUGUGAUGUUUCCAAUAUAGUUUAUCUCUACAUGUAUUGCAUGAAACUGAAAAAAACACACAUUAUAUGAGCUAAGGGCCCGUUUAGCACAGCUCAGACUCGUGAAAAAAUGGAUUUGGCUCUGGCUCCUUUGGUGAAGCAGCUUUUUCGAACUCUGGCUUGUCUUGUUGGGAAAACAUUUAGCAAAACAGCUUCUCCUGAUGUAUAGAAGAUGUAAAAUGUCCACAAUACGCUUAUAUUUUUUUCUUUCAUUUUCCCUCUUUUCUUCCUAUUUCUCUUCCUUUCCUAUUUCUCUUUCCUUUCUCUUCAUUUCCUAUUUCUCAUUCUUCUCCAACAUUAUAUUCUUCGUGGUCCUCCUCCUGCCCCUCACCCGCGCCCCCACCUCCGGUCCACUUGCCCCCUUCCACGCGCCUCCACCUCCGGCUGGCCUCCGCCGCCGGUGCUGCGCCCUGUGGAAUCACCAGCACAUCAGGCGCAUCCGCCGCCGCUAGUGCUCCUUGCGUCAUCUCGCCGGAGCUCCACCCGCCGUUGGUCCGCCUCAAGCCGGCACUCGUGCAUGUGGCUCAGCCUCGCCAUCGACCAGCACUGCGCCCCGCCGUUGGACCGGUGCUCCACCCCGCCACCAGGUUAGCCCUGCAUCCUGCGCCGCUCGGUCCUGAGGACAGUGAUGGAAUUGGACACGUUCGGAUGGGAAGGAGCCGCAAUAAGCCACUAUUUUUGGCUUCUCACGAGGGGAGGAAUGCACUCAGUGCGUUUUGUGGGGCUUCUGCCCGGCUUCUUGUCGCGAGCCAUUUCGAGGUGCACCGUUUAACACAGCUUCAUCAAAAGCCGCUCGAGAAGCUGGCCGAUGAGCCAUGCCAAAGGGGGCUAAAUGUCUUGUUGCUUAUGUAGCAUUCUUGGAAACAUAAAAUGAAAAAUAAUAGUCUAAUAUUUGACCAAUAAUUAUUAGUCUAACAUAUGAAAAGUUUAUGCUACAAAAGUGGUUAUUACAUUUGAUUUGUAUUUGGAAAUACUCUGGAAUGAUGAAAAUUUUGUUGCCACAAACGAUACAGUAUGAAAGAAUCAACAAUCAAAGUGUGAUCUUGGAAACGACAAGUGAAACCACAUCUUAUAUUUUGGCACAAGAGAGUCAUCAAAUAAAUAAAACAUUAAUUUGUAAGGUUGUUUUGGAUAAUUGAAUUGCUAGCAUGCAAGCUAAGCUAUAUGUAAUGUACACAUGGUGCGAACUUCUAUCUUUUUAAUUUAUUGACAUUAUUUUACAGCAAAAACAUCAACUAUAUGCUUGUUUCAAUUGGGUUUUCAGAUGAAAUCUAAUUAGAAAAUAUAUGUAAUAGCUAUUGUUUUUGUAUUGACUACCCAACAUACAUUCAUUUACUCCCUCUAUCUUUUAUAUGGCAUAUUAGAAUUGAAAAAGGUUAAUCUUUAUAAAAUUUAGCUAAUAUAAUUUGUUAAUGUUUAUGCAUGCUUAGUGUACUAAUGUGCACGAGUUGAUUUUUUGCAAUGGGUAAUAUAUUGUAAGAAAGGUUUAUGGUCAAUGCUUUUAAGUUAUAAAGACUUCUCUAAAUCCUAAUACACCCUAUAAAAAGAAAUGGAGGGAGAAUUUGAUGAAGUAGAUACAAAUAAAGGAAACAUAUUUGCAAAAUGAAUGCAAUGAUCUCUUAAUGACUACUGUUGUAAAUGCUUUUAAAUGAACAUGGAAAGUAAGACACACUGAAAUAGUACAUUCGAAAAUUUCCAUUGGCUAUAUUAUGGUCUUGCCGCACACAUCCUUAAGUUGUAUCAAAUACUACCUCUGGUCACAUAUAUAAGAGAUUCUAAAUUUGUCCCAUGUCAAAUUAUCCUAAAUUUGAUCAAGCUUAUAAAGAAGAAUAUUAAUGUCUACCUCAUCAAAUACUCCCUCCAUCCCAAGUACUAUUCGUUUUGGCUUUUCUAGAUACAUCACUUUUGUUACAUAUCAAGAUAUAAGUAUCACUACCAUAAGUAUCACUACCAUAGAAUAAGCCAUCACCGCCGGCCUAUCACCAUCGAUUUUAUGUAAACCAGUGGUGAUAUCCUUUCACUGCCGGUUUAGAAGCAAAUACGGGCAAUAACACUUAAAACCGGCGGUGAUGCUCCAUUUCACCCUUGACUGGUGUUAAAAACCGGUAGUGAUAGCAGCACCGCCAUAUUUUAACACCAACCGACGGUGAAACAAGAUGUGGACAUGAAAAAACUCUUCAAUCCACUUAACUCCCUUCUUACGUUCACCACCCCCAACGCCUCAACCCCCCCCCCCCCGCCACACUCCCCAUCCGUGCCCCCCUCGCUCUCACUCGGCCUCUCCUCCCUCCUCUCUAGAUCUCUCUCCAUCCACCAUCCCUCCCUUCUCUCCCUCCGCUGCCCCCGCCCCCUCCCUCUCUCCCGCAGGCCCUCGCUCUCUCCGCCGGCCCCCUCCCUUCCUCCCUCCGUCUCUCUCUGCACCAGGACCUCCCUCGGCUGCCCCUCCUCUCCCCCCUUCGCUUGCCCCUCACUCGCGGCAGCAAGAGCGACGAAGGGGUGAGAAGUGGUGGCAACACACGGGGCUGUGACAGUGGCGGAUGCGACAGCGCGCGGAUCUGCGACGGGGGAGCGGGUGCGAUGGCGACAGUGACGGGAUCUGGUGGCGGCGGCCCGUUACGCCUCUCUGUGUGUGCGCGCGCGCGCAGGCGUGUGUCCCCGGUUUUGCAGCGGGCGGCGGUUGGUCGGCUGGAGCCAGCAGUGCCGCGGCUGCCGGCGGGUGGUGACCGGCCGGCCGGAUCCAGCGGGGCUGUAGCGGUGGCGGGCAGCGGCGGCCGGUGGGUGGUGGGGUGCAGAUUUUUAUUUUAUUUUUUGUUUUUUUCAAUGGGCAUCACGCCGGUUGUUGGUUUGGUGGUGAUGCCCAUUCCUAUCACCGUCGACCCCAAAAACCGGCGGUGAUGUAGGUUUGGGGGAUGGCGGUGACAAGGCAUUCUCUAGUAGUGUAUAUAUGUAGGUGUAUAUCAAAAGUUAUGUAUCUAGAAAUCCAAAAUGAAUAGUAAUUUGAAACCGUCAAAGUAUAUUUUUAUAAUGGAUCUAACAGUGCUCAUUUGAUAUUGUAAAUAUUAUUCUUUGUAGACUUGAUCAAAUCUAGGAUAGUUUCACUUAGGAUAAACUCAUAUUCCUUAUAUUUCUAAACAGAUGAAGUACUUCACAAGGAAGAAAUUUAUAAUAUGUCUUUUUUGUAAUCUUAAAAGUAAUUGUUUAUUACACACAUGCACGUGCAGCAUUUGCGUGCCAUUUUACGAGGACAUCGCAAGAUGCUGUACUAUUAGGGAGCUGAACUCAUCAUCAAGAUUUUAACAGGUUGCAGCCUUUUUUAUUAUUCCUCAUGUGGAGGACUGGAAGUUUAUAUUUAAGUCUUCCUUUUUCAAGAGCUGUCAAUGUGUUCUAUUCUAUACAUGCAGAGAAGCCCAACUAAAGCUAAGUGCAAAUCGAGGACAGAAGCUAUCAAAUGCUCACGUUUUAUGAUUAAAUACCACCAAAUCCCAAUUCAUUAUCUGAGCAAUUGUAGGCAGAGUAGCUCCUGAUACUUCCAUGCCCAUGCGUAGUAUUCGAGAUUCUGUUGAGCUAGCGUACCUUUGUUCAGAAGACAAAUUCGUUUGCCCAAGAUGUCGGAGGACGCCUCUCAGCCCUGUGGGCUGUGGUAGUGGUGUAGAGUGUAGACACUCCACAGACCGUAUACACACAUGCAUGUGCAAUGACCAAACUACAACAAACUAUGAAAGAGGGAACAAUUCACUUCGAAUAGCAACAACAAUAAAUGGAGCAACAAACUACAAAAGUGUGGCAGGGUAGUAGUAAAAAGUAGGUGCCUGAAGUACACACAUUAAGGGAAAAAAAACUAGUUUCAGUUUAUUGCACCAUCAGAUCAGUACAGACCUAACUCGUUUUAUUCCUUACAUAGGUUAGCCUGCAUGAACUCUAGCUUAGUCCUCGGACAAAAACACCACGUACUGAACUGCCUCAUAAGCUACACGAGAAUACAGCAUGAUAUAUGAAGCCUACCUAAAACCGAUCGAAUUAUUACCAUGCAGUGGCGGCGGCGGAAAUCUACUCCGGAGUAAUACCAGUAAGUAGUAAAGCUACAGGCUCUUCGCCACUUCGCCUAUGUAUAUAUAGUGACAAGUGAGCCACCACCCGCAGCAGAUCGCAUAACACACACCAGUUUCAUCAGAAGGUGGCUCCUCAGGCAGCAGGAGCGCAGUCAUAGUCGUCGUCAUCGUCGUCACUGUCUGUCUCCGCCAUCCUUCGUCGCGCGCUCAGACACCCAUCGCAAAGGGCGCCCGAGGAGGACGCAAUGCUGCCGCCUUGGACGAGGUAGCUGGCGGCCUCCGCUGACACUGGUGCCAUGGCAGUUUAAAGUGUGUGCGCGCGCGAAUUACAAGCUACUACCAAAUUAAUUGACGCCGAGCAGCAAGCUCUUGCUUCCUCAAGCCUCGGGGUAGAAGAAGAAGCUUCUACUGUGGAUGUGUUGUGCUAGUGCUAUCUUAGCAGUGAUGUGAGUACUGGGUAGUGUCUGUGAUUUUGCACGGAGAGGGAGUGGCCGCGUGUGGCGGUGGCUUUAUAGCGCGCGGCCGGCGGAGGGAAGCGUGGUGGCAUGCGGUGCGGCGAGGCCGGGAGCGUGCACCGGUGCGGCGCUGCGUGCAUGGCGCCCCCGGGGCACGGGCUCAGGGCGGGCACAGUCAGCACUCAGCAGCCGCGCGUCGCCCCGCUUCCCCGGCCGCGGCCGCUGAAGGGUGGUGCCGGGUGCGUGCCGGGACCCCAAGCCAGAGAGGCCGCAGGCCGCAGCGUCCUCGCGCUCCGGUGGCGCCGAGCGUGCGCGCGCGACGUGGAGGUGCGGGAAUCGUAGCCGUUGGGCGCGUGCGCAGUGGGGACUAUCAAUUUCCGCGCAAUCUAGCCGACGAUCUCGCGACUUUCUUGGGAAUUAUUCGAUUUCCGUCGUGCUCGUGCGCCCCGGCGGCAAAGUAGAUUCGGGGACGCCGCGAUUAUCUGGGCCAAUCAGAAGCACAUGCGCCACAGCACUGCAGUGGCAUGGGUUAACAACGGUAAUUGGGUAGAGGGUCCUGUACGUAGAUACAAACGGUUCUUUACCUAUAGCUUCAAUGCCAAGUUCAGAGUCAGUUUAGAUUCUUUUUUACGCGCAAGUCAUUUUAUAAUCAGCUGUAGUCAAUGAUUAUAAAAUAACUUGCACAUAAAAAAAUUAUGACGAUGGAAAAUAAGCCUUACUCCAUAGAUGUAUAUAGGAGCUGUAGGGGCGCCGUCGUGCUAGGAUACGUUAGUUUGCACCUACCUACCAUGCACAAGUGUUUUCAUCGGUCACGUGGUGGAAAAACGUGAUGCCUAAGUUCCUCUCAGUUGUUAACGUAGAAGAUCACAAAAUAUCCAACAUGAACAACUAAAGCUUCACACACACACACACACACACACACACACACACACACACACACACACACACACACACACACACACACACACACACACACACACACACACACACACACACAGAUAGACACAAUGGGAGUGUAUCUUUUGUGCCAAGGGCAACUACCAACCUUUAGAUAUAAUAAGAUCAAAGUUUUUCUAGCAGAGCAUAUGCAAGAAAAUAAAAUAUCAUGGGGUGCCCUAAAUAGACCAAAAGCUUUUUGAGCGAAUCGGCGGGGAGUCCCCAACCCUUUUUUUUAUAUAAAUAAUGGUGCAUGUACAAAAAAGUUUCAAAACUCACAGGCUCAAAGAGAAAAAGUGGGGUGAAGACAAAAGUUACAGAAUGCUUAUCCAAUUAUCCAAGGAAAGCCUCACUAUCGUUUUGGCUUGCAGUAUAACUAGAGCCGUUUCUUCUCUGAAAUCCAAUUUCCACUUAGCCAUAGACCGAAUACCAUUAUCAAAGAUAAUACUGUUGCGAUGACACCAAAUGCACCAACUAGCAAUAAUGAUAAUCUCCCUGAAAACUGUUCUCCCAAAAUUACCUCGAGCCUGAAUGACCAUGUCCAAAGGGGCAGCCAAAGAUCCCAUGCAAUUCCCAGAAAUGACCAGCACAUUUGAUUGAAGGGACACUCAAAGAAUAAGUGCACAAAAUAUUCUUCAAAACCUGCAGAGCUACAUGCAUGUUCUUUCUUCUCAGGAGGUCUCUUAUAUUGAGGCGAUCUCUUAGCAAGAGCCAAAAGAAUAACUUGUGCUUGCUCCGAGUACAAAUUUCCACAUGAGUAUGGUGGGCGAGAUUUAUGGAUAUUGGAGUUAUGAGUAUUCACCUCCUUUCCAAAUGGAUUGAUUGAUUAGAAAGAGGGGAUGGCAUUGUGUGAUGAGAGUUGCUCAUUAUCUUGGCCAAAAAAAAGUAUACGCCUCCCCUUGCAUGACCUUCUCGCCCUUACCGGAGUCCGAUGGCAACAAGACAAAUUGUGCUAAAAUGCUAUAUAUCCAAGUCACUUGACAUAAUCAUAAUAAAGGAGGUUCAAGAUUACAAAAAGGAGAAAAUUUCAAGAAAUAGAAGGUAGUGGACCACUUAUAACACAAAGCCACAUGUUUUGUAUUUCUUUGCAAAACCAGACAUUUUACAAGAACCCUCACAUCUGACAUCCUGGUCCCACUCCUGCUUAGAUGGCUAUCCAAGGCAGAUGAUUUGCAUACACUGCCAAAGCCAAACUAUACUCCACAUCUACCUCGGUAGCUCCUAGCUAGUUUCUCCAUGUGAAACUCAUGGGAGUUGCCAAUCCCUCAGGCUUCAAAGUUAAUGAUCAUAUGAGAUCCAUAUUUUCUUAGUGGUUUUGCGCACACUAUCAGGACUCCGGCCAUUCAAUUAACCAGCAUCAUCCUGCAUAUAAAAUCUGACGACCUUCCUCAUACUGCACACAUUUGGACACUAAAUCACAAAAAUGAAAUGCCAAACAUUACUAAGUUGGUUGAAAAACUAAAUUCUUAACACGUAUAAUAACCUACCAAGAGACACGUACACUACUGGUAUUUAAAACUUCAAAGGCCCUACUACAUUUUCCAUGACAGGAUAUACCCCCAAAUAAAUCGUGAACUCAAAUUAGAAUACCCAAAUACAUCAUGUUCUGAAACUGAAUAAGUAAUUAGGCAUGUAGCUGGCUGUGUCAUACAGAGAGUGUCUUGUAGAGACGUAACUGACUUGUGUCCUAAUCAAGCUGAAGAAAUUUGGAACAGAUAAUUCAGUGCAAAAAAAUAUAUAUAUUGGAUAAAAAAGAGGUACAAUCAAUCAGUCAUCAUUUGCCUUUGUUUCUGCAUAAUACCACCACGCAGCAACAUCUAAACUGUUGUUCAAAUUGUGUCAUGCAUCAAGAAAAAAUAUUGCAUUGUUCCAUGGAGGAAUAAAAAAAGAAAAAAAUCGUGCAUCUACACACACAAAAGGACUGCACAUACAGUAAAGAAACAUAUGGACACUAGAGGGUGUAGGAGACACGGCCGUCGCGGUGGACCGGCGGUCUCUGAUGCUUACCAGGACAGAGGAAUGCGCCGGGAUCCUCCGCCCAUUAGAUAAACGGGCAUACUACUUAUUCAUUUACCUUAUUUUAGUAAUGAAUAUGCAACAUAUAUUCAAUUACUCUUGAGAAAAUUUCUUAUUUGACACUAGAAGAUGACUAAAUUCCUUUUUUGACACUGAAAAUUUUUUCGUCCCUUAUAUGACAUCAAGUUCUAUCUUAUAUUCUUCAUCACUUUUGUCACAUGAGCCGAACAAACAACCAUCAAAUCACCUCCAAAAUUAAUGAAACUUUUUUGAUAAUACAACAAAUGAAGAUGAGUCCAUAUUGACUAAAACUGCACAUGUACCUUUGCCAUUUUAAAAUAAAAUUCACCAAAUCUGACUACUUUGAAGCAUAUUUUUGAAUUUUUAUGGUAUCAAAAUACUUUCCAAAAAUUAUGAAAAAAUAGUUAAUAUUCCUUACAUGAGAUGUAGUCAUUAUUAAAUUAUUUUCUAUCAUAAUUUACAUAGAGAAUUACAAGGUUCUUUAAAAAUUUUCCAAAUUUACGUUUCUUCAUAAUUCUCUAUGUAAGUUUUGCUAAGAAAUAAUUUAAUAAGUUCCAGCAUCCAAUGUGACAAAUAUUAGUUAUUUUAUUAUAAAUUUUAAAAGUUUUUUAGUGACAUAAAAAUUCAGAUAACUUAUAAAGAUAGCCUAAGUUGGUGAAUUUUAAUUUUAAAAUCAUAAAGGUAUAUGUUUCCUUUUAAUAAAUAUGGGUUCAUAUUCAUUUGUUGUAUCUCUACAAAAAGUUUCAUGAUUUUUGGAGGUGAUUUGGAAAUCAUUUCACCUGACUUAACUAACAUAAGUGACGGAAAUGUCAAAUAAGGAAUGAAAGUUAGAAGUAGGUGUCAUAUUAGGAAGGAAAAACUUUUCAGGGUCAAGAAAGGAAUGAACUCAUCUUCCAGUGCCAAAUAAGGAAUUUCCUCCUCAUUUUUAGGGGUCCAUGUUUAUAAAUUUUAACUAAUAAUUAGUCAAUGUUUAUGCAUAUGUUUAGUGUAUAAAAGUUGUAUCAAUAGAUUCAUAUUUCAAAUAUCUUGGGAUGUGACAUUGAUUUUUAGUGUUGGGUAAAAAUAUGUAAGAGAAGUUAUAGUCAUUGAAGACUUCUCCAAAUCCGGGUGCACCCUAUAAAAAGAAACGGGGUUUCAUUUGGCAAAGUAGAAUAAAAAAAGAACAUAUUUACAACAUGAAUGCAAUAUUUUCUUAAUAACUUGUGCUUUUAAAUUAACCGGAAAAGUAAGACACUCAACCAAGAACUUUCAUUGGCUACAAUUAUGGUUUUGCUAAACUUAUGAGAACCUUAAGUACUGUCCAAUACUCCCUUUGUCCGCAAAUAUAAGGGAUCUUGAGUUUGUCCUAAGUUAAAUUAUCCUAAGUUUAGUUUUCAAAAAUUAUCCUAAGUUUGAUCUAGACUAUAGAGAACAUAUUAACUUGUGCUGCAUCAAAUAAGUAAACAAUGAAAAUAUAUUUCAUAAUGUACUUAUUUGAACUCACCACCAAGAUUAUAACGGACAGUAGUCUGUUUUCUUAAUUAUUUCUCAUGUGGAGCACUUGAAGUUUAUGUUUAAGUCUUCCCCUUUUCAAAGAGGGCUGUCAAUUAAUGUGUUCUACAUGCAGAAGCAUACCUGUGUGUGGGAUGUGGCAUGUCCAAUAAAGUGCAAACCAAAGACAGAAACCAUCAAAUGAUCAUGUUAUAUGUAAAAUACACAUAAAUUACAAUGCACUACCCAAGCAAUUGUAAUCCCAGAUACUUCCAUGUCCAUAUGCGUGUAGUAUAAUAAUAAAAUGUCCGUUGUCAGUAUUAUACAAAUUGACAAAGUCUGGACAUAGUAUCUCGUGAUGUGAGGAAAACAAACACUAGCUCUAACUAAUAGAGAUACAGUUGUGUACCUUUGUUAAGAGAAGAAAUUGGUUUGCCCAAGAGAGGUCUAAGGAUGCUCUCAGCCGUCUGGUAGCCGUGUAGCGACAGUGGACAAUCCACAGUCCGUACACGCAUGCGUGCAAUGACCAAACUACAACAAGCUACGACAGUGAGGCGACAACUCCCUUCGAAUUGUACGAGCAUGAUCGAUCAGCAAAUAAAAGUGUACCUGGGUGAGCAGUAAAAAGUAGUUGUCCGAAGUACACACAUUGAGGAAAAACUAGUUUCAGUUUAUUGCAUCAUGAGAUCCGAAGUACAGACCUAACUCGAUGUCUUUUAAUGCUUCCAUAUAUAGGCUAGCCUGCAUGAAUUCUAGCUUAGUCCUGGGACUAAAACCACACUCAGCUGCCUAGCUACCUAAAACCGAUCGAAUUAGUAGUACUGCUACAAGCUCUUCGCCACCUACUGAGCCACCACGAGCAGCAGAUAGCAUAACACACACCAGUUUCAUCAGAACGGUGAGCGCAGUCAUAGUCGUCGUCGUCGUCGUCGUCUGUCUCCGCCAUCAUUCCUCGCGCGCUGCGCCACCGGCAAGGCGCGGCGUAAACGGCGCCCGAGGAGGAUGCAAUGCUGCCGCCCUGAACGAGGUAGCUGGCCGCCGAGACUGGUGCUAUGGCAAUUUGCAAGUGUGUGUGGGCAAGUGAACUACUACCAAAUUAAUUGACGCCGCGCAGAAAGCUCUUGCUUGCUCGAGGUAGAAGAAGAUGCUCCUGCACUAGUAGAGAAUUGAGCUUUAUGUUGGAUAUAUAAGCACUUUUAGUUUUAACUUAAUCCAGAAAUAAAUCAUGAAUAUGAUGAACAAGCAGCAAGUUAAACUAGACAUGUCUACGCAAGAUCUAGACAAGUCUAUCAUUGCAAAUAGAAUCAGACAUUCUACCAUACUAUCCAGUGCUAUCAGACUGCAACAGAUCAUAAUAGCUAGUAUGGAAGACAUAAUGUGAGUUAAGAGAACGUACGUUUCUUUCUUGAUGAAAACCGGCUCCUGGACGACUACCGGAUACAGCAGGCGACGACGAUCAGCAGCCUGACGUUGUUCGCGACGACGAGUGAGGCCCGAGCGACGAAGAGGUAGACGAGCCGUGGUGAAGGAGUCGACGAAGAACUUGACGAAGCGGAGGAAGCGAUCGAGCAGUCGCGCAGAGUGCUUCCCAAAAACCUUAUUCGCCCUCUCCCGGUGCAGGAUCGCUGAAGACGACGGUUCCGGAGACCUGCUCUCCCAAUCGCCGGUGCACGCCGACAAUCGGGAUGGAGUAGACUACGGUGGCGGCGCAGCAGCGAGAGGAGGUAAAAACCCUAGCUCGAAUAGAUCUGUUUUUGGUAGAGGCCGGUAGGUCGCAUAUAUAGGAGAGCCCACGACUUAACGACCAAGUAACCAAAAAAUAAAACGGCAAAAGGAAGCCGCGCCCCCGCAAGGCGAGGGGCUGGAUUUCGGCGGACCAUUCACGUAGGUGCCGCACGCCCGCGCCCUUCGCCCGGCCCGGCCCGGCGUGGUGAGGUGAGGUGAGGCGAGGCGAGGCGAGGCGAGGCGAGGCGAGGCGAGGCGAGGCGAGGCGAGGCGAGGCGAGCGAGCGCGCGCGUGUGGAGCUCUCCUUCCCUCCCCACACACAUAGCUUGGAGGAGUGGAGACAACUUCUAUAUUUAAGUUGGUCAUCCCUCCCCUCCACUAGCAAUGUGGGAUUAAAGACUUGCACCACUCCACCUCUUGCCCACAUGGGCCUUUGAGAUUUAUUUGAAAUUCUGAAAUUACUUAUGGGCUAGGCCCAUUAUUUCAACAAUCCCCCACCAGAUCUCAAAUGCCCAUCAGAGAUUUUGCCUGUUUCUCACUGUUGUUUAUAUACUAGUGUUUCGGCGAGGACUGUUAAGUUGAACUCUCACCUAGAGCUUCAAGCUACAUUCAUCCACAACUUGAACAAUGGACAAAGCCUUGAAUUGCAAGUUUUGUGCGGACAAGUUUCACUCAAAGUCGGGACUAGUACCUGGCUGCCUGUAGCCUACCCCGCGGGUGGGGCAUAUAGGUCGUACCCCCCUGGUCUCUUCAUGACCUUAAUAGAGAUCACCCAAGUCUCACAGACUGCGAUCUUACAACAGUCGGGCUCAUAUAGGUAUAUUUUUCCAAGAUGUUCUGCAGGGCAACAUCUUUGCUAAUUAAAGCCAACAAAAUAUAUUAAGGCAGUAGCCAGCCUGCCAUGCAGUGGUUUGAGAGUGUUGCAUCAUUUCUCGAGUGGGUUAGUAGGAUACUCUCAUGCUAUCCCAUGGCUUGUUCUUCCUAGAUCCUACUUCACGGGAUCUCCGAUCACAUAGGUUGGGUUACCACCAUGGUGUAGCUCAUAUGGGUCUCAUACCCAUCUCCUUUGAUGCAUUGUCUAUCACAUUACGUGACAGCCCUUAGUGAACUGAUCUGCCAAGUUCUUAUCAGUUGAGAUGUAAUCCACUGAUAUUACUCCGGAGUUUCUCAUUUUCCUGACAGAUUUCAGACGUCUCUUAACGUGUCUUGAUAACUUCAUAUUGUCCUUAGAAUUGUUCACUUUGACAAUCACCGUUUGAUUGUCACAAUUCAUAAGUAUUGCCGGCAUAGGUUUCUCGACAAUAGGCAAGUCCAUCAAGAGUUCACGUAGCCAAUCAGCCUCAACUGUGGCUGUAUCUAAUGCUGCAAGUUCUGCUUCCAUGGUAGACCUCGUUAAGAUAGUCUGUUUGGAUGACCUCCAUGAAACAGCACCACCACCAAGAGUGAAGACGUAUCCACUUGUGGCAUACAGUUCAUCAGCACCAGAUAUCCAAUUUGAAUCACUAUAGCCUUCCAGCACCACAGGAUACCUGGAGUAGUGAAUUCCGUAAUCCAUAGUACCAACUAAAUAGCGCAUGACUCCCUCAAGCGCACGCCAAUGAUCAUCUCCCAGAUUAGAGGUAAACCGGCUCAGUUUGCAAACAGCAUAUGAGAUGUCAGGCCUAGUAGCACUGGCUAAAUACAUAAAUGAUCCAAUAAUCUGAGAGUAUCUUAAUUGGUCUCUACCAAUUCUCUUGUUUUUCCGAAGUAUCAAGCUCGGAUCAUAAGGUGUGGGAGAAGGCUUACUGUCCUUAAAGCCAAACCGGCUCAAGACCUUUUCCACAUAAUGAGAUUGCGUGAGAGUAAUCCCAUUCUCUCCUUUGAUCAACUUGAUAUUCAGAAUUACAUCAGCCUCUCCCAGAUCUUUCAUGUCGAAAUUUUGGCACAGAAAUAACUUGACCUCUUUGAUCACGUCAAGAUUUGUACCAAAGAUUAGUAUGUCAUCGACAUACAAGCACAAUAUAACUCCCUCACCCCCACCAUGGCGGUAGUACACACAUCUAUCAGCCUCAUUGACAGAAAAGCCUGCUGAUAUGAGUGUAGUAUCAAAUUUCUCAUGCCACUGCUUAGGUGCUUGUUUCAGGCCAUACAAAGAUUUCAGCAAUUUACACACCUUGUUCUCUUGACCCUUUAUUACAAAUCCAUCAGGCUGAUUCAUAUAAAUUUCCUCAUCCAACUCUCCAUUAAGGAAAGUUGUCUUAACAUCCAUCUGAUGGACGAGAAGACCAUGUGAGGCAGCAAGGGAAAGUAAUACUCGAAUACUGGUCAAUCUCGCAACAGGUGAGUAAGUGUCGAAGAAAUCUUCGCCUUCUUUCUAGGUAUAACCCUUAGCCACAAGUCGAGCCUUGUACUUAUCAAUAGUACCAUCAGGCCUAAGCUUCUUCUUGAACACCCACUUGCAACCCACAGGUUUACAACCAUACGGUCGAUCAACAACCUCCCAAGUUCCAUUAGAAAGAAUAGAGUCCAUCUCACUAUGGAUAGCUUCUUUCCAAUCAUUUGCAUCUUGCCUCUGAAAUGGUCUUAGGAGUAUCAUCUACGAGAUAGACAGUGAAAUCAUCACCAAAGGACUUUGUAGUUCUUUGUCUCUUGCUCCUCUUAGGAGCUUCACUGUUAACCUCCUCAUGAACUGGCUCAAGUGUUUGUUCAGCAUGAUCAGGAAGCACAAUAGGUUCAGGAGUUGUCUCAGCAAUCAUAUCAGAAGAUAGUCUAGACAUACUAUGCAAUUGUUUCAUAGGAAAUAUAUUCUCAAAGAAAGUAACAUCACGAGACUCCAUCAAGGUAUUAACAUGAACAUCAGGCACCUCUGAUUUAACCACUAAAAAUCUAUAGGCUAUGCUAUGAUGAGCAUAUCCCAAAAAGACACAAUCCACAGUUUUAGGUCCCAACUUACGUUUCUUGUUGAUUGGCACACUAACUUUGGCCAAGCAACCCCAAGUGCGUAAGUAUGAAAGUGAUGGUUUUCUUCCAAUCCAUUCUUCAUAGGGAGUUUUCUCCUUAUUCUUCAUGGGUACUUUAUUCAGGACAUGACAUGAAGUCAAUACAGCCUCCCCCCACCAUGCCUUAGAUAAACCACUGGUGUCUAACAUGGCGUUCACCAAGUCAGUCAAAGUGUGAUUCUUUCUUUCGGCAACCCCGUUUGAUUGGGGCGAAUAGGGAGGCGUCCUCUCAUGUACAAUACCAUGUUCUUCACAGAACAAGUCGAAAUCAUUAGAGAAAUACUCGCCACCACGAUCAGACCUAAUUCUCUUGAUCUUUUUCUCAAGCUGAUUCUCAACUUCAGCCUUAUAGAUUUUAAAGUAGUUAAGAGCCUCAUCUUUCAUUUUCAAUAAAUAUACAUAGCAAUAUCUAGACGCAUCAUCUAUCAAAGUCAUGAAAUAUCUUUUCCCACCUUUGGUCAACACACCAUUCAUCAGAAUGAAUGAGUUCAAGUGGUGCCAAGUGUCUCUCCUCAGCUACCUUGUGAGGUUUUCGAGGUUGUUUAGAUUGCACACAACUAUGGCACUUAGAACCUUUGACGAUGGAAAAAUUCGGAAUUAAACACAGGCUGGAAAGUCGAGACAUAGAACCAAAAUUCAGAUGACAUAAACGUGAAUGCCAAACACUAGCAUCACUCUCAUUAAUACCAUCACAAAUAUAGUUCACUGACUUAUUGCAAUAAUCUGUAAGGGAAAAGCAGAACAAGCCUCCGCACUCAUAGCCUUUACCAAUAAAUUAUCCACUCUUAGACACGACAAUUUUAUUAGACUCAAGCACUAGCUUAAAGCCAUCCCUACACAAAAGGGAGCCACUAACUAGAUUCUUCCUGAUAGAAGGGACAUGCUGCACGUUCUUCAGUUGCACGAUCUUUCCCGAAGUAAACUUCAGAUCUACCGUACCAACACCAUGAACAGAAGCAUGUGACCCAUUCCCCAUUAGGACGGAGGAAUCCCGAGCGACCUGGUAAGAUGAAAACAAGGAGGCAUCAGCACACACAUGAACAUUAGCACCAGUAUCAAGCCACCAAGUAUUGGUAGAAUGAAACACUGAAAAAACAGAAGGUAAAUUACCAUACCCACUAUUUCCAUCUCCAGCGCUGGUCACCAUGCUUACAGACUUCUGCUGUGGAGGUUUUCUUCCUUUGCGGUUUGGGCACUUCUUUGCCCAAUGGUCAGUAGAACCGCACACGAAGCAUCCCUCGUUCUCCUUGUUCUUCUUCUUCUUGAAGGUAGUGGACUGCUUAGGCUUAUUGUUCUUGCCCUUGCCCUUACCACCAUUGCCAUGGUGAUGUGAUUGGUGCACCAUAUUGGCACUGGUCUGACCCUCAACAGCUUUAGAUCGUCCAUCUUUAGCCCGAGCUUUCUCCUCAACAUCAAGAGACGCAAUCAAGUCUGAAACAGAAAUUUCUAUCCUCUUGUGUUUGAGAGAAGUGGCGAAAUCCCUCCAGGAUGGAGGUAACUUGGCAAUAAUGCCCCCAGCCACAAACUUGUCGGACACGACAAUCUUUAGCAGAUCGAGUUCCAUCACCAUGCACUGUAAUUCAUGAGCCUGAGCGACUACAGAUUUUCCGUCAACCAUCUUGUAGUCAUGAUACUGCUCAAUGAUGUACAGUUCAGUGCCAGUAUCUGAGCCACCGUAGUUGGCAGUCAGAUCAUCCCACAACUCCUUUGCGACCGUGUGAUGAAGGUACACAUCCUGCAGAUGUUCUGCAAGUGCACCAAUCACAGCGCCCAAGAAGAUUGUGUUGGCUUCCGAAUAUUCUUUCUCCUUUUCAGGAGAGAGAACCCCUUCCGGUUUGCCAUUGGAAACCCAGAACACCUUCAUGGCAGUAAGCCACAGCGUGGCUUUCACCUGCCACCUCUUGAAGUGCACGCCAGCAAACGGUGCUGGCCUCAGUGCAUCAAGAAAUCCAGCCAUAAAACUAAAGUGCCUACAAUAAGGUUUUUGGAUUGUUGGAUAUAUAAGCACUUUUAGUUUUAACUUAAUCCAGAAAUAAAUCAUGAAUAUGAUGAACAAGCAGCAGAUUAAACUAGACAUGUCUACGCAAGAUCUAGACAAGUCUAUCAUUGCAAAUAGAAUCAGACAUUCUACCAUACUAUCCAGUGCUAUCAGACUGCAACAGAUCAUAAUAGCUAGUAUGGAAGACAUAAUGUGAGUUAAGAGAACGUACGUUUCUUUCUUGAUGAAAACCGGCUCCUGGACGACUACCGGAUACAGCAGGCGACGACGAUCAGCAGCCUGACGUUGUUCGCGACGACGAGUGAGGCCCGAGCGACGAAGAGGUAGACGAGCCAUGGUGAAGGAGUCGACGAAGAACUUGACGAAGCGGAGGAAGCGAUCGAGCAGUCGCGCAGAGCGCUUCCCAAAAACCUUAUUCGCCCUCUCCCGGUGCAGGAUCGCUGAAGACGACGGUUCCGGAGACCUGCUCUCCCAAUCGCCGGUGCACGCCGACAAUCGGGAUGGAGUAGACUACGGUGGCGGCGCAGCAGCGAGAGGAGGCAAAAACCCUAGCUCGAGUAGAUCUGUUUUUGGUAGAGGCCGGUAGGUCGCAUAUAUAGGAGAGCCCACGAUUCUCACGUCGCGAUCGUGAUCUAAACCGGUUAGGAUUCCAUAUAUCAAGGCGAGGGGCUGGAUUUCGGUGGACCAUUCACGCAGGUGCCGCACGCCCGCGCCCUUCGCCCCGCCCCGCCCGCCCGGCCCGGCCCGGCCCGACGAGGCGAGGCGUGGCGUGGCGAGGCGAGGCGUGGCGAGGCGAGCGAGCGCGCGCGUGUGGAGCUCUCCUUCCCUCCCCACACACAUAGCUUGGAGGAGUGGAGACAACUUCCAUAUUUAAGUUGGUCAUCCCUCCCCUCCACUAGCAAUGUGGGACUAAAGACUUGCACCACUCCACCUCUUGCCCACAUGGGCCUUUGAGAUUUAUUUGAAAUUCUGAAAUUACUUAUGGGCUAGGCCCAUUAUUUCAACACUUUAGUCCCGGUUGGUAGAGUGCAAAUAUCCCGAAAAUCCAUCCGGGACAAAAGGUGGGGUCUUUUAUCCCGGGUCACUCAACCGGGACAAAAGAUCUCGGUUGGUAAUACCAACCGGGAUAAAACGGGUCACCACGACCGGAGCUGCAAAGAAAAAAUUCCGAGCUCCCAGGAGGCCCCCACACACGCACGUCGUAAGUCGCAAGUCACGCGAUUUUUCACGCGAAAUAUGCGCGUGCGCGCUGCGUGGGAUUCGAACCCACAACCUCUAGCCUCGCGCGUACCUUCCUUGCCAUCCCACCAACACACCACAUCUGACUGUGUAGGGGAUGCUAUCCUUUUGUAUUAACUCGUGGGGGAACCGGGAUAAAAGGGGGGUCUUUUAUCCCGGUUGGUGUUUCAAACCGGGAUAAAAUGCCUCUCAGGAUCUUUUUUUCACACUAGCCUUUGCAACCGGGAUAAAAGGUCCCGGUUGGUGAACCCCCCACAGUGACAGAGCUUUAAUCCGGGUUGGUAAACCUUUUAUCCCGGGCCAACUUUAAACCGGGACAAAAGGGGACGCAUCAAAAGCCAAUUCUCUACUAGUGGUUGAGCUGCAGGUGCUAAUGGCUAGGACUGCAAAAGGGUUGGACAACUUUGAGACACUUGAGAAGGCUUCCAAGGACCUUCUGUAUGAGGAAUCCAAUGGAUGUGAUAAGGAGUUCACAGUGUUACGUGCGGUCCUUGAGCUGAUGAAACUGAAGGCCAUCCACGGGUGGUCGGACGCGUUUUGGGUGAUGAGCAAGCUGCGGCUCACAUGCCAAAGGAGUCUUGACCGAGUGGUCAAGACGUCCGAGCGGCACCUCCUAGGUCCAGGUUCAAUCCCGGGUGGGAGCGAAUUUACGACUAAUUAUUCAUUCAGUGGGAGGUGACGUCCCCGUCGACAGCGAGGUGACUUCGUGAAUCUCAAGAUCAAGCAGGUCCAGCCUUUCGAAGGCGCUCAUGAGGGUAGAGUGUGUGUGCGUGUGUUCAUAGGGGUCAUGACUCGUACGUGUUUGUGAGUGUCUGCACUUACUUUGAAAAAAAAAAGCUGCUAGCCAGAGACAGCCGUUCUCCAUCAGAAACAAUCAAGCAUGAUUUGUUGCUAACUACUACUAACUCAUCAGACAACAGUCUAAAAACUCAUCAGACAACCUCUGUCGCUCAAUGAUAUUUCAUCACGAACAAGUAUCUUCAAAAGUCACAGAAUGUGACACAACAGCAUACCAGAAGGGCAUCAGUAUCGUGUCAGUAACCGCUACCAGCGCAAGCGAACACGGUAAGCGCUAUCAUGAACCAAAAGUAAUAUGACUCCUAAAAGUAAAACUAUUCGCUCUUCCAGUUUUCCACGUUCCAUUAUAAACGACUACUCUGGAAUUGGCAGUAGUGGUAGGACUGCUAGUCAACUUGAUGACUGACAAAACACUUCAGCAAAUCAGCCAUACGUCUCCACACGACUACAACCGCUUUGUCUUUCAGUACAUUCAAACCUCUCCACGACCACACCAUCAGUACUCAAAGCUAGUUCUGGCCCUUCUUUCCUGGAUUUGUCGGCGAGGAAGCUACGAGCAGUAAAACAACUCAGAGUCAGUUUUAGAACCGUUCCAGAAGUAAAGAAAACUAGUAGAUCCCCCUAAACAGCAUUCAGAAGAAUUUCAAAUAGAUAUGAUAGAACAAUCAAAGAAGCCUCUGUACUGUAUGCACCAACAAAAUUUAGUGGACUGCUCCUAGAAUGCAUAUGUGCACAUAAGUGACACCAGGAUUUCAUUGGUUUGUACCCAUGAAAAUAAACGACCCAUGCUCUGAUCCUACUACCAUCACCCAUAUAUGUUAAGGAAAUGAGAAAUUAAUGAUACAUAUUCACACGUGAAAAGAAUAAUUCACAACAUACAACAUGAAAAAGAAGUUAAUAGAAAAAACAUUAAUAUUAAAGUGGAAAAUAUGGUCACAACAGCUUAUGAAGGCAUCUCGAUUCUCCUAUACUCCUAACAGAGAAAGCCUAUUACCAGGUAAAGCUUUCCUGGUGCAUUGGAGAUGAAAGCUGGCACCAUGGAAUAAAACCUUAUAGGAAUGCUAUAGUAGAUGGAGUUUGUAUGACUUUAGUAGCACAACAAGCAAAAACAAUAAAAAAUAAAUAUCAUCCAUAGAAGCUAAAUUGGCAGCGGGUCUUUCAUAUGAGAUCAAGCACAGCAAAUAAUCCUCAUUAUCAAUUUUAAAUCAACAGGAAAGUCAAAGAACGGGCGUUACUUACGUCCAUGAAAAAAGAUGUAUGAGGACGCACUCAGCUCCCUAACACCCAUUCUGGCAAGAAUUCCUCUGUCUGCGGCUGUUGAUAGCAUUACAGUGAGAUCAACAUGAGGGAGUGGAGUCUCAGGACAGAUUCCAUCAAACACUAUAAGCAAAGAUCCACUUUUAUCAUCUCCAGGUUCUUCAAUGUCCAAUAGAGACCAGCCCUUCAACCUUCGUGUCACAGAGGUACCCAACAGUUCAAGUAUCUCUUUCUGCAUCAGAUCUGAUUUUCUUUGGAGUUCCUUAAUAGCAACAUAUAGCUUCUUUGGUUUGAGGACCUGAUAAAUGACCCCCUUUUAUCCCGGUUGGUAUUACAAACCGGGAUAAAAGGCUCUCGACCCUUUUAUCCCGGUUGGGUCUUUUAUCCCGGGCCUUGUUUAGUUCGCAAAAUUGGGAGGUGCCAAAUUACUGUUACAGCACUGUAGCACACUGUAGCGUUUUGUUUGUAUUUGUGAAUUAUUAUCCAAAUAUUGACUAAUUAGGCUCAAAAGAUUCGUCUCGCAAAGUACAACAAAACUGUGUAAUUAGUUUUUAAUUUCAUCUACAUUUAGUACUCCAUGCAUGUAUCGCAAGUUUGAUGUGAUGGGGAAUCUUCUUUUUGCAUAGUGUCAAAGUUGGGAGUUGGGGGUGAAGUAAACAAGGGGCCGGUUGGUGUUUCAAACCGGGAUAAAAUGGCUCUCAGAAUCUUUUUUUCACACUAGCCUUUGCAACCGGGAUAAAAGGUCCCAGUUGGUGAGCCCCCCACAGUGACAGAGCUUUAGUCCCGGUUGGUAAAUAUUUUAUCCCGGGUCAACUUUAAACCGGGACAAAAGAAAACGCAUCGAAAGCCAAUUCUCUACUUAGUGCUGUGGCUGAUGGGAGCUGUGGAUGCGGUGUGCUAGUGCUAGCUUUAGCCGUGGUGUUGCUGGUGUCUCGGAUUUUGCACGGAGAGGGAGUGGCCGUGUAUGGCGCGGGCUUUAUAGCGCGCGGCCAGCAGAGGGCGGUGUGGCGGCACGCCACGCGGCGAGGCCGGGAGCGUGCACCGGCUGCGGCGCUGCGUGCAUGACGCCCCCGCGGCACGGGCUCCGGGCGGGCACAGUCAGCACUCGGCAGCCGCGCGGCGCCCCACUCCACCGGCCGCGCGCCGCUGACGGGUGCCGUGGCCCCGUGGCAGUGGCCGCAACGGCCUCGCGCCCCGGUGGCGCCAAGCGUGCGCGCGCGACGUGGAGGUGAGGGCCACACAACCUCGGGCAGUCGGGCGCGCGCAGUGGGGACUGGGGACGAGGGAGGGGAGGGCCACAGCCGGGCGCGAGCGACGCUGAUGCAAUGCAGCAAGAAAGCAGGAAGAUGAUAUCUCAGCGAUUUUCUUGGGAUUGAUUCGAUUUCAAUCGUGCGUCCGGGCGGCAAAGUGGGAUUCGGGGACGCGACGAUUGUCUGGGCCAAGCAAAAAGCACAUGCACCACAGCAGUGGCAUGAGUUACAGCAAAGGCAAUUGGGUGGAGAAAUCCACGAUACCUAGAUGCAAACGGUCCUUUUCGCCAUUGCAAGUUCAGAGUCAGUUUAUUUUUUUAAUGCGCAAGCCAUUUUAUAAUCUGAUAUGCCUUUUAGGGUUGGGCUAGGAUUUGUUCCGUAAAAGAUGUGUUAGGUCUUUCUUAUGCCUCAGUCACUUUUCAUGAAUUUGCAAUUUUGCAUACUCAUCUGAAAGUUUCCGAGGUAAAAGUAGAAAAUGUUUCUGCUUCACGGUAAAAAUAAUAAAUUUUAAAUAGAAAAUUCUUAUGGUUCGUUCUAUAUAAUAUAGCUUACGCAAAACAACACUAUAAGAAAUCUGUUAAUCUAUAAUAAUUUUUUCUCGUGACGUUUUCACUCCCUAACGUAUCAAGGAUCGACUGCAUCACCUCCUAACGUAUCAAGGAUCAACUACGUCACCCCCUCAAUUAUAAAAUCGGGUUUUUAAUCUCCCUCACUUUUUCAAAACCGUUUAAAAGACCCUAAAGUGGUUUUGCCACUCUAGCACGUUGAUGUACUGUGGACUGAGAUGCUGAUGUGGAUCGCUGACAUCUGAGUUCCCACUAACUUCCAUGGAUCACGCGCCCGUGUGUGCUGGUCCUGUGCAAGCCGCGCCUCCAGCCCUACGACUCCCCACACGGUGCCAUCCUCCCCACGCGGCUCCCCAGGUUCUCCGGCGACCGCCACCUCUACGACGCGCAGGACGAGUCCAUCCAGGUAGAGGCUACGCAGCCUGGCCUCCGAUUCGUCGUCCAACGCUUGCCGCAACUCUAGCAUUACCAGCUGCGGCCGACGAGGCUGCCGGACUUGGGCAGUAUGAUGAACCGCGGCAGGACACCCUCCAACAUAAGCAGCCCCUCGUCCUUUUGCAGUGCUUCAAGAAGCUUGUCCACGGCCGGGUUCUUCACCUUGGUGUGCCCGGCACAACCAUCAUGCCAGUGAAAGUCCUUUGAAGCUGGAGUCAUAAGACCACAGAUAUGUUGGUCCAUCAUCAUACAAGAACACGAGAUGCUCGCAAAAAGUCCCAGGCACUCGAUUUUGAAAAUGUGAUCGAAUCAUGAUCCUCACAUCUCCUGGAAUGGAAGUGUGGAAUCGAGCAACUCUCCGAUGCGCGUAAACGACUAAACACAACACAAACAUUAUUACAAAAAGGAAACUGAAUAAGAAAACACCAACACAGAUGUCGAAUCAAUUGAGUCCAGCUGCCGGCAAGCCGGUCAAAGUGGCAUUGCCUAAACCAUCCCUCGCCAUGAAGAAGGCUUACACAGACAGGAUCAUUAGAAGGUGGGCAACUUGAUCCUGUUCGUGCACUUGCUCUUCAUCGGCAGCGUCCAGUCGAUGAACUCCUUACCCGCACGAUCGAGUGCCCGGCAGGGGCGGAGCUUAGUGUAGUGUAAAGGGGGUCAUGGCCACCCCUGGCUAUUGGAAAUAUCCACUAUAUGAAUAGUAAAUCAGCUAGUGUUCAUUGAUUUUCAGAGCAAAUUAGCAUAGCUGGCCCCCCGGAUUUGUUGCUGAAGCUCCGUCACUGGUGCCCGGGAAAGAUGAAAUGACAAACAUUACUAAGUUAGUCAAAACAAAAUUCUUAAUGCAUAUGAGAAUCUGCCAAGAAAGAUGACUCGUGUUUAAACCUUCAAAGGCCCCUACUACAUUUUUCAUAACAGGGUAUAUCUCCAAAUAAAUCAUUAACCAAAUUUGGAAUACGCAAAUAAAUCAUGUUCGUAAAUGGAAUAAGUAAUCAGAUAUCUGGCUGGCUUCCUCAUGCGGAUAGUAUCUUGUAGAGAUGUAACUGACUUGCGUCAUAAUUAACCAGAAGCUGUUUGGAACAGAUUCAAGAAUCUUUAUAAACUAGCCAUCCCCUAAUAAAAUGUCUGCAUAAUAACAAAAUGAAUAAGCCAUCAUAUUCGAGGAUGAGCAUUGCUGUGAAUCCAAUAUAGGAGAGCAUUGUUGUGAAUCCAAUAUAGGAUAUUAGAAAUCAUGGUUACUUUCCUCUAUAGAUGUAUCCCUAUUUUUAAAAAAAAUACUAAUAAUUCGGGAAAAUGGUAGAAUGGCAUGGAAUGAUAAAUCACUAUGCCAAAAAGGUUGAUACCAACGAGAUGUUCCAAACCAUGUAAUAUUUAAAUUUUUUUACUAUCCCCUCUCCAGAAAAAUUGUGAUAUGAUUGUGUCCAUUUGGCAGUGUGUUCCUUCAUAGAACUAAGAACAUGCCCAUUAGAUAAAUGGGCAUCCUACUUAUUUAUUUACCUUAUUUUAGGAAUGAAUAAUAUUCAACAUAUAUUCACUUACUCUCAUAUUUUAUAGGGCAUGCUAGAAUCUGAAAAGGUCAAUCUUUAUGAACUUUAGCUAAUAAUUAGUCAAUGUUUAUACAUCUUUAGUGUACAAAAGUUAUAUCAAUAAAUUCAUAUUUUAAAUAUCUUGUGAUAUGACAUUGAUUUUUAUUAUCAGGUAAUAUAUGUAAGAGAAGUUAUAUUCAAUAAUGAAGACAUCUCCAAAUCCUAGUACGCUCUACAAAAAGAAACGCAGAGUGCAUUUGGUGAAGUAGAAUAAAAAAAGACCAUAGUGGCAACAUGAAUGCAAUGUUAUAACUUAAGUUUGUUUAUCCUAAGUUUGAUCAAGUCUAUAGAGUUUUUCGAACUAAACAAGUCUAUCGGGUAUAUUAACUUAUGCUACAUCAAAUAAGUAAACUAUAAAAAUAUAUUUCAAAAUUUCAUAAUGGAUCUAAUAUAUAUGGUGCUCAUUUGAACUCAUAACAAAAAUUAUAUCGGGCAGUAGUCUGUUUUUUUUAAUCAGUUCUCCUGUGGAGCACUUUAAGUUUAUGUUUAAGUUUUCCCCUUUUCAAAGAGAUGGCAAUGUGUUCAGAAGCAUACAUGUUCUUGGGGUGUGGCACGCCUAAUUAAGUACAAUUCAAAGACAGAAACCAUUAAAUGAUCACGUUUUAUGAUAAAAUAAAAAUUACACACAUAAAUUCGAAAGCACUACCUCAGCAAUUGUAACCCCUGAUACUUUCAUGUCCAUGCGUGUAGUACAAAUUGACACAGUCUGGACAUAGUAUCUUCGUAAUAUGAGGAAAACAAACACUCUAAUUAAUAGAGAUACAAUUGAGCGUACCUUUGUCCAGAGAAGAAAUCGGUGUGCCCAAGAGCUUGGAGGACGCUCUCAACCCUCUGUUGGCCGCGUAGACACUCCACAUACCACGGUCCGUACACGGAUGCAUGCGAUGACCAAACUACAAGGAGCUAUGAGAGAGAGGCGACAAUUCACUUCCAAUAAAUAAGAGUAUAUAAGUAGUAAAAAGUAGGUGCCGACGUACAAACACUGAAGAAAAAUUAGUUUCAGUUUAUUGCAUCAUGAGAUCCGAAGUACAGACCUAACUCGAUGUCUUUUACUGCUUGCAUAGGCUAGCCUGCAUGAACUCUAGCUUAGUCCUGGGACAAAAACCAUACUUAACUGCCUCAUAAGCUACACGAGAAUACAUCAUAAUAUAGGAAGCCUAGCUACCUAAAACCGAUCGAAUUAUUAGCAAGCAGCAGCGGCGGCACUCCAAUUCCGGUGUGAUAUCAGUAAUAGUGAGCCACCACGCGCACCAGAUCGCAUAACAUACACCAGUUUCAUCAGACGGUGUCUCUUUAUCAGGCAGCAGGAGCGCAGUCAUAGUCGUCAUCGUCGUCGUCGUCUGUCUCCGGCAUCCUUCCUCGCGUGCUGCGCCACCCAUCGCAAGGCGCGGCGUAAACGGCGCCCGAGGAGGACGCAAUGCUGCCGCCUUGGACGAGGAAGCUUACCGCCUCCGCCGACACUGGUACCAUGGCAGUUUUUAAGUGUGCGUGCAAGCGAGCUGCAAGUUACUACCAAAUUAAUUGAUGCCGCGCGCAGCAAGCUCUUGCUUGCUCGAGGUAGAAGAAGCUGCUACUGUGGCUGAUGGGAGCUGUGGAUGCGGUGGGUCUGCUAGUGCUUGCUUAGCUGUGGUGUUGCUGGUGUCUGUGAUUUUGCACGGAGAGGGAGUGGCCGCGUGUGGCGCGGGCUUUAUAGCGCGCGGCCGUCGGACGGCAGUGUGGCGGCACGCGGCGCGCGAGGCCAGGAGCGUGCACCGGCUGCGGCGCUGCGUGCAUGGCACCCCUGCGGCACGGGUUCCGGGCGGGCACAGUCAGCACUCGGCAGCCGCGCGGCGCCCCGCUCCCCCGGCCGAGCGCCGCUGACGGGUGGGUGCCGGACCCUAUGGCAGUGGCCGCAGCCGCUCGCUCUCCGGUGGCGCCGAGCGUGCGCGCGCGACGUGGAGGUGCGGGAAUCGCAGCCCUCGGGCGAGCGCGCGCGCGCGGUGGGGACGGCGCGGGAGGGGAGGGCCACAUCCGGCGAGCGACGCUGAUGCAGCGGGAAAGCAGGGUAGGGUCGGUCCGUGCGCUCGUGGCCCAGCCGCCCCAGCGGGGCCGAUCACUUUCCGCGGCAUCUAGCCGAGGAAGAUGACAAUCAGCGAUUUUCUUGGGAUUUAUUUAUUUUUUACGCGAUCUUGGGAUUUAUUCGAGUGCGCCGACUGCGCCCGCCCGGCAAAGUGGGAUUCGUGGACGCGGCGAUUAUCUGGGCAAGUAGAAGGCACAUGCGCCACACACUACAGCACUGAAGUGGCAUAUGGGUAAAGAAAGGCAAUCGGGUGGAGAAAUAUAUUGUGCGUAGAUCCAAAAGGCUUUGUACACCUCGCUGUUCACCAUCUCCCUCUCCUCUCUCAAUGCAUUCACUGCAGGCAUCAAAACGAAUAGCUUUGAUACAUUUGCUAAAAUCAAUGUCCAACUUUCUCGGUUGUAAAAUCGAUUUUUCGAUAAUCUUUGUCCCGUUAAAUUGUUAGUGACACUACGUUACAAAAUAGUACUACUUAUUACAAAUUUGAUUAAAACUAGACAUGACGAUUUACAAUUUAAAAACAGAUGGAGUAACUAUAUGGAUGGUUUGGUUUUGUUUAAGAAGCAAAGGGCGAUUAGCAGCUGCCGGCAUGGUCAUCAUCAUAAGACUCAAAUCCAUAGGCCAAGAUCCAAAUUCUGAAGAUUCAUGCGAGAAGAUGUCAACAGCUAGCUUUAGGUUAGCUGGCAGUAACGCCAUUCAGCUUUUUUUUUUCUUUUUUGAUGAGGUGCGUAACGCCAUUCAGCUGCACCAACUCGUUUAAGCGAUCAGAGUUGGUGACAUUACGCACCAGCUCUUACACUUACCAACAUUAUUACUCAAUAAUUUUUUUACACGCACCAACUUUUUUUCAUUCAUCAACAUUUUUUGUUUAACAUUUUUUAACAUUCACCAAUUUUUUUACGUAAAAAAUGUUGAGGUACUUCGUUAGAUGUCGGUGUUUAGACCCGGCAACCUACCAAAGGGGGUGCCCAAGGUAGUGUUUUGGUUGAUGGGGCUCGUCGAGAUCAGGAACUCGAAGGUAAACGCAAACACACGAUUUAGACAGGUUCGGACCGCUAGAUUGCGUAAUACACUACGUUAUAUGUGUUGGUUGGAUUGAAUUGCUUGGGAGAGAAUCUCCGCCUCGCUUUAUAUAGUCGGGGGCAGGGUUACAGGUCAGUUGGUUACAAGAAUACUAGUUGGAUACGACUAGAAAGAGACUACCCUAUUACAACGAGUGCUUUCUUAGUCCUCGACCAGUUCAUAUCUUUCCAUGUAGACUACGCCAUCAUGCGUUAUGGUCUCCAUAUCAGAUGCGUCUCGUUGUCCAGCCUCAUAUUUGGAACUAUCCAAACUUUCUGGUGGGUUCAUAAAUAGUAUUUAUGUACGACACCGUUGUGGGUCUAUUAUUAGGCUACUGCUGGGUUACAUACGUACGUACGUAUGUAUAUGUUCCGAUGGAUAUGAUUUCCGGGCAUUAUGGGCGUGUGAUACGGCAUAUACGAGAUACAAUGGGCCGAGCCUAAUUGAGACAACGGGGCCUGAAAACGCACUCCUAGGCCUCUUCAGAUUUGGGCUAGUCUGGGCUAUUUUUAUCCCACUCCAUGUUGUCAUGGGCCUGAACUUCACACAACAGCGAGCAAUUCGGCCGUGCUACAUACAGCCACCAACAACCAUCUCCUCCUCCCUCCCCGUCCCUACGAGGCCCCGUUUACAGCCUACAAUCACAAACCCACCGCACGCUCGUCAACGUUUUCGCACGUGUCCGCUCGCGCUUUACUCGAUCCUAUUGCACCAUCACCGCGCGGUAGCUUUGCUUAGCAUCCAGCCAUCCAUCAAUAGCCGGGCCAAGUAGGCCACCCGGCGCAGCGGCACUGCACGGCGCCGCACAGCAGUACACGCGCCGGCCCACCCGAACGUACCUAGUUGUCGUCACCCCACCGGUGGCUGCCUCCAGCGCGCCCAUGCCCUGACCGCUUGACGCCCAUGUGCAGUCUGGUCUGGCUCCCGCGGCGGGGAGCUGCCGAGCUAGCGGCAACCCCCAAGAAUGGAAUGCGCGAUCGCCACGGCCCACGGUUGGUUGCCGCACCCCGGGCCUCGGAGGUACGUGCGAUUCGUGGUCGGACGCUGCCUGCCUCCAUCCGCCGUGGAACCGACGGGGAUACGAUACAUGAUACGCGCCGUAACUCGCGAGCUUGGCGUCUUCUUCUUGGCUGCUCGUGUCGUGCUUGACGGUGUGGUUCUGUUCGCUGGGGGCAGAACACGGGUAGGUAUGCUUAGCUAGCGAGGGAGGAGGUUCAGAGAAUCAGAGAGGUCGCAAGCUUCAAGACUUCGUCCCGUGGGGAUUCUGAUCCUCUGAGAUUGCAGAGUCGUCGCGUAGAGCGGGAGAGCUAACCUGCCCGUGAUCUAUCGUGACUUCGUCAGCGCGGGAGCUAAGCGUGCGAGUGCGCUACUGUAGCUGUGACUGAAAGUAUGGGGUGAGCCCGGAGACGGAGGUUCAGUCGACCGACAGUCGACACACGAGUCCAAAUUUUUGCCGAGGCGAAGACUGAAAAUGCGCCUCGCGGUGGGCUUAGGCCUUAGGCCCAUCACGGUAUCCUGAAUGCUGGAAACAGAGCCCACCUCUGUUCAGUGCAGCCCAUGAUCACUGAUACAGUCUUUUUUAAAAAAAAAAUCAUCACUGAUAAACUGUCGUGUCGACUACUCGACUGAGGUUGUUAACUUGCUGUUUACCGACAUAGGACACACAAAGUUCAUCUGCUUGCGCCCUUGAUCAAAUCAAGUUAUCAAGUAAUAGUAGUAAUCCGCAAGAACCAAUUCCUCAACACACGAGCGCGCGCGCACAAAAUAAGCACAAAAAGUUUUGAAAAACAGAGGGGAUGAACAAACCUACAUCCUGUUCUUGCUCAGCACUGGGCCCUUGCCUGAAGAGUUGCGGUUGUGAUGAGCAGGCAGGCAAUACGGCCCCUCAAACUGACCCCCCAAUCAUCCAUCCGUCCAUCUGCACGGCACUAUGAUACGAUUGGAAUGCUCGACUGUUUGCGGACAAGAUUGCAGAAAUCUUGGCCAGCUGCCCAGUGGCCACCGUACCUUCUCUAUCUAUCUCCCUAACGGACAUAAAAGACGUCAAUAACAGCAUAAGUUGUUGGGGUAUUUAUUUCUUUUUAAAAACAUCGACUCUUGUACUGAUUCUCCUUGCCUCUUAUCAUUUGCAGUGAGUUGCAGUUGCAUAGAGAAGAUUCCUCUUCUGCUCCUGCUGUCUGGCUUGUUGGUAUGCAAUACUAGGGGCCAAGAGUGGAUUCAGAGAUAGAGAUACCGGUGACAGGAAUCCCCUAUUUUUGUGCGUCUCAGUGUCUGAAUGAUUGAGUCCAUUUGAUUGCCGUUGGAGCUUUUGCUAGACUGCCGUAUUGGCUGCAUCCACCAAAACUUUUGAAUUAGCAUUGCCAGCUUAAAUGCUUCUGGCGCGGACCCGCUAAGUUUGAAAUAUAUACUUGCAUGAUCUGCAUACUGGAUGUUUCGCUGGAUCAUUUGACAUUUGAUGCUGCAUCGUAUCAGUUGACAGUUUAAUUAACAUUCAACAUUAGUAAAAAAGAACCAUCACUUGCAAGAGUCUCUUAACAAAUCAUUGCAGUUGUUGGUCAAACCCUGAUAGCACACAACACAGUAGUGUACUACUGGUCCGGGUUCAAAGCACAUGCAUAUGGCCCAUGAGGGGGGAAAAAAACACCUCUCAUUUGCAGGCAAAUAAACAACCAUCUCCCCUCUUUUCCAGCGUCAAGACCAUCAUGGGCUUGGAACUAAACAAACACCCCCCGGCGCUUUCCUGGGAAAUCUCCCACGGUGCAUUCGCAUGUGCCGCGGUGGACGAUCAAAACCCGAUCGGCAAAAAGCUUGUGCCGCUUUGCUCUCCCACGCGAGGAUAACGGGAUGUUCGGAUGCAUGGAGUAAUUUUUAAUUCGGGUCAUAUCGAAUAUUUAACACUGAUUAGAAGGACUAAACGUGAACUAAUUAUAAAACUAAUUGCAUAAAUCAUGGCUAAUUCGCAAGACGAAUCUAUUAAGCCUAAUUAAUCCAUGAUUAGUACAUAUUUAUUGUAGCAACAUAUGUCAAAUCAUAGACUAAUUAGGCUUGAUAGAUUCGUCUCGCGAAUUAGCCUUCAUUUAUGCAAUUGGUUUUAUAAUUAAUCUAUAUUUAAUACUUCUAAUUAGUAUCUAAAUAUUUCGAUGUGCCAGGAGUAAAAAUUUUAGUCCUAUGUAACCAAAUUAUCCCCCAACACCAUGGAUGGCCAUGUGGAAGGUGGUAGCAUCCCUAUCGUAAUAACAAAAUCUUAACCUACCAAGCGACUCGGUUACGCGUUUCAUGCUCUUGGAGCCGGGCCUUGCACUGUUACACGACAAGGGAAUUCGAAGUAUGUUUUGGAGAUACCCUGGCUGGACGCAUUCAGUUGGUGAACCUGAAGCAACUAAUAACCUGGGAGUAUUAACUAUGCCGCCUAGCGCCUAUGCGAUGAGACGUGAUUCGUGGCAAGUCGGAGAGCUUGAUUCGCCUGUUCGAUCAGCGCGGACACCUGGAGAUUCAUGUACGCGACACGGCGCCGUAAGCACAUGCGAGAUAUAGUUUAGCCGCGGCGGUGGUUAAACAGGAUGUGCUGCAUGUGUGUGUGAGAGAGAGAGACGUGUCUUAGGAUCGGGAUAAACUUGGAGUGAUAUUUGUAACGGGCCUUAGCUCUACACACGCUAUUUAGCUAGCAACACGUAGCAGUCUAGCUAGCAGAUGCCAUGAGCCAAGAAACAGCAUAACGUUAUGAUAUGAUCUACGGGGGAUGGGGGCAUAAAAACAAAACUAUGUGAUGAUCGAUGUCGCGCCACUGUAAGCUUUUAAGCUGCAGAUGCCUGGACGACAUGUGCCGUAGGCCGUCGCUAGCGGUUGAUGUCACUGAGCUGUAGCCGUGUUGUGAUUUUUCCAGCGUCUGCAACACCAUCUCUCGCUAGCAGUAGUACAUACGUGUUCCAUCGGAUCACGACCGUGCCUGUGAUCCGUUCUCUGAACCCAUGAUUAUGCUGGGAAACACAAUCAGAUGGAAACCCAAUUGGCCAGUUGCUAGUGUUUUUUGCUUGUGAAACAUGCAUCUAGCUAGCUGGGUCAGUGUAGUCAUUAUUAUUCUGUCGAUGAUAAACUGGUCCAUAGGGAUGGCUCUUGUAUAUGAUCCUAUAACGUGUUUAAAAAAAAAUGAGAUGUGGUAAAUGGCUCUCAUCAGUUGCUAGUACUGCUGCGGUACUGCUAGGGUUUACGGGCCGGGGCUUGCAUUCAAAAUGAUACGUCAACAUCAUUUUGUACCAAUUCAUGGUUUUGAAUCCGUGUACCCUAUUGCAUGGUACCAGAUUGUGCGGACUCAAAAGGACCCCCCAAAACUUAACUACCUGCCCUAGUCAUACAUCCACUCGGUCACCGAUCGAUGAAUCCUUUUUGUUGUUUUCUUCCAACACAAAUUGCGUUGCCGGACUAUAAUCCGACCCGAUCUAUCGGUGAUCUCCCUGCAGUGGAGCUGGCCUUAAACGAGCCACUAGCCAUAGACGACCAGUAAGAUGAAACCAAAAGAUCGCUAGUUGCCCACUGAUUAAUAAACAAUUCGAUUGCAACUUCACUGUCACUAUAAAGAUGAAGGAUCGGUGAUGUGGUCUCCCGGCCCCUCGCUCACGCACCACCAACCGGUUCGAUCUAGUGGGCAUGACAGGGCGAUGAUUCAGACGCGAUCUUUCUCUAGCUGUCACCCUAUCCAAUUCGUGUGUAUGACACCGAAUCCUAGAUUAGAUAAAAGGGAACUUUUUCUUUGAAACAGAUAAAGGGAACUUUAGUUUGGGCGGGCAGGUUUAUGCUGUCUGCCCGCCCACACCUAGUGCUCGAUCAUCUGGCGAAGCACCUAACCCGAGUUUAUUAGGCGCCAAAUAAUUUGACACGACGACCUAAAAUGCAUCACUCAUCGGAUGCUGGACGCAUAGAAGUAGUACUAUAAAUGCAUAAUACAAUAGUAGCAAUUAAUCCAGCUGCAUAUGAAUGGUGCACUAAUUGGACAUCUGGGCCGAGUUCCUUUGUUUUUUUUCCUUCUUGAAAUGAAUUUGGACCGAGUUCUACGGGAUACCGAGGGAGCUGGAGCUACGAGGCUGGCCGCGCUGAUUGUUGAAUUGAGGUCCUGUUUGUAUACGCUUUUCCUAGUCACGCUUGGAUUAUAAUCUAAGCGAAGAUUUUCUCGCUUCUCGCUUUUCGCUUCUCGUAGUUCAAAUCGUUGAAGCGGCUUACCACAUAAGCGAGAAUCGGUGGAAUGCUUAUUUCCACCGAUAAGCCGCUUAUAAGCGGAUACAAACGGGACCUGAAACACGCACCAGUAGGUAGCAGCCGUGGUCCGUCCCGAAGCUAACUAGGGUGGUACCUGUACGAUACGAUCAAUGACCUGACAUGGUACGAGUUUGAGUAGUUUCAUGACAGUACACCUCGGGAUCUUUGUGGUGGUACGAAACACUUAACCAGCUGAUGACUAAUUUCUCAGUUCGAUCGUUUGGAUUAUGAUUAUGAUUUUUAUGAAUUGUACGCGCCAGGAGCCCCAAGCUUGAUGCGUGUUUACUUCGACUGCAAGAAAACGCAUACAAUUGCUCUCAUUCCCCGGAAACAAAAACAAAUUGGGAACAGCCUUUGACUGAACAAUGAAUGGGAGCGCAGGGCGGCCGGUACUCCCUCCGUUUAUCUUUAUAAAGUGUUGUCCUGUAUUAUAUUUUGACCGUUCAUUUAUCAUACAUUGUAUUGUUUAUGAUUAUAAAUUUAUAAUUAUUGGAAUCUAACCAUUUCAAAUUUAUGUUAUAAAAAAUAAAAAUGAUAGUUAAAUUAUCGAUCAAAGAAUCUAAAAUUUAAAUCUAGAUAUGUGUGUGCGUCUUAUGAAGAUAAACCGAGGAGGGAGUACGUUUAUUCGCGGCAGGCGGCAGCAGAGCACUGAAUCGCUCGAGCAAUUCUAGUGAGACAAAGAAGCAGGGCGGGGCGUUCAAUUCGAGCUGGCAGCUGGCCGCUGGUCCCGGACCGCGCGUAAAGCCGCCACUGUUACUGGCCGGCGCCUGCUGCCGAUCGAUCGAUCCAUCCCUGUGGCUCUCCUGCCGGAUCCGCCGCCCGGUCGGUGGCAAACAAAUACGACGCGCUCGGUCGCUGCUGCCACCGGCCGCCGGCCGCCACGCGCGCGGCAGAGGUGGGCGCCCGGGAGCGGGAUGACGGGCCGAUCGGAUCGGACGGGCGGCGGACGCACGCGGCGCGGCGCAGGGGCGUGGGGCGCGCACCCGCCGGCACCUCAGCAGCAGCUAGCGACCGCGACUCUCCCGGGCGCCGGGGCGCGCCGCGCUCGUGGCAAUGAUUUUAUUAAUUUCGUACGCGCGCACUCUGCGCGCCCCCACCGCUGUGCCGACGCGCCGUGGCGCUGGUACGGUGCAUGCGGCCCAGUAAUGCCGUAUCGCCGUGUUCGUGCCGCCACACGGGAUCGCGCUCCGGGUUCAUGAUACAGCUGGGCCGUUUGUGAUGAUGGCCAUCAUAUGUGUCUGAUCUCGUUGUCAUAGCAGAUGGAGGGCGUACGUCCUCCCAAGUUUGAACUGGAACUAACGAGGGUGGGAUAAUCCAGAUCUCAGGCGAGCAUUUGACCGGUCGCGCCGUGCGUGCGUGCGUGCGUGCAUAUGCACAUGCAUGUGCGCGGCGCAUCAGACGGGUCCUUUUCCUCCGCUCGUCCUUUGUCCGCUGCUGGUACAUGCGUUCCGUUUUUGCGCCCAUUGAUUGCGCUGGGAUUAGUACGUCGGUACCACACACAAAUCUGUGUUGCGGACUUGUUGUGAUUCCAGAGAAUAUCGUUCCGCUGUGUGCGCACAUGAAUCUCGCGCGAGAGGCGCACAUGGCACCGGACCGCACCUUUUGGCGCCUCUUUGUUCGGAACUUCAGAUGAUGCGAGCGUCACCUGGUUUAAUUUGGUAUGGAAAUGUGCCGUUUUCUCUUAAACUACCGCUUGGUCUUGACUCUUGAGGCGAGCAAGCUGAACACAUAUAUGCUCGUGCUCUCAUCUUUUGUUGGUGGCGGACACGGCGGCGACACGGAGCGGCAGGCUAGGGCUAGGUGACUCCUUUUCUCUUCCUUUUUUUUUUAACCGUAGGUGAGGAUCCCCACGCGGCAGGGAACUCGCACGGCUCCGAUCGCACUGUCUGGUCAGGGCAUCUUGCUCUUCCGCGGCAGCUUUUUACUUCCUAUCCACCAUGCGCGCGGGGCCGCGCACGGCGUACUAACCUCUUGCUACGAUGCUUGCUGCUGCGGCGCUGCACCGAUGAUCGAUGACAGCCCCGGUCUGGUUCCGGUGUCCCACCGGUCAGUAGCAGGAUAGCAGCAUCUCAGUACGCAAGUCAGUUCACGCUUGGCGCGGUGGUAAAAAAGACUGGAGGCGAGUCACUUUUGCCCGUCGUCCCAUGUGCAACGCAACGGCCGCGCAGGCGCGGAAAAGGGUCCGUUAGUUUAACCGCGGGUGACACGACACGACACGACUUGGGGGUGCGUGGGACCCGUGCGUCAGCGGCAAUCCGCGUCAGGCGUCCCACGCCCUCGGUGCCGCUGCGCCGGUGGGGCCCGCCACCGCCCCUUUUGGCCGUUACCGUUACAUCCUUGCCGGCUCCCGAGGAGGCGCCUUUCGGCCGGCGCUGCCCUACUGGUGCACGCGGGGAGAGUUUACAACCUUUCGCUCCCUGACAUGUGGGCCCGGUCUGGUGCCCCACAUGGAAGACGGCAAGUGCCCCUGUGCCUAGCGGCGCGUGAAAAGCUGCGCCCUCCUUGGGUUUGGGUCCGACCACGAUUCGGCCCCGCUGAGGCGCUGACCCACCGGCCGAUUACGUUCGUUUUAGCAAGGCACCAAUCACGAGAUUAACAUAUGACUGGACGAUACUAGAUUAGAACUGAUAACGCACGUUAAUUCCUGCCAAGCCUACCAAGUCAGCUUCAAACACCAUAGCACUUGGACGAAAAUUAAAUCCAUUUCUGAAUUUACUAGCUCAAUUUCAUGUUUAUGCCAGGCUUUUGUUCCCCAGUGGUACCUAGAGCUUGGAUAAGGCAAUCAUCAUGAAAGAAACUAUAUGUACUUAUUGAAGUCCAUGGCCGUACAUCUCUAAAAGGAAUCAAUUGAUGGUCUAACACACCAAGCUAUAUACGUGUUCCGCAUAUAAAAAGCGAGGUACUUCCUUAAGGAUAUUGCUUCUGUAUCAAUCAAAUCAUUACCUGAACAAGCUGUAACAUUGACAUUCUUUAUCAUGGACCAAUGCAGCCAUGCAAAUCAAGAAUUUUUUUCCACGUCGCCAACCAGUCCCUAGUUCCCUACUAAACUCAAAAAACAUUUAAAAACCACAGAGACGAAUUAUUGAUAAUCAUGCAUUCAGCAGCCGUCGUGGCACAGUGGUUACGCCUGAAAACAUUAUUCUGGUCUCUGGUGCAAAGUCAGGCCAAGUCUACGCUCCAACCGGGAUUAAAGUAUAAACUACACUAUCAGAGGCGUCGAGCUCACCUGUUUUCCAACAAAAAGCGAGGUGAAAACCGGAAAAGAAAUAGUAGUAGUAGUAGAUACUAGCAGCAGCAUUUCUUUAAAGAAAAAAAAAACUAGCAGCAGGAGCCAUGCUCCAGGGGAGGGGCCGGGCCCACGCGUGAAUCACCCCACGCUGGAAGUGGGGCCUCGGAGGCGCAUGUGCCGGGCUGGGGCUACGCUGGAGCGGGGCCCGCGCCGUAUCUGCAGGAAAAGGAGCGGGGCGCUUUGCCUGCCGGGGAGUGGGGACUGGGACAGGCGGGCAGGUGGUGUGGGAGCCGCCCGUGCCGCGGCGGGGGAGCAGCGGACGGCUGCGAUGCGAUUACCCCGGCCGCGCCGCGAGUCCCGUUCCCGGCCGGGGGGAGCCGACCGUUUGGGGCCGGUUGGUGGCUGGGGUGUGCUGUGCCUGUGCUGCUGCCGGGGUAGUAUUGGCACUCCGGGUCGCCGUGGGAUCGACCCCCUUUUGCCGGCGCAGGCAGAUGGAUGGCUUUCUUCUUUCUUUCUUGACAGGUUCUGUGGAAAGAUAAAAGAUUUUCCGAUCUGCCGAGAGGAAUUUCGAAGAAUCCUCUGUCGAACGGAGAAAGGGAGCCAAGCUAAAGCGUAUUUUUUUUCGUUUAUUUCCCAGCGAACAUGCGAUCUUCUAAAGACUAGCCGAAUUUUGUUGGAUCCACUCCGUUGUUCAUCAAAUGGAUGCCUUGGUUCAAAUGGAUUUCUAAAGUGCGAGCCUGCACCGAGUAAUAUUUUAGUUCAACUAGAUAUAAUUUUUUAACAUAGGAAUCAUGAUCGUGAUCGAAGUUUAAAUAUCGACAAUACAGAUGGAUUCGCUCAUAUUCAAUUACUAAACAAUAAAUUUUUCAACAAUCAGUAUGGAUCACAAAGUUGAAAAUGAACCAUCCAAGUAGGCAAGAGUAGUGCGAAUUUUCAUUUCAAACACAAUGGAACUGUAAGAGUUGACUUGAGCUAGCUUGACAAGCUUAGCAAAACUUGAUAUGUUAAAAAUUCAAAUUAGCAAAAAAUUAGACUCUUGAUGCACCAAAUGUAUCUUACAAGAAAAGAGUAGACACAAAAUAACAGAAAGCCCUAUGCAUGUCUUUUGAUCUAGUCAUAACUAGAAAACAAAAUGAAAAGAAAAGAAACACGACAUCUUCUCCCACGUAAGCAACAGCUAGGCGGGCCUCUUGCAACUGAAGAACUCCAUCUGUCUCCAUGAGCAAAAACCUGCUGCCGCCAGCAGUAGCAACAAGGAAAUGAACAAAAAACGAACAGAAUGAAAACCCUUGGGAUACGGACAACCAAAACAAAAGGGUAGCAACUGGCUCCAAGAAUCCUACCGUUCAUGCUCACUUCGCCACACUAACAAAAAAAAAAUGACCCAGUCCCAGUCACAGCCAGCAUUAGCACAACAAUUCACAGGCCCCGCAAGGCUGCAACAAAAUAGAAUAAAAAAAUAAAAUUAAAAACAAAUCGCAAAGCACUGUUCCAUAAGUACCCUCCCCCUUCCCGUUCCGCCUCUCCCCUUCUUCUCGUCUCCCCUCCGCCGCUUCCGUUGUUCGCAGUGCCUCCCCCUUCUCUUGGCCUGCCUCACUGUUCCGCGUCCGCCGCCCCGGAGGCCUGAGCCGCACGGCGGCACACGGAACCCUAAACCCGCCCCACUCGCGCGGGGGUUGCCCCCGGCGUAUGCGCGGCGGCGGCUCAUAGGCCUCGGCCGCCGGCGAUCGCCGGGAUUUGUGGGGCCAGCGCGGCGGCUGCUACGAGCGGCGGAGACGGCGCCGUUGGGGAACGGUGGGAGAUGGCGGCGGCGGGGAAGGGGUGGGCGGAGCGGGUGCGGCGCGGGGUGAGGACUGUAUGGUUCAUGGUGGUCAUGGUGGCGUCGCUGCUCGUGGCGUCGGCGCCGGCGCUCGUGGCCGCGGGCGACGUCGCCGUGGCGCUGUGGCUCGAGGUGCGCCUCGGAUGCCUCCGCGGCCACGGCCUGCGGGACCAACUGCAGCGGUACCGCUUCCGGAGCUCGCUCGCCGACAUACCGCUCGUCUCCAUCCUUCGAUCUCUCAUCAUCACUUGUAAGCCCUUGCACUUCCUGCUAGACCCUCGCUGAUGCUUCAAAAUGGGCAAGUGACAAGAAUCUAGGGGAACCUUGUUGCUCGUUUUUGUUGGAUUUCCUUCUUCCCCCCGCCCCCCUCUCACCUUUUGAUAUUAUUUGCUCUGAUGAUGUAGAGUCCGUUCGAGUUUUUAGAGUUAAAAAUUUGGGGGUGAGGUCUUGGCUUAAGAUCCUUCGCAUUCCUCUACGAGGAUUUGGUGAUCUGAAAGCUACAGUCUUGCUUCGUCUGUGCUUGUCUUCUUUUGCUUGGACGGAGCUUUCGGCGAAAUCUGCAGUUAUUAAUCGGAGUAUAGCUGUUGCUUGCUCGCUCUUCUUGGGAUGUAGUUAAACUAAGUCAGUUCAUUAGCUGGACUAACUGGGAAGCUCCGGGAACAGUUUGAAGUACUCGUAUACCAAGUUCUGCUCUGUUCUUAUUUGAGAGUAGAAGACUAACCAUAUGUUCUGCUGCCUCUGCAGGUGUAUACCUCAUGUCUGAUACUUCUGGUCUCUCUCAUGGUCCUUACCUUGGAACAGCAACUUUCUGUUCCUUGGCAUCUCUGCUCAUUUUGUUAAUUAAGGCCUCCGUUUAUAGUCCGGGGCAGGACAUUGGGCCUGAGCUCUCGCCGUCAUUGCCGGAUCACAAGCUCAAUCUCAAGAAGCUAUGGGGAAUGCCAGUGCUUUUUCUGUCUUCCUUGGUGUUUGCUCUUGGCCAUGUUAUUGUUGCUUACAGAACAAGCUGCAGGGCUCGACGGAAGCUUCUCAUUCACCGCAUUGACCCUGAAUCGGUACGACUGGCAUGCACUUGUUCUUAUAAAUCGCACUUCAUGAUCAAUUGUACAACUAAGCUGAGAUACCUAUCACCUGCUUUGCACUUUGAUGUCUUAUUGAUCUAAAAUUUGAUGAUUUAUGACCUUUACCGUUUUCUGCUCUUUUCAGAUUUUAGCGUACAAGAAUGCCUUUUCUGGAUGCUACAAGGUUCCGCGGUCUCCUACACCAUAUGGUGCAAAGCUUUUCUCAAGGAGUGAAAGCGAGACAAAGAGGAAAACAAUUGUACAUGAUGACCGCGAUUUGCCAAUCAGUUUUCUUGCAGACAGUGAUAGCAUGUUCAUUGCUUGCCAGGGGAUCACUGUACACUACAAAAUUUCCGAUCCAUCAACCUGCUUAUCGUCGCCCCCUGACUCCUUUUCAGAAAGGGAUACUCAUCAUGAUGUAAUUUCAUCGAGCAUUUCUCCUAGAAGACAGAGACAUGAGAGCCCACCGUCCGCUUCCUCCAAUACCCGCCGCCUUCUGAAUAGGAGCUUUAGCCAUCAAUAUCAUCAAACUUCUCUAUAUGCGCCACUAUUGGUAGAACCAGUGACAUCUCCAACUUUGUCAGAUGAGAUCCCUCUUAUGAGUCUUGAUGAUGGCAGUGCUGACGUAUAUUUGAAUCCUGUGGGCUUUGACCUUGAGGCUGGAGAGCAUGGUAAAUUUGCUGUAGUUUUAGUGCAUGGGUUUGGAGGGGGAGUAUUCUCGUGGAGACAUGUCUCUAAUUUGCUAGCUCGACAAGUGGGCUGCAAUGUUUUGGCCUUUGAUCGCCCAGGAUGGGGAUUGACAUCUCGACCUCGCAGAAAGGACUGGGAAGACAAGAAAUUACCAAAUCCAUAUGAGUUAGAGUCUCAGGUGAUCCUUCUCAUCUAAUCAAAAUAUUAUGUUUCCCUCUUUUUUUCUGAGAGAAGAACCCUUAAUGCAAGUCUAGUAACUGCAGCUGGCAUUUGAUCCUAUAGUUCAAUUUUAUUGUCUGCUUUUUUACUCACCUACUAUUAAGAUUUAAGAGUAGCAGCUAACUGUUACCUUUCCUGUAUCAUAUUUUACUGUUACAAGUAUUACCAUCUGAGUGUCUAAAGCUUUCAACCUCAGGAUGAUAUCUAUUUUCUUUGAAAAUGGUCUAGUACUAACAGCUUGUAAGGGGACAUUUCUUUAUUAGAAAGAUUGCCAACAGAUUUAGUUGCAAGGGCUAAACAAAAUAUCCUAAUGUAUUUUGAACAUUAAAAUCAUGCUUACAUGAUCAUAUGCAGGUUGAUCUUCUUAUUUCAUUUUGCUCGGAGAUGGGUUUGCGCUCUGUGGUUUUAGUUGGUCAUGAUGAUGGGGGCUUGCUUGCCUUGAAAGCUGCAGAAAAGCUGCGCACUUAUGGAGAUCAUAUAAAGGUAACUUCCCUUUGAGAAAAUUAGCUUGUUCUCGUCUCAUUUUGUUUUGGAUGGAAGCUAAUACAUCAUGUAAGGUUGGCAUUGAACAUUACUUUUUUGCUUUUGCAGGUUGAGGUGAAGGGAGUUGUUCUUGUAGGUGUAAGCUUAUCAAGAGAAGUGAUUCCUGCAUUUGCUCGUAUACUACUGCAUACACCUCUGAGGAAAAAGCACAUGGUCCGUCCACUUCUUCGUACUGAAAUAACUCAGGUUAUCAAUCGACGAGCAUGGUAUGAUGCCACAAAGCUAACAACGGAAGUUCUUAACCUGUACAAGGUAAGCAUGCCUUUUAAGAGGUCAAACCAUUGAUGUUCAUUCAAAGUUUACUUUUGGGAAGUUUGUUACAGAUCUGAUACAUCUAAUCAUGUGUUUAUUGGACCACCAUUAUUUGUCCUGUGAAAGAAAAAAUUCAAGUCUUCUUACACCUUACUGUUCAAAUAACUGUUUAGUAUCUAUAGCCUUCCUAUUCUGUCCAUGUGAAACAAGUACUACUUUUAAAUGCACAUGCUUUGUCAUUCUGUGAAUAUUGGAUUGUUUGACUGACUUGGUUUGCUUUUGCAUUUAGGCUCCGCUAUUUGUUGAGGGCUGGGAUGAAGCACUACAUGAAGUGGGCCGGCUUUCGUUUUCUACUGUCCUAUCAUCAAAAAGAGCGGCAGAUUUAUUAAGAUCAGUGGAAGACCUUCCUGUUCUGGUGGUAGCAGGCUCUGAGGAUGCUCUUGUUUCUGUGAAGUCGGCACAAGCUAUGGCUUCAAAACUUGUAAAUUCUGUAAGUAAUCCGCUCCCAUUUGUUGACUUACCCGUUAGUCGAGCACAUGAUUUUGCUAUGGACUUAAUUUAUACCUAUUUGGUAUUCCUAACAAUAUACUUCGUUCUACUUGGGCAGAGGAUAGUAACUGUAUCGGGAUGUGGGACAUUUGCCACAUGAGGAGUGCCCCAAGGCAUUACUCUCGGCGCUUUCUCCUUUUAUCUCUAGAUUGGUACCAUCAGAAGAUUCGUUGCAACAAAGACUCUAGUGUAUACUUGUCCUCCCCACCAAGCCAAGUAAGAAAUCGUGUUGUUUUUUCCCUCUUCUAGGACCUGACAGCACUCUGUUGUGCCCGUUUAAUUAUGAUUCCCAAAAAAUACUUGAUAAGCUUGAAUUCGUAUCUCGAUGCUGUUUAAUUAGUUCGUAUACCAUACGUUUUAAUCAAGACACAUACACAUGAGUCCUCUGUACUUGUGUUUUCUUCAGCUGCUGCCGCUACGGAGGCCAAGAUCACGUGCGACGAGAACGGCGUUGACGAGGGCUUCCCGUACGCGCGCCCGCCGGUGUGCGAGCUCGCCGGCGACAUCCGGAUCAGUCCGAAGGAUAAAACCAUGUACUUCGUUAACCCGUCGGGCGCUGGCCCCUUCGACGCCAACGGGGAGAAGAAGAUUCGCCCGUUCGCCCGCAAGGACGCCUUCCUCCUCCCGGGUGUUGUGGAGGUCACGAUCAAGUCCGUCUCCUCGGCCGAGGCCGCGCCGCAGUGCACGCGGCGGCACGGCGUCCCCGUGGUGGUCUUCUCCGUGGCUGGGUACACGGACAACUUCUUCCACGACAACACGGACGUGCUGAUCCCGCUGUUCCUCACCACGGCGCACCUCAAGGGCGAGGUGCAGCUCCUCAUCACCCACUUUUAAGCCGUGGUGGGUGCACAAGUUCACGCCGCUGCUGAACGAUGCUCUCCAACUACGACGUGAUCAACUUCAACAGGACGAGGAGGUGCACUGCUUCCUGACCUGGCACUGCGGAUGUACGCGACCGCGACUUCAUCAUCUCCNNNNNNNNNNNNNNNNNNNNNNNNNNNNNNNNNNNNNNNNNNNNNNNNNNNNNNNNNNNNNNNNNNNNNNNNNNNNNNNNNNNNNNNNNNNNNNNNNNNNUUUCAAUUGUUCCCUGUGCUUCUGUCCUCCACACUGAGUAGGCCCCUCUAGUUGGUAAUUUGGUAUGUGUUUGUGUGAGCCAAUGUAGUGCGAAGUAGUAGUGGAGCCUGACCCAAAAUCUCAAGGGUUCCUAGAGCUCCCCUGAUUUUUUGUCACAUGUAAUGAUUUCAAUGGAGCAAGUUGAAUCUGUAUAGCACAUGCUUGCUGUGUUCCGGUCCUCGUCUGGUUCAGUUUGAGAUACUGUUAUCAUCUUGAAAUGGCUGAGAUAAUUGAAGCCUUUUUCGGUGUUGCAAAAUUAAACCUGCACUGUCUUCAUGGCUCGUAUCAUGUGCCAGUGCCACUCCCUAAUCCAGCAGGGAAUGCCAAACAGUUCUUUUGAAUGAGCACGAGCACGAGUGGUGGAAGGUGAGAGGUGUAGCUGCAAAUAAAUUAGAAGAUCAGGAGCCCCCGCCUCACAUGGCCUGUGCUGGGGAUCCACAGGGAGCCCCAAUGCUCUUUGAUUGCGCCACCCACCCGGCGAUUGGAAGUUGGCAGAUUGUUCAUGAAACUUCACAGGCGAUUCCCGUGGCGCAUUGAGAUGCUUCAGAUUGGUAGUUGGCUGUUUACACACACGGGUCGAUUUCCUUGGAGGCCUGUUCAUCAGAAUUUGCAAACAUGGAACGUUGUCAGCUAUGUUAACAGGACAAUGGACAGACUCAUCAUGCUCAUCAAUGUAGCAUGGUCAUAUUAAUGCCGGCAAUUAGUUCAACGAUUGGGCUGGGGCUUUUCUCUACAGGCCCUCUCUCGUCCAAAAUGCGUUUGCGGGCGGCUUCUCUAGCCCAUCCAGGAUGAUACUGGCCCAAUCCAAGAAUGAAAUUCUGAAAACAUAUCGUGCAUAAUAUUGUGGUGCUGAAAGAGGACCAACCACAGAACUGAAAUAACAAGGAACGUGUUGAUUUGACAAGUCAAGGGCCUCAGAUUUCUUCGCAAGUGAUACUGAAUUUACAAAGCCUGCAGGUUUCGAUUAUUGGCGUAUCUCACGAAUUCACAACUCAAAUGUAUAUUUGUCGGUUUUAGAGAAAGCUUGAUCUCGAGGACAAAAAGAAAAAGAAAUCAGGUAAACUGGACAACCCUACUUACAUUUUUCUGGAUCCCUUUCUCUUGAAAUGAGAGCAAGUAACUACAGACCACCGGACCAGCUGGCUACAAUUUCUUUUCCAAGCUGGACCAAAACUAUCAUGGUAAUUUACAAGGUGGGCAUACACAUCCCCACUAGUUCUUCAAUUGGAAGAACUUCAUACGUUAACUGCCAAUCACCCAGUUUGUAUCGCAAGCGUGUUUGGUUUCACGGACUAAAAUUUAGUCCAUGUCACAUCGAAUCUUUAUAUACAAAUUAAAAGUAUUAAAAAUAGACUAAUUACAAAACCAAUUGUACAGAUGGAUAGAUUCCUCUCGCUAAUUAGCCUCCAUCUACGCAAUUGAUUUUAUAAUUAACAUAUAUUUAAUACUCCUAAUUAGUAUAUAAACAUUCGAUGUGACAGGAACUUUACUUUGAACUAACGAUCCAAACAGGCCCUAACUCUAUUGUGAAAUUGCAUUAAGGGCACAGUUCGCUCACUUCUCGUCAGGCCUUAUUUGCGCAACUUCUGGCACCCAGUCAUCACUGACGAGAACAAUAUGAUCACCGUCUCUGAUAAGCUCCACCUCGUCAAUCUCAGCACCUUCAACCGUCUGGACCUUGGUGGGCAUGAAGCCAAACUUCUUUGCGCCUAGUUCGAGGAGUUCCUUCAUCGACCGUGGUAGGAGCACGAGCUUCCUGGCUGUGUCCCCCUUCUCGGGGCAGCUGAGUGUCACCCUGACGAGGGAAUUGUGACGGCAACUCGGACCACCUGUUGCUGCAAGGUCUCUCGAGAGCAUACGGCCAGUGUCCUGGUGGGCGUGGGUUGAAGAAAUGACACCAAAAAGGGAGUUUUGGAAAGUGACCCUCUUUCUCAGGAGCCUCUGCGGGACAACUUUGCUGCAUAAUUCGGCAUCUUCAUGGUCCACGUUUGGCAUUGCGGGCUCACUGUUGAACCUCCCUAUCAACAUAGGUGCCACCCUGCUAUUUGAGACACGGUGACUUGGUGCUACCCGUGAUUUGUUCUUAAAAAGGACCUGUAUGUCGUCGUGGCCUUGUUGUACAGCUAGAUCUCUUGGACUCCAGCCAUUGCUGUCCUGCUUAUCGAUGUCAGCUCCAUGUUCCAGCAAAAGUUCAACCAUCUGAACAUUUCCGUCACAGACAGCACGGUGCAGUGGAGUGGUUCCAUCUCUCGUUGAUCUGUUUAUGUCGCCACCAUAACGGAUAAUGUCCUUAAGCAGCUCCGUCUUAUUAUCCUCAACAGCAACACAAGCAUACAAGGCCGUGUCUCCAGAAGAUAGAUCUGCACCAUUCUCAACUAGCAACUCUACUACUGCAGCAUGCUUUUCACACAAAGCCUCCCACAGUGGAACUUUUCCUUGGUCGUCUGUAAUGGAAGGGUUAUUGGCAUGUCAGCAUGAGGAUUUGUCCAAUCUACAUGAACUUUAAGACUCAUGUGGAAAUUAAAAUUAUUAUGAAUGAAACAAGAAUUCUUAUAGUAGUAGAUUUAGUUUUCUAGGUGGCAGACUGACAAUAAUUUCAGAGGAAUUUUGCAAAUGAUACAUUUGUUUUGUUGUGGCCUAUCUGUAGAAGAUGUAUCAUAGUUUGUUUAUGCAUACCUCUAGCAUUAGGAUCAGCUCCAUGGUCUAGAAGAAGCUUGACGCAUUGCUCAUUUCCUUUGGAAGCAGCUAUAUGCUGUAGAAAAUAAAAAUCAACAUUGUUAAAUUUCUUGCUUAACAAAAAUCUGUGGGCAAACAUCUAUUCAUCGAUGGAUAUACACACCAGUGCAGUAUGGCCAUUGUUAUCUGAUUCAUUUGGAUCAAAACCACGCUUCAGAAGUUGAUGCAACAAAAGGUCAUCUCCUCUAGUUACCGCAAAACAGAGGGUAAUUGGCAAAUCCAAAUGACCCCGUGCUAGCAUGUUCUCAAUCUCCUUCAGAACGCCCACCAUUACACUGUUGUCUUUCUGCUCUUUUAAUAACUGCACCAAAAGUAGGGGAAGAAAAGGAAGAAUGAAUCUCCUUAGAUUUAAACUUCUCAUGGUAUCAUAGUAUCACAGUACUUCUAUGAUCAUAUAAUUUCUCAAAAGUACAUUCCCAUUAUGGUUGUUUUGGUUACUCUCAGGAGCAUGAAAGGGAAAAAUCAUGCCGCAAUAGUAACAUGAUCCAUAAGCUAAUAUAUGGUAUAGCGAUUAUGUGAUAUUGAAUUCCACAUAUUGUUAAGCAAUAUAAGACAGGUUUAAUAACGGACACCUGAUCUGAAUGGGUUGAUUUCCAGGGUCUUUUCUAUCUCAAAACUCUACAAUUUUUUUUAUAUAGCUAUAACAUGCAGCAUUGAAGAAAAUUACGAAGAAUAAUGUGGUUCCUGUACCUGAAUAAGGUUGUUCAUUAUUAUCGUUCCAUCUCCAACAUUGGAUUGAACAAUAUUGAGAAAGGCAGUGCGAUUCAUACGGAGAAGCUGGCAUAACGACUUUGUUCGAACUGUGAAUAGUUGAGGCCUGUAGCAAAGAACCCCAAUUUCUCCAACAACAUCUCCAGACUUAGCCACUCCAGCAACCUGCAAGUAUUAGCAUAUUAUCUUCAGAACAAUUUGAUGCAUAAAUUCACUUCCACUUGAGCAUCAAAGCAACAUAAGACUUGCCUGUUCUGCACCAUUUUGCAACUCUAUUAACUCCUGCAGAAGUGACAAGCAUAUUAGAAUGACCAUGUGAUCUUGGUUUCAGUGCUAGUGAUAUCAGAACAAACUAUGUUUUCUUACAUAACUAAAUCAACUAGGAAAUGAAGAAUUCUCAAAAAAGUAUUCUUACCGCGCUGCCAGUAACUAAAAUGUAGAAGUCAGUGGGUGCUUCAUUCUGCAGAAUCACAUCUUCCCUAGGUGGAAAAUAUUCAGCUUUCAUCUCAGAAACCUUGCCCAUGCAAUCACACAAAACAAGAUAAGCGCAUGAUCAAGCAGUACCAAAACAUUUUAGAAGGACAAAUAAAUUGGAAUUCCAGUAGCCUCACCAGUUGAAAAAUAAGGUCAUUGGACACCCCUUGAAACAAGUAAACCUUUUGGACAAGAUUAAAAAACAGAUACUGAGAAAUGCUGGAUCUGAUAGCCUUUGGCAGCGUAUCAAGGGUUUCUUGCUGUUGAAGACCUUCUGAAUCUGUCCUGAACUUCAAGCUAAGAUGUGAGAUCAUUUGAUCUUGCAGCCGAGAUGGUAGCUGAUUCCUUAGUGCAAAGCUGGUUGCUGCUUGAAUUGUAUCUCUCUUUUAGUCCAAAACAUAAGAGAAAAUAUAUUAGAUCCAACUUUAAUAUGACUGUUAGACAUGACAUUGAUAUUAAUCAAUACUUGACAAAAAAGAACUCACAUAUUUUCGAGUACGGCUGGUGCCAUGGACAACUAGAUUGGUCAUGUUUCCGAUCAAGUAGGCAGUCAAUCCAAGGUUGAAUAGCAUGUAGAAAAUGUUGAAUACCAUUUCCCUUGUGUUCUCCGCGUGUAGAUCACCAUAACCCACAGUGGUCAGAGUAGUGAUUGACCAAUACAUUGAUGUAACAUAGCGAAUCCACAAGCUACGGUGAUGAAAAUCUGGCAUCGAAUUGCCAAUCCACGUAUCCGAUGGGUCAGGAUACCUAUCAGCAAGAAGAUAGUAGAAGCAUGCCGAACAGUGGACUGCAAAAAGUGUAACCUACAAGAUCAAAAGUAAGCGGAUAGUCAUUCCUCAUCUGUCAGUAAUACUAGGAUUUACAGGAGACUCUCAAAUGUUCUGAUUACUUACACAUAUGAGCUUUGCACAUCGAACCCAGAAAUAAUUGAAGUGUCUAUCCUUCUCCAACCUGCAAGUAGAAAAGCAUAGAUGAAGACGUUAUUUUUCUCACUAGAAAGACAAAAACAUGGUAUAAUGACACUAUCCAUGAAAAACAUAGAGCAUUAGAUUCCCAUAUGCAUAUGCACCAUCGUUAACAUACCUAGCAAAGAGAGAGCUGACCCUACGAAGACGCCAUAGACGAAGCAUGUUGAAAAAGCCAUACGACCUCAGGUUUGGAGGUAGUAUCUUCCGAGCAAGUUCUGUUGGGAUGGUGGAGGCGACGUCAAGAACAAACCAAGUGGUAGCGUACCGCCAAGCUAUCUUCUUUGGAUCAUCUUCAAGCAAGUAUGUCAGUCUAUCCAAGUAAGCUACAAAGAAGGUCAGGAUGAUGUCCACUGCGAAGAUCGCGUUCACAACAUUGUCCACUAUAGCUAGGCCUCCUGUUGGUUUUCUAAUGAAGCCAAACUCAAAUGGGGAAACCCAUGCAGAGUAGACAACGAGAAUUAUGAGAAAAGUCUCCCAGCAUCUGCAUAGAAUUAACAACUGCAUAUCAGAAUUUCUUCUUCCUUUGUUGUAACUAAACCGCCUUAUUUUCUACCACCAAAUUGUCCUGCUCACAGGGAAAGCAUUGUAAUAGAUUUGUUUAACAUUGCUGCAGACUUUAUAUAAUUAUCUUUGAAAAAGGAACUCUAAAGAAAAACUGUUCAAUCAUUCAAUUAGAGUUCCAAUAGUCCAUAACAUCAUUACAAUAGCAACUAAAUUAUGUAAAAAAAUAGAAUACAUAACCUUUGCUAAUUUGGAAAAGUAAACUAACGAGCACAUAGGAAAAAAGAAGAGUUGAAAACAAUGAUAAAAUCAGAAGUUAUCCUGGGAACACAUGGAAAUACCACCAAACAACUCGCUAAUUCCAAAACGAUUCAAAAAGGUUUUCCACCCGAAUCCCGUGACUGAGCACUUUUGACAACGAAUCGUUACAUAAAGAAGCGUAAAACGUGAGUACAAGAAAUGCAGAGACGUCACCAUCGAGAUCAUGCCUUUCUUGUCUCUCUUGUGAACUAAAAAAGAAAAAUUAAAGGAGACACCAACAACCUAAGCCGUCCAGAGUAAACAAAAUCAAAUCAAAAAUUCGAGUACCAUAAAAAGCAAAACAUAGAAUAAUCAAUUAUUGACUUGCAAUAGGAAAGCAAUUAUUCGGUCCAAGUGAAACCAAGAAAUCACUUUAAAAAUCAAAAUCAUUUUCUAUUCAGCAAAAUAUAAGCACCCAAUAGAAUUAGUGACAAAAAGGUUAAGAGAAAAAGGGCAGUGCACAGGUAUAAGCAAUAGAGGAUAUAUAAAGAACAAAAGGGUGGCCAAAAUUAGGAAGCCACCCUACUAAUUCAGUAAUUCAUGAAAACAAGAGCAGCAAUUGGAAUUCUGCAUAAGAGAAAACCCGUCGGCUUUCUCCACCCAGAAUUACAGACAAGCAACUCUUCGCCGACCAUCACCAAAAAUCGAGGCUGCCAGAGCAAGCCGUUGGCGAGCCAGAAGCAAACAAUGCAACACAGACCAAACCAGCGCAGGUGCAGAUUACCGAGAGAAGGGAUGACGAGAUGGCAGAGUACGAGACACGCAGCGCGGAAUCGUAAAUUCGGAACCGAUAACGAUGAGGAGGCGGCGAACCUGUAUCGGCGGUCGUAGGGCGAGACGAUGAAGGGCCUGAGCUUGAUGCUUCGGUUGCUCCGCGCGCCGAGCGACGGCAGGAUGCCGCUAGAGAUGCUGUAGUGGCUGCCGUCCCGCGACAGCUCUCUCUCCAUCGCCCCGCCCCACGGCCCGCACGCCGCCACCCUGGACGACCCCCACCCCGCCAUUGGCCCCUGCCGCUCGGCGGCGGCGGCGGCAGCGGAGGCGGGAUAACCCCCCCUGACCACCAAAUCUGACCUGGCAGUGCGCGUGUAAAUUGAUCGCGGAUCGGGUUCCCUAGUCGGCUAGUCAAUUUUUUCCUCGUGUCCUAUCUAUUCUCGGCUCUCGGGCAGCGGGGACGACGCGCGGGCGGCGGCGCCGCGGGUGAGAAGGGGGGCAGGGGAGGAGAGAGCUGGAGCCGGUUGGGCACCUGGGGCUUGGCUGGGGGAGUUGGGAUGUGGGAGCGAGCGCGCGCUCGGCGCCGUUUUAUGGAGCGGUUUGGGAGGGAGGUGGGGGUCGGCUCGCCGGCUCGCGAUGGUGACGGGGAGGGCUUUUGGCCCUUGCCCCCUCCUGCCCGCGCGCGCAGGGCGGAAACGCGGCGUUUUCCCGUGGGAGCGGCGCGGCGCGGCCCGAUGAACCGAUGGAUCGUUUUCCGGGCGGCCGCGGGCGGGCCUGGCUGCCUAGCUCGGUUUGGUAAUGACGCGUACGGGUGGCAGUGGCAGCAGGGCUGGGCAAAGAGGAGAAUAGGAGAUAGAGAUACCAAUAGUGUCUAACCAAUACCAUCCAUAGUUUCGGCUGGGUGCGCCAACCGUUUGGCGAGCAACAAAAUUCUCAAAAGAUUUUUCGACAACAUGAAUACAUAAUCAGCCAAAAUUAUUUUAUUAUUGAUUGCGAGAUAACGUAGUAAGUCCAAGAAGCACGUGUAGCUUAACACCACCACCAUCUUAUACACACAAGCACAACUCAUAAACGUCUAUGGUCGAAGGCUGGCACACGUGAUGCAAUCCACGAGAUAGAAUCCAUGAUGUGUAGCUUAACACCACCACCAUCUUGUACACGUCUCAUAAAACUCUACAGCGAACGCACACAUGAUAUAUUCCAUGAGACAAAGUUCGUGACGGCGACGCUACCGCUUACAUUGUACAUGUAGCUUAAAACCACCGUCAUCUUGUACACACGUCUCAUAAAACUCCACGGCUGAAGGCGUGCAUGAUGCAAUCCACGAGCCAAAAUUCAUGACGCUACUACUUACAUUGUCCAUAUGUAUGGAAUAUCUAGGAAAAGUGUAUCUAUCCCUUCCUCCACUAUAGGUAUGAAGCGUCUUUGCAUGCCAUGCAUAAGGAUCUCUGGGGUGCCUUGAGGGCUAAAGCCGGUGAUUGCUUCCCUCCUUUAUAAAUAUGGCUUGAUCUACUUGAAAUGUUCAUUGGAGUACUUGGAAAAAUAUUUUGAGCAUCAUUUUGUGGAAAAGUUUGUGCGCGCAAAGAGGACUCAUGGUAUGUAUUCUCUUAUUUAUUUAAUUAUUUCAGAUGCAUUCUUAGCAUUCUGUUUUUGCUUAAAAAAACUUGCCUAAGCCAAAAUCUUUAGUCAUGGCUAAACUGAAAUUAUAUCAUGUCAACUUUGCGUACUAUCCUGAACUUAAAACAAUGUGAUGUACACAUUGAGAAAUAACGAAAGCACAGGAAGAGUUGACGAGAAAGUUUGAGUUCAAGUUUAGUAAUGUAGCUGGAAAGCGAUAGCAAUAUGAUGUAGCAUAGAAAGGAGGUCAAAUUUCAUACCUAGCUUAUGAAAUUUUGCGCGAAGAAGACCAGGCAAACGUGUUAUAGAAUGGGUGCGGCUAGGUUGACAUGGGCGACCUGUGGUGUACGAUUUUCCAUAAAAAAAGGAAGAGCACAGAUAAAGUUGGAUUAUUUCAAAAUGAUGAAUAGAGAGGUGAGGUUGAUGGAGUGGGGCCGUGCCGCUGUGGUCUGGCUCUCUGGCUACGCGAGCCCAAGCUAUCUCUAAUCUCUAACACAAACAUUUAAUAGUAAUCUUCGGUAGUGCUAGUAGAAGAAGGCACUCCUCCCUCCACCUACUUCUGUAAAAAGUAAAAGUUUACAAACUUUUGACUGAAAAUAGUCAAAUUAUCCCCUCUGGUCACAAAUGUUUGAUGCUUUGGACACAAUAUCCGAUCAAACUUCUAAACUUUGACAAUCAAAAGCUUCCAAAGCAAAAUCGGGAGCACAAAAAACAUGUGCGGGUAUAUGCAUGUUAGUGUCAAAGAAUAUAUGAGAAUUACUUAUUCAAUGCAGUUUAAUAUAAUAUUGAUUUGACAUGCAAUACAUUCAUCCAGAAAUUGAGUAUCACGAUAUACUCCCUCCGUCCCAAAUUACUAUUCGUUUUGAGUUUUUUUAGAUCGUAGCUUUUGCUAUGCACCUAAAUAUAUAUUAUGUCUAGAUACGUAGCAAAAGCUAUGUAUCUAUAUAAAAGCCAAAAUGAAUAGUAAUUUGGGAUGGAAAUAAAAUGAAUAGUAUCUAUUAAAGCCAAUCGGGACUAAAGGUGAUCCUCAAUAAAAAUCUCGUCCGUGAAGACAUCUUUAGUCCCGGUUCCGAUUAUGCGAGAUGGGAAGUGGGAGCCACACUGCGUGCAUUUGCAGUCCCCAAGUGGAAGCUUCAUGAGCGCUGUCUUUGAACUUGGCUUAUGCUUCGCAGGGGCGCGCCCAAGUUGACCUGUGUGAUCAACGACGCGCAUCAGGCGGCGUUCGGACCUCCUCGUACCCACCAGCGCACACCCAGCUAGUAGUACUCCAAAGGGCAAAGGGACAUGCCACAUUAAUCCAUGUGCUGCAUCCAAUAAUUCUUCUUUCGUCGCUAAAGCGAGAUCUAUACCUCCAAUUGUUUCAAAAAGAUAUAUACCUCCAAUGAGGCGUAUCAGCGGAUUCACAGAAAUGUAUCAACUGAUGAAAAGCAAAAAUAAAAAUAAAAAAAAUCAAAACGUCUAAGCAAGGUGCCUGAUCAAAUCACAGUGCUGGGGCCUGUGAGCAAUAGGCAAGUAGCAACUGAUCUACCGGCAACGGCGACCAAUAAUGCAGCGUAGAACAUGCACGAGCACGAACCGAUGCAUGAUGCAAACGGCGGGCAGACUCUCUGGAGACUGAUUGACUGAAGAAGCGCAAUACAAUAAGAUAAUGCUCCCCGUCCCGGGCUAGGCAAAUCUUUGGACGGUCGCAUCGCAUCACCAUCACCACACACAUGAUCUGUUUUGCCAGGGGACGCUAGCUGCUGCUCUCUUUCCACCGGGAUUUCAGUGGGGAGUGGGCAGGUGGCGUUGCUCGUCGUCCCACUCUUGUCUCCGGUUGGCUACUCGCAGUUGGGGACUUUUGACGGGCAGCCAGGCGAAGGCCGACACCUGUGGGAAACGGGACGAGCGAACGUGAUCCCGUGCGGUGGAGUGGUGGCUCCUUUCUCCGGACGGAGGAUCCAUAUGUGCGUGGUUCAGUUUUUCUCUCCUGUUCUGCAAUGCCAUGAUUCCCUUAUUGCCUUGUGAUUUGAACUAUGAAUGAAUCUAUGAUGAUCUGUAAGCUAUGGUGAUUGUUUUGCCUUUGUAGGUGGUUGUGCUUAUCUUGCUCCUGGGAUGUAAUUCCAUUAUAUCUCUAGGUAAUCUCAUAAUUUGUUGGACACGAAAGCCAUUCCUAGUACUACUACCGCAUUCUAUUUUAUUUUGAAGUGCUAUUAUUGAUUUGUUGUGUAGCAUAUUAUAUAUUCCCUCCGUUCCAAAUUGUAGGUUGUUUUGACUUUUUUAGGUGCAUAAUUUUUGUUAUACACUUAGAUAUAGUGUAUGUUUAGAUGCAUAAUGAUAUCUAUGAAUCUAGAAAAGCUAGAACGACCUACAAUUUGGAAGGGGGGAGUAUAUCGUAACAAAUCCAUCACCGUGGAGGGUUUUUCCCUUUUCGCUGCUAGUAGCGUUAGCUAUCCAUUACUUCUCAUGACUGCUGAGGGUUUCUUGAUGCCUCGCCACACAACCAACACUUCCCAAAUACUACUACUCGGGCUCCACCAAACACAACUCUAUCAUGCGUGUCGCAACAUCCAAUCCACCGCCCUUAUCUGGUGAUGCCAUCAAAGUCACCACCAUGUCCGCAUUUGUUCCACCAACACCCCCACAGCUCCUCUACCCCGAAACUAACCAUGAGCUUUUAAUGUCACGUACGUCAUUGUCAUCUUAAGGUGGUAGAGUAACGUGUCAAGUAUGCUAUCACGUAUAAUGAGGCAAUAGUCAAAAAGACCCCACAACAAGAAUAUGGUUUGUCGACACCAUAUAUGGAGGCAUAUUAGGAAUUCCAAAAAGGAGAAAAAUGUGAGGAAGAAGGAAGGAAUAAUAUAUAUAAGCACAUCAUCAUUUAGACAUUAUACCCUUGUUAUCAAAUGGACACACGAAUACACCUAAAAUCAUGACACAGGCACUCCAUAGAUUUUGGAUGUACAUAUACCAAAACGACAACUAGGUUAGGAACUAAGAUUAGCUAUGCUGUUUGAAGAUGACUGGUGCAUUCUCCUUAUCUUAUCAUAGCCGAAUAUAUAUAACCAUUUAUAUUCCUACGAGCAACUAGUGAUGCAUACCACACUUUACAUGAUCCUGAAAAGCAUUUGCAUGAUAUUGGGAGGGCCAGGAAGUUCACAUCUUCCAAAAGUUAUUCCUUUUGAUCUUCGGAUCAGUCUCUACGAAUUACGCUAGCUCCUCGCUUAUCACGUAUAAUAGCAUCCGAACUGUCCAGAUAACCAAGAACAAUGCACACACGACCAAAGGAAUCGCUCUAUCGAUCGAGAGAGAUUUCUUCACCAGCUCUAGGAACGUCGAAUUAGGCGUCAAGGAUCGAAAAUGAAAUAAAGUUAGUACCACCAAUGCCUAUAUGUGGCAUAUUUGCUCCUGAAUUGUUGUCAAACUAGACGUGUCCAUCGAGGGGGGGACUGGCAUAGAUAAAGGCAUAAAGCGAAUAAUGUUUGGCUGCUCAAUCAUCGCUAAAAGGAUGGAACUGAAAGGCAUGUUCGUAGGCGUGUAGCAAGAGAGGGACCCUCGGCCUCUUGGCCUCUUCCCUUAAGAUAUUGCCAUUCCAAGUUGAAUAUAAAGUAUUGUACAGGUCCCAUGCAUUUGAAUCGUGUGGCCAUGCCUCUAGUCUUCUGCGAUAGUGUUAAAACCAUCUCGAUGAUUGGGCCUUGACCAAGCUUAAAUUAGUAAUAAUGUAUCCAGGCGUUAUUUAUUCCAAUAAAAAAGCGGGGGAAAAGCGCAGGAAAAAUAUAAGGAGCAGCUCCACGUCCAUGCGUCAUACCGUCAUACGUGUACGCAUGAAGGAUUUGGCUUAAUAAAAAGUAGAAGAACGUGCAGCUCUCGUUGACGAAUCGGACGGUCAUGUCCGGCUGGUUAUGUGCACGGAGGCAAAUCAUGUCCCUCGUGGCAUCAUUGCCGUCCUCACUCCUGCAAAACUGAGCAUUGGUCCUUCCAUAGUACGAGUUAGUUUUUGACCCGGUACUAAUAUGAGCAUUAGUACCGGGUCUACUCGGGAGCCUCCUGUGACCCCCUUUGGUACCGGGUGGAGCCUCAUUAGUACCGGGUGGGAGCUCCCACCCGGUACUAAUGUGACUGAGAGCCUUUAAUAUCGGGUAGAGACUCCACCCAGUACUAAUAGGUGACCUUUAGUACCGGUUGGAGCCCAACCGGUACUAAAGGAUCUCCUCCGCCUUAGUACCGGUUAUUUCACCCGGUACUAAAUGGGGGCCUCUUUAAUACUGAAGUAGCACAACCUGUACUAAAGGAGGUUAGGAACCGGUACUGAAGGAGCUUUCCCUAAGAGUAACUGCUGGAUGGGCGGCAAAGUAUAAUUCCAAAUGUAGCUAACGUACAUACACUUUUGUGCAGGUCAACUCAUCAUGGAUAUUCACUCCGAGUACUACAUCUCUGAAAAUCCCCCAUCCAACCAACAAUAAACCUCAAUGGUCUGUGGCUAAUGGCAACUCCUCCCGUCGAUCAUCGCUUUUACAACAAAAUGCAUCAAACCCGAAUUUCUAAAUUAGUCGGAAACAAUAAGAAGCUCGCUGGUGAAAAAGGGCACAGAUAAUCUCCAAUAAAACCCAAUGGUGAAAAGUUUUGGCAGAUUUUUCCAUAGGAAUCUGUCAUAAGAUCGAUGUCUAGCAAAGUUCAUAUAAUAAUAAUAUAUCCAAGAAUGCCACAUAUCUGUUAUUAGUCCCUUAACAUGGUGUGGUAAAUUUUUUCUUGUUAUCUGCAAAACUCAAAUUAUGCCUGGUAAAAUUCCUAGUGUUUUAAUAAGCUACUCUGAACCUCCUCGCCUUUAUUUCUCUGUUUCAUCUUGACUGGUUCUUUCUACGUGAGACCGCCCUCUGUCGCGUGCAAGGGCCAACCUGCCCCUGUCGACAAACCUUUAUUUCCCUCUCAAUCUUACUCCUCUAGGGAUGGUUGUAGCAGUUCUAUAACAGUAAACACUACGUAAGAUGACGUUUAGCUCCGUACGCGUGCAGCUCGAUAGGGAGGUGUUUAUGCUUUCUGUUCCAAUCACACCCGGCCAUUUUUUACUUCUUUUAGAAAGUCAAACUCCAUCUCUCAUAUGCAGGUCACGGUGAUACUGACCUCCAUCGAUGGACCUCGCGAUAAUUAACUCGAUCUAGCAUGCGUGAGAGUGAGCUGCAGCGUCUCUCCAUCGAUCUGCUGCUUUGCUACGUAGUGCAAGGUUGGUUGACUCGUCUGAUGCCUUCUCCAUAUAUACCGUACUGCUUGUUAUCCCAUCAUAUUGUUUCUAUUUUAUCUUUUGAAAAAUCCCAUCGUACCAAUUUGAACAUAAACAAGCAAGUAACAUCGAAACAUAUACCUCAUCACACUAAUAUAUGCACGGAUAUCAAGAUUAUUUUUCAUGACUGAUUGACUCACAUAAUUAAACUGAUAAAGCAUUUACAUCUUCAAAAGGAAAAUAUUCCUUUUCUUCAGAUAAGUUUGCAGAGCCUAUACAUACCUCCAUUUUAGCUUGGCAACCGUGUCAAAUUAGCUUGGCAGGGGUCAAGGAAAAGGAUCGAGAUUUGAGGUGGCAGCCACAACAUUUUUUGUUGUCUACAUAAAGUCGUAAAGAUGGUCAAGCAAGAUGUAAUACUACUUGGAUCGAUCGAUCGAGGCGAUGGCGGGGCUGGAUGAGGCGAAUGGCUGCCCGGUCAUCACUAGGGCCAAAAAGGAUGGAAAGGCAUGUGUGGACUUGCUGCUGCUGGUAGGGCCGGCGUGCAUGCGAGGGACCGAGAGGGAGCGAGGCAGGCACCUUCUCGGUCUCUUCCAUCAUUUCGUUGCCACAUGUCAAGUUGAAUUUGCGUCCGCUCGUCAUUACAAAAAUCAGCGAAGAAGUCCCCUCGGGAUCUUGUGGCCCAGGUAGCUUGCCUCGAUCUGCAAAAUGAAAUUAUUGUCAGAAAUCAACGCCGGGCAGUAUGUGUACAGUAGUACAGCUCAUGCGUGUUUGGUUUCGGGACUAAAGUUUAGUCCCUAUCACAUUAAAUAUUUAAUUAAUAAAUAUAGGUUAAUUACAAAACCAAUUGCAUAAGCCGUGGCUAAUUCGCGAGACGAAUCUAUUAAGUCUAAUUAGUCCAUGAUUUGACCAUGUGUUGCUACAAUAAAUAUGCGCUAAUUAUGGAUUAAUUAGGCUUAAUAGAUUCGUCUCGCGAAUUAGCCACGGUUUAUGCAAUUAGUUUUAUAAUUAGUUCACGUUUAAUCCUUCUAAUUGGUAUCAAAUAUCUGAUAUGACCCGAACUAAAAAUUAAUCCAUGGAUCCAAACACCUUUAUUGGAUAUAUAAUACGGCCUCGAUCGAGCUGGAGUUGGUUAUCCAAGUGAUUACUAUUAUUGCAAAUCUGCAAAAGAUCCAAAAGUGGCCAUAAAUGAAGAGCAUGCUGUUGAGUUAUGAUCCAAAUUUAGUUAUAUAAAGAUAAAGGCUGACUUCGGAUGGAGCGAAGCAACGCCUAUCGUGUUGCCGUACCGCACCUGGGGACGCCUGGGAGGGUGUGGGGGGCAAAGCCCCCCUCCAUCGUCGCGGUACGGAUCAUCACCUAUUAGGGUUUGACCUCUUUAUGUACCUCGUGUAAGCCGCCGGUUUGAGAUGAGUCGAAAGGUUGUAAAUCUCCGACGUUUGUAACCUCACCCAAUAUAGUGAAGAUUUGCUGGCUAGCACCCGUGAUUUUUUCUCUUCCUCCUUGGAAGGGUGUUCCACGUUAAAAUCUCGUAUCUUCUGUGUUAGAUCUGCUAUUCUUCGUCGUUUAUAUUGUCUAUCGUUGGUAACAUAGGCGAGUACGUAUGAAGGGAUAAUGCUCAUAUAUAUACUCUCUCCAUUUUUCUUUACAUGACGUUUCUAACAAAAGUUAGUUUUGGUCUGCUUCUCGUGCAAAUCUGUGGUCGGAAAUGUCAACUAUUCACUAACAGAGGUAGGUAGUACUGUGAAAAUAUGAGGCGAAAGGAGAUGAUCAGAAGCAUGUUUGUGCAGCUAACUACUCCCGUUGACGAAUUGGGCGGCCCCGGGGAUGAGGACGGCGAGCGCUGGGUGGCGGGCACCCGGGCAGGCAUGACGUGGAAACCGACCGUUAAUAUUGUUUCACAGCGCCGUCUCUGCAGGUCGUUUUCGUGGGAGAUGGAUCGGUGUCAACGACAUGAACAGUUUGAUGAGCACGCCUGACACGCGGUCAAGCUCAGGCCUGCCGACCUUCCUAGGUAGCCAGUCAGCCAGAGAUGCUAUUCCAGCCUCCGGAACAGUCCCCGUACCAACCUCCAAAAGUAGGUUCCUUCCUCCUCUUCACGGAUUUGUCCAUGCAUGUGCGAACCGAAUCCUAAGACGAGACCGAAUGGGUGGUGGUGGGUUCGGUGUUUGGGAGGAGGGAGUUACAUUUUAACCCCCAUCACAUCGGGAAUGUUUAGACACUAAUUAGGAGUAUUAAACCUAGACUAAUUACAAAACUAAUUACAUAACCCCUAGGCUAAAUUGUGAGACGAAUCUAUUAAGUCUAAUUAGUUCAUGAUUUGACAAUGUGGUGCUACAGUAACCAUUCACUAAUGAUGGAUUAAUUAGGCUUAAUAGAUUCGUCUCGUGAUUUAGCCUAGAGGUUCUGUAAUUAGCUUAUGUUUAGUCCUCCUAAUUAGUAUCCGAACAUCCGAUGUGACAGGACUAAAGUUUAGCCUCCUCCUCCCAAACACCCCCUAACAGGUGCUAAACUUUAAUCGUGUCACAUCGGAUGUUAAUUAGGAGGACUAAACAUGAGCUAAUUAUAAAACUAAUUGCAGAACCCCUAGGCUAAUUCGCCAGACGAAUCGCUAAUAACCCAUCAUUAGCAAAUGGUUACUGUAGCAACACAUUAUCAAAUCAUUGACUAAUUAGGCUUAAUAGAUUCGUCUCGUGAAUUAGACUAUAUUUUAUAAUUAGUUUAUGUUUAAUACUCCUAAUUAGACUAUGUUUUGUAAUCCAUCAUCCGUGCAAUUAGUUCUGUAAUUAGUCUAUAUUUAAUACUUCUAAUUAGUAUCUAAACAUUCGAUGUGAUAGGUGCUAAAUUUUAGCACGUGAGAUUCAAACACGCCCUAAGCUACCCGUCGGCGUCGACUAGGUCGUCGUAGUAGCAGCAGCCAGUAGCACGUUGCGAUGCCGAGGGCUACGACGCCGCAGCACGUUUGGGGAAGCCUGAUUUUUCCGGGUCGGGUGGCGGACAGAUUGUUUGGUCGCUCCCAUCGUCGCUCUCGCCCAUACUCCACGUCCUCCGACCAGUGAGUGGGCCACGAGGCAUUCCGGAAAGAAGUACUGACAGGUAUCGUGAUGAUGAUCUUGUUGGAAUAGAAGCUAACAAUAAAAUGUUCCUGUGUGUCAAUUCGGCUUGAGUGUAUAUUUAGGGUAACCCACUUGCCAAGUUGCCAACGAUAGUCCGCUACCAACGGAAAAUAUACGGAGAGCAAGUUGCGCAUUAUUGGCGGUACAAAAAGAAGACGCGCCGGUUUGAAAUUUUAUACGGUGCUCCCCAUUCAUGUCAAACGUAACGUAACGUAACGAUGGAUUAUUCAGCUGUUGCCCUCCGCCGACUGCCCACUCUAGCGCCAUCGACGUAGCUGGAAUAUUAAGCUACGGUGAUGGAGGGUACCAGAUGCUGCGUGCCUGCGUGCAGCUACAGUUACCAAGUUGUGUGAUGCUGUGGCCGGAUGCUACGAGGGAAGAAGAACAGCCAAAAAUAGCUAAUCGUGCAGAGUCACAGGAGACGGGCAGCAGCACAGAGGACUUGGCAGAGUUAUCCUCGAGAUAUCUACCACAGGCGGGGUUGGCCCAGCCAUAAAGAGAACAUGGGUGGGCUCCAAAUAGCCCAUACACGUGGCAAGACUCCAAAAGAAAACGCAUGUUUUGGGCCACUCAAGCCCGUUUUGCCCGGGUGUGCCAGGCCAAGAACUUCGCACACAAACGGCCAGUUUCGCGCUCGCGUGCUGGCUGGACCAGAGUUCGUUCAGGUGGGCUAGGGAGGUUGGACCUCUAGUUUCGACCGAAUCACGCUUGCCACACAUCUAAAAAAACAUACGGCCCAAAGAAAAAAUCGCUUGGUUAGCGGCGAUACGCGCGUCCUUCCCCUACUUUUUUUUAGCUUUUUUUUUAUCGUUUCAAAAUAUAGACCCUGUACUCGGCGCCAUGCCUGAUGGCGCCGAGGAAACACGUCUCGGCGCCGAGGUCUUGGCGAGGCGUCGGAUGUGGCCCCGACAUGGAUAAGGCCUCGACGCCAUUGAUCUUGGCGUCGAGUUGUUACCCUAGCUCUUGGCGUUUGAAAUGAAACAAGUAUAAUUGUUUUGAGGAACAUGCGACAACUACACUACGGUUCAGCUAGUUAGGACGCGCGCAUCUUAAGUCAAAGGCCUGAAUUCGAACACGAGCGCCAAAUUUUUUUUCUACAUUUUUUAAGCCCAUUGAGAUACAUUUUUUGCGCAGUCCGCAGCGAGCGAUUCGUUUUCCGCCCGUGUUUGCUCUUGCUGUCCGGGACCGGCCCCUCGCUUGCGAUUCAGUUGGGCAGGGUCAAUGCACACGUCGCUGAUUUCUUUCUUGGCAGCUUGCUCGUCCACCCUGGCUCAUCGUGACAGCCUCUAAUCAAAGUAAUCACGCUGAAUCUUUUUUUGCGUAGCAAAAAUGCAGCAAAAAAUUGUAUCUCAAUGAGCUUACAAAAAUGUAGCAAAAAAGAUUCAGUGUUGGGUUCAAACUAAGCCUUUGGCUUUAGACACGCACAUUCUAACCAGUUGAACCGCAGUGUAGUUGUUGCAUGCUCCUCGGAACAAUUAUACUUAUUUCAUUUCAAACGCCCGGUAACAGCUCGGCACCAAGAUCUAUGGCGCUGAGGCCUUGUCCACGUCGACGCCACAUCCAACGUCUCGCCAAGACCUCGGGAAUGGCGCCGAAACGUGUUUCCUCGGUGCCAACAGUCAUGGUGCCGAGCUCAGGGUUUAUAUUUUAAAAGGAUACCUCGAGGGACGUAUUUGUGAGUAUCUAAGAAAAGCUAAAAAAUAAAAAAUUCGGGCGUCCUUCCCGCACCCCUCCCUCACCAUGCGACCAAGUGACCAACGCCGCGACCGCAGCCCAGCAGCCAUGAUUGCCCGUGGCCGUAGCAAUGUUCCAAGUAGCGGCUAUAGCGGUAUGGCUGUUUUUACCACUAUAGGCGCUAUUGCUACUAUAGCGCUAAAUAGCGCUGCGAUAGCGAAAUAGCGUAUACGCGACUCGUCCACGGAUUCCGGCGCUCGUGCGAGGCCGCCGCCACGAGCCCACGACGGCCUGUGCCAGUUUGCCCCACGAGAGAGACCCAAGCCCAAAGCCCGUCCGCAGAAGAACAUCGCCUGCUCCAGGCCACGAGCCGUUCUAGAAAGAUCCCCAGCUCUCGCACCACGGCGGCCACUCGGCGCGGAACGGUCAACACGCGACGAGGCAUCUCCGCCUGCGCCUUGCAGAGUUGCAGGUGUCCGUUGGCGUAGCGACAGACACGGAGGCGACCGUUCGCGCGCAGGCCGAAACCCUGGCGGGGCCCAGCACAACCAGCCCGGCCGGAUACCUCGCGUGGGCGGAAAGCUAGCGACGCGCGCCCCCCGGAUCCACGCCCUCCUCCACCCGCCGACGGGAUCCAACGGCACCCGAUCCCUGCGUCCAUCCAAAGCUAACCCAUAUACAUACACGGGCCGCACCCGCACCGCGCUCCCCGAAAAAAGCAAAAGAGAAACGCGUUUCCCCCGUUAUAAAAGCCUCCGCGGCGGCCCCUCUCCAUCCAGGUCCAUCGAAGACGCUCCCCGACUUCACAAGUCCGUUUCGAACUCUCUAGACGCCUCUCUCGUCUUCGUCGCCGCCCCGUUCGGCCGUUCCCCAUCCCCAAACCCGCGUUCCCCUCUCGCGCGUCGCGGAAAUGGUGAGCACGUUCGCCCGCGGUCUAACGAGUAUCCGCUCGGUGUUCUCCGACGGAGAUCCUGAGGUAUUCUGGUUAGGAGCCAGGUCGUCUGAUUGAUCUGUGUGUGUUUUUGUUUUGUGGUCUUUUUCAGGCGUUGCCGAAUCAGCAGGUUGUGGAUUACCCCAGCUUCAAGCUCGUCAUCGUUGGCGACGGUGGAACUGGUGAUUUUCUCCGUCCUUUCCUCCGCCUUACAUGAUUUUUGAUUAUUCGUUCCGGGACAUUGGGAGGUGUGGCCUCUGAUCCGUGCGGCUCGGUUUCCGCGAGAUCCGGCGAACCGGGUAACGAUUUUUCUCCGGCUGGAGGCGCAUGUGAAUGGGUGGGUCGUAAGGUGAUUUGGGGUUCAAGCGUCUUUAGGUUUUAGAUGGUGGGGAAUCGUUAGAUUUCAGCACAUGCGGAGAUCUAUUUUAUUGUCGUCAGGCAUUGAUGCUAAGAAGUUCUCCCUUGGCAGUUAGUAUUUCACUAAUACUAAUCUUAUGCCAACUAUUAUCUUCUAUGUUAAUCAAGGACCUGCUUAACACCGCUGAACUCUCUGUACAAAGAACUGUUAGGUUGCUCUGUUUCUAACAUUUUUUUUAGUGUCCUAAAUAAAAACUUGCCAAUUGGUAUUUGAGUACUUACUAUGUAGUAUAAAAAAGGCAUGAGGUUCCGGAAUAAAAAUGGAAAGUUCUGGUUGAUGGUGGGCAAAGUGUUUGUGUUUUGAUCCAGAGUGUAUGAAAACGGAAAGUUGUAGUGGAUUGUGCAUCUUAUCAAAAACUAGUAAUAAACUAGAUUUUUUUCAAUCUGAAAGAAGUUUUCCUUUGUGAACUUACACUAGUGUUGUGGUGGAUGACAUUUUCCUGCUGGUAUAAGGUAUGGACGUAUGCCUAUGUGAUCAGAAAUCUAUGGUCAAUCUUGAGUGCUCAGGUGCACUGGAUGCUGACUGCUGACACGCUACUAAGGUUUUCGAUCCUAGUGUGAUGGCCCUCCUCUCAAUGGUUGCAAUUUUCAAAUGUUUCUUACAUUCCUUGACUUGUUGUAUUCCACUUCUGUAUUUAUCUAUAAAAUGUUGCCAAACAUGUGCCUUUGUUUUAAUUUAUUUAAGUGCCUUUCCGCCAUUGUUGUUAAUGUCUCAUUGCUUUAUGUUUCCUGCAGGGAAAACCACAUUUGUGAAAAGGCAUCUUACUGGGGAGUUUGAGAAGAAAUAUGAGCGUAAGUGUCAUACCAUGGUUCUGUUCUAGUUAUUUGCUUGCAGAAGAUCAGACUUGCUCAUACCAAUUUGGUUGUUAUUCAUUGCAGCCACCAUUGGUGUUGAAGUUCACCCACUGGAUUUUAGCACCAACUGUGGUAAAAUCCGCUUCUAUUGCUGGGACACUGCUGGGCAAGAAAAGUUUGGUGGUCUCAGAGAUGGCUACUAGUAAGUGAUAAAUACAUAUUUCAUCAAGUUUAUCUGGGUUAGAAGUUGAUUGAAAGUGAGAUAGUGUUGUGAAGCUUUGUGUGACAUCAUUCCUUGUUUUAUGAAAUUAUGUUUGUAACAAUGAAUUUUGUAGUAGUUUCAGCAUGCCAAUACUCAUUGUUGAUUGAAAAUGAGAUAGUGUUCAUACAUAUAAAGCAUGUGAAUCUUUGUGUGACUCCAUUCCUUGUUUUAUGAGAUUAUCUUUACAUAAUAUAUUUGUAGCUGUUCCAGCCUGCAAAUACUCAUUAUGAAGACUAGAGCAUUCAACCACAUGUAGUCAGGCAUUCUUCUGUUUUGGUCGCAAUUUUGGCAUAUAAUGCAUUUUUCUCAUAUUCUUCUGCAAAUAUGGCAAGAUUGGAAUGCUGAUUUAUGGAUGGUUUUCUAGUUUGUAUAUUUGUGUGUACAGUUGCACAUUAGUGUCCCACACAUUGAGAUCCACAGCUCGUGGGUUAGGAUUCAGGUAGCCAAUAGCAUGUGCUGAUUUCUUUGUCGAAUACAAAAUUUCCAAAAUGUCUUAAUGGUAUAUUAUGUUUUGAUUUUUUUUCCUGUUGGUAAUUUUCGAAUCUCAACCAAUCUUCUGUUAUUGGUGUGAUGUUUAUUGAGUUUUGGUUCAUGUUUCGUUGGGCUUGUCUAACAUUAAUUAAAUUUCAACGGUCCUGCAGUAUCCAUGGCCAGUGUGCCAUCAUCAUGUUUGAUGUCACUUCAAGGCUGACAUACAAGAAUGUACCAACAUGGCACAGGGACUUGUGCAGGUUAGUUUAUCAGUAUAAUUUAUUUGAAUGAGUUUAUUUUUCAGUAUAAAAUUCAGUAAGGUUAUGCAUUGAUUAUGUUGGGAGCUUUGCUAAAUAUUUGAUUUUUUGAUUGCAGGGUGUGUGAGAACAUUCCCAUUGUCCUCUGUGGUAACAAGGUUGACGUGAAGAACAGGCAAGUCAAAGCCAAGCAAGUUACAUUCCACAGGAAGAAGAACUUGCAGUACUAUGAGAUUUCUGCCAAGAGCAAUUACAACUUUGAGAAGCCCUUCCUUUACCUCGCUAGGAAGCUGGCAGGGUAAUUAGAUACUUGAUCACCUCUCCACUUGCUUUUAUUUUGUUGUCUUCCUCAUAUAUGUAAUAACCAGCUCUUUGGCCUUGCUAACUUGUUACUGGUGAAUAUAUAUUUAGGGACCAGAACCUUCACUUUGUCGAGGCUGUUGCUCUGAAGCCACCAGAAGUGCAGAUUGAUAUGGCCAUGCAACAACAGUGAGUGCUUUGAUCUCUUUAUUUGAUAUCCAGCAACAGCAGAAAAUUCACUAGAUUUUCAAAUGUUGUCCUGAAACUAGUAUACAAAUCCUAAUGGUAGGAUUUGGAGGAGAGUUUUAUGUGGAAAAACACAACUCGCACCAUAACCAUCAUUUGUUCAACUUGGCAAGAACUAUUCUGUGAUAGCAAUUUUGGCCUGCAUUUCUAAUGUCAUUUCCCCGCAUGAUCGCAGGCAUGAAGCUGAGCUUGCUGCGGCCGCCGCGCAACCCCUGCCAGAUGACGAUGAUGACCUGAUCGAGUAGAUAAUAUCAUGGCCCUUGUCGAUGAUGUGCGAGUGAACUUUUUAUAAGAACCCAUAGUGGUUCAUCCUUAGAUUUUAGGAAGCUGGAUGUUCUCUUGAUGUAUCUGAUGAGAAUGAGUUAUGAAAUUUCUAUCCGAUGUUGCCGAGGUUUGUUGGUGACUGAACCGGCUCCUUUCGAGUAAUACAGUUCUGUCGUCACAUAUUUCUGCGUGCGAUUUUGUGCCUUCCUGUUGCUCUUCUGAAUUGCGAUCUUAAAAACCGUGGCAGAAAACGCAAAACGCAAAAGGGAUGAGCAGAGUGAAAAGCCAUGUGUGCUGUUUGGCGGAGUGUGAUAUCCUUGGUAGUACGUAAAUAGUGUGAUACUGCUGAUUGAGUUUCCUCUAUGCGCUAAAAGCUAAAUCUCGCAGUAAAAUGUGCAUCGCCGUACCGAUCGCUGGUCCUCGGUCUUGUACAGUUCCAGAAAGAUUACCCUUUGUGCCAUGCAAGGGAAAACUUUGGAGAAAAUUCCAUAUUCGAUGCCGAAGAAAUGAGGGGUUCCUUCCCUGAUCUUCGAAAAUUUGAACUUCCCUAUUUGACACUAGUCCCAAAUUUGGUUCCUAUAGUCCCAAAUUUGGUUCCUAAAAUGACACUACCGUGGGAGAUGGGACGCGUCUGGGAGGAUGAGAUCGCAAGAUGCAGGCACGAGAGGACGGCGAGCGCCAGCAAGGCGGGCGAGGUGGUACGGUGCCAAAGGCCAUGGCUGGAUCAAGCGGUGCCUGUUGACUGGCGAGGAGGAUUAGCAAGCGAGGUUGUCAGUUGUCACGCGCACCAGCACCCUUCGCUCUCUCGCCGUCCAUAACCGUUGUCGCCGCGACGCCGCCGCUGUGCAGCUUCGACGGCAGGAGCCGCACCCUCCAUCGACUGCGCAUCCCCUGAGCGCAUUUUGGGGCCAUGCCUACCUGGCCUGCUUGUGCUGCUAUUGCAUGCCUGGGCUGGAUCGAAUUCGCGAGAGGGAGAGCGCGAGGAGGCAGACACCGGGGGUACCAGGGUAGGAACGUUUUUGUUCGUUCAUUCAACACACAUAACCAGGGGCAUUUUGGUCAACACGUGUCAAACACAAGGGUUAACGGAAAUUACUAACAGAAUUGACAGGAGUGUCAUUUUAGGAAUACAAUUCACACAUGGUGUCAAAUAAGGAAGUUCAAACUUUUAAGGAUCAAGGAAAGAAUCACUCAUUUUUUCAGUGUCAAAAGGGAAUUUUCUCAAAGCUUUGGUACCCCUACCCUAGAUGACUCAUGAUGGUAUAAACGGAAGAAAUGUGCCUUUACAGGAGCCAACCCAUGUUUGGUAAAAUUUUUCAGCAAGAUCCCGUUUCCUCAUAACAUAAAAUUAUCAUCAAACGGUGGCAUGGUGCUUCUUUCUUCUACUUUCGGCCUUCUCCCUCUCGCCAUGGUGGCAUGGUGCCCAAAGGCCAAAGCAAGUCCCCAAUCCCCACAGGAGCCACGGGAGCAAGUCUAUCAUUACUCUAACCCUUCCCGUUAGACAUCUUUCAUCAUCCUCAACGGUGAUGUCCCUGCCACCUACUGGACACGUAUGUUUGCUACGAACUGGCGGUCCAACUAAUUGGAGUAGUAAACAAUUGAACCCCUCUAAAGCCUCAAGAUCCUUCUUUAAAAAAAAAAGCCUCAAGAUCCCCAAUCCUAAAUCAUCAUCCUUAACUCAAAAUCUCCAAAUUCAUUGCAGUCUCAUCAGCAUUAAAAAGGUGGGUGAACAUUGGUUGGAAGAAAAAUAUUUCGUAGUAGAGCAGAGUAGCCGGACACGGUAUAUAGCAAAUAAAAAAAUAUUUUUUCCGUUCCAAUUUAUAAGUUAUUCCAGUUUUUUUUGAAGAGUUUAAAUGUCAGGCGCCGAAAAGCAGUGAGGUCGCCAGUCAGAGGGUCCCACUAGUCAGUUGGUCCCACUAGUCAGUUUCCUAGAUCAGGGCCAAAGGGUCGGCAAGACGGCAAGCGGACGUGGGGGAACGGAACUCUCCAGUUUCGCCCCGAACGAUAAAACGCCGCAAGGGGGGGUGUUGGGGGAUUUGGCCCUGUCCUCCGCGCGAUUCAGCCCAGCGAACGCUGGCCUGAAGUCGGAGACAGUCUCUUCGAUUCCCCCCGUCCCCGGUGGAAUUGGAGCUGCGAUGGAGGAGCAGUUCAUCCUCCGCGUGCCGCCGUCCGUGGCGGAGCGGAUCGAGCGCCUCAUGAACGAAUCCGCCGCCUCCUCCUCCAACCCUGACGACGCCUCCCUCGACCUCUCCUUCUCAGGUCAGCGGCGCCCCCCGUCUCUCUCCCUCGAAUCCCUCGAAUUCAACUGUAUCCGUGGGAAAACAACCUACCGUGUCGUGCACUAGGCUGGCAGCUUCGUUGAGAACUACGAUCCAUGGAUUCGCUUCUGGGAUUACAUGCCCGUAGGCUGUUAGACGGAACGCGCAAGUCUGGUCAGGUGCGCUGGGGGCUUCCAUGGAGCCGUGCGGGAAGGCGUGAGGGUGUAAAUCGGCGGUAGGCUUCUAGGCUGGUAGCUUUUGGUCCAGAUUGCCACCGCGUGCGGGGUGUCGGUCUUGGGUGUGCUGGGUUCCUGCCCUGAGAAUGCUUAGCACCACUAACUGUUCCGUUCUUCGCACUAGAUGGAACCGGCCCUCUGGUGCAUAAUUAGCAUAUGGAGAUCACACAGUACCAUGUGCCCCUGCUGCCAGGUGGCUUAGGUUACGAGGAAGGUUAUUUUUCUUGCUCCAGAUUAUGCGUUGAUAUGUUGAAGUGUGAUGUUAGCGUAUUGUUCAAUUGGUGUUGGAUUUAUUAACUUCCCAUGGAUCAGCUUGCACAUGCAUUUAAGAGAUUGUUCAUUUGGAAUUUUCCCAAAGAGCCUAGGGACGUUCUUCAGUCCAUCAGAGUAGUAGGGUCAGUAUGAGUAUAAUUAACGACCAAAGCGAAGCAAAACAUUCCAAGUUUUCCAUUCUGAUCUGAGCCAACUGUUCUGCCAUCCAAUUGCUUUACUUGGCACAUAUGCUUCAUGUAGCACAAUCUCUGAUCUAGAUGAAAUCAUGAAAUAACUUGAUUGCUAGAAAUAACUAAGGUCAAUAAAUGUACAACUCCAAAGGGGUGAACCCAUCUCACAGUGGCCAUGCUAAGCGCUUAUUAAAAAAGUUUUACCUUGGACACAAGUAAUAUGAUUCAUUUGAUACGACAUUCACUUUGUGCAUUGGUGCUCAUUCAGUGAUGGAACAACACUACAGUCCCUCUUAUUUCUGAGCAUGCAACUUGAACUAGAUUAUACUAGAUGUUUCUUCAAAAACUGAACUUUGGAACUUUUGUCGCCUUGUGGAUUGAUGAUAUAUUUCUUCCUACAGAGGAUGGAAGAAAUGGUACAUUUAUGAUUGACAAUGAAAGGUUUCCUGCAUCUCUCUUGGAUUUACCUGCGGUGGUGGAGUCAUACAAGACUUAUGAUGACUCUGUACUAAUUAAAACUGCUGAUAUUGGUCAGGUAAAAGUGCACGUUUACUGUAUGUCGCCUGCCAUAUCUUAAAAUCAUCUGAUGAAACACAGAUUGAAACAGAUGAUUAUGGUAAGAGAAGAAAAUGACCCUGCUCCAGAGGGAGUUGAAUACAAGCAUGGGCUUACUCCUCCAAUGAGGGAUGCACGCAGACGCCGUUUCCGCAGAGAACCAGACUUGAAUGUAUUAAAAUCAAUUGCCCUCUAGCACUGUUCAUUGUCCAGGUUUUAUGUUCAUGGACCUUUUUUAGGCAGAACCAUGAUUCUUUCUUACACAAUUUUGCAGGCAGAGCUGGUUAACCAAGUUGAGAAGCAUCUCAUCAAUAUUAUGCAUGGAGUAUCUGUCAGUAUCCUUUUGGUUGGUUUGAUUCGCUAAAUGGUAGCAUGUAUUGUGGUCUAGCAGCUGAAUAAAAUGGUGCAUAAUUUCUUUUGUUCGUAGGCUUUCUCACUAUUUUUUUUGUACUAACGAUAGUUGACAAAUGGUUCUUCUACAUUGAGUUCCCUCCCUCUUUGACAAGGAUAAUUAUGUCAUUCUUUGAAUCUUGCCAUUAUUGUAGUUUCAUACAGAUGUUUGAAGGCUAUGCUGCACCACCAGUUUUACCUCUGAAUUGGAUUUUUAAAUUGACAUCCAUCAAGAUUAUUUACAUUCAUAAUAAAAAUGUCGUAGUUGUAUUGACCACUAGUUUUUAUGACUGCGUGUGGUUAGGUUGAAGGACUCUGUCAUAUAUACAUCAAAGGAUGUUACUCUGUUAUAUCUAUCAGUCAAUAUGCAUUGUUCCUUAACUUGUCAAUAGACCAGAAUGCCAGUGUAAUAGGAGGUGAGGAAGGUGGUGAGCGUAAGAAACCUCCAGUAGCCCGUGCACCCAAGCAGCCUGAUGUUCAAGAGCCAGCUGCAAAUGGCGAGGAAGCUGAACCUGAGAGAAGCGACUCGGAAGAGUCUGAUAACUGAAGUGGACCUGAAUAGUGCAGCAGCAGUGGCCCAAAUGACCCAGGUUAAACUUUGCAUUUUAAAUCAGAGUGUAUAUCUGUAACAAUGAUGGCUGUUGUCUAAUGUAUGCUGUGGACUAUUAUCAUAAAAAAUUUCUUAGACUUCAGCAUGUUGUUUACUAUUGUAGUGCCAGAUGCAGCUGUGUGCUUGAGUGGACUCAUUCGCACGCAGGACGUACUGUUCCUACUAGGCCAGGUAGUAGCAGUUUCCGUCUGAUAUUUAUCAUAAGAUUACUUGUUGAUAGGAACCCCCUCCACCUCUUUAUACAGAAGGUUAUAUAUUGGGAUUUAUAAAUACCGUAAGACAGUUGAAAGAAAACAUUAGGACUGCAUCUGUCCUUUGUUCAAUUCUGUGGAGUAUCACAUCUGUGGUUAAGCAAUCACCACCUUCAGUUUAUAUUUUCUGUGAUUGAGUUACCUUCACCUGGACUUGGUCUAGGCUGAGAAGUCAGAUUAAUGUUCAACUACUUAAAAAAAAAACCUUCCAGUUGGUUAGUAUCUUGUGACACAGUUCUCCUUUAUGUUCAUAUAUGUAAGGAGUAUAUUACUCUUAUGCGUUGACCUGAACAUAUAGUAAAAGUAGAAUAAUAUCUGUGCAGCUGAAUGGGUCUACAAUAGAAACAAAUGUGUGAAUAUUUCUAAAAGUUAUGAAGUAUAUGGAUAAGAUUCAUCGUAGCACUCGAAUAACCCCCAAGGAUUGUAAAUGUUACACGAAAUUGAUAUUUUAGACUACAGGCACGCCUUGGUUAGCGUCGUGUUGCCAGCCUCAGUUUUAGUAGACUAGGCUAAGAUUUGACUCCAUUGAGAGUAUCAGAGUACACAAAUGUAAGAUGUAAACUUACUCUAUCAUUACCUGUCAUUUUGGUAUACUUGUUUUGUCUAUAGGAGAUUCUUUAUAGCUUCACAAUAUGCCACUCGUGUUAGCUUAUAUAAGUAGGAAGUAGCUUUCCCAUGACGGCUAUAUAUACCUCAUGCAUUGAGAAAUUUAGGCACAUUUCUCUCCCAAGUUGGUUGCAAAAUGUGUAUACUUAUUGAGACUACCUAGUCAGAUUAAGCCUCUCUAUUACUGCAGGAAGCAACAGCAUUUUCAAGAAGGUUGGUAGUCAGAUUAAACUUAAACCUUCGCACUUCUAUUCGUGCCAUAGACGACAUUAGACGAUUGUUUUCACACACCCCGUUGCGAGGGAUCAGAAAAGCUUGUUUCUUGUGGUUGUCCUCCUCAAAACUGAGGCCGUAAGUUGAAGAGUUGAGCCGCCAUUCAUGUAACUGCUUCUUUUUCGAGUGCACAGGGCAUGCGUAUACAUGACUCUGGGGUGUUUGGAUACGAGGUGCUAAACUUUAGCAGUGUCACAUCGGAUGUUCGGAUACUAAUUAGAAGGACUAAACAUGAGCUAAUUACAAAACUAAUUGCACAGAUGGAGUCUAAUUCGCGAGACGAAUCUAUUAAGGCUAAUUAAUCCAUCAUUAGCAAAUGGUUAGUGUAGCAUCACAUUGUCAAAUCAUGGCCUAAUUAGGUUUAAUAGGCGUCUCACGAAUUAGACUCCAUCUGUGCAUAAUUAGACUAUGUUUAAUACUCCUAAUUAGUAUCCAAACAUCCGAUAUGACAGUUUAGCACGGUGUUCCCAAACACCUCCAGAGUUGUUGUUGCUCCUCCUCGAGAUCGAGGAUGCUGCAGAGUUGUUGUUGCUCCUCGAGAUCGAGGAUGCUGUUGUGCCUUUGCCUCUGCCUUGUGCAAGAUAUUGAAGUGGCUUUCACAUCCCUUGUUGGUUGUCGUCUUUAUCAUUUUCAUUUUGAUUCUUCUUGGUUCUGGUAUUUUUAGCUUAAGUUCCAAGAUUGCUCUUGAAUCUGUGUGCUACGCUGCCAUUGCUUGCCUAUACACUUUCACCCAAUCGAAUCGGAAGGAAAGGGCUCUUUCCGGAAUAUUUCUUUCGCUGCUUGCAGCAGUCAUCGUCUUAUCAGCUGCCAGUGCCAAGCGCAGCAAUGCUACCGUAGCUAUCAUGUCCUUCUGCAAUCUCCUGGCUCUAACGGUAUACUGCAUAUGGAAGCUUCGUUCUCAUGGCGCAGCUGCAGAGGUUGAUGCCGACGCGCCACUUGAGCUGCCGGUGCUGAGAGAAGAAACAGGGUGUAGUAAUCCGGUGCAGCAGACCACGUUCCACAUCGAGGAGCUGCCGCGGAAGUUCUCGUACGACGAGAUCCGAGCCGUGACCGGAGACUUCGGGACCAUGUUGGGGCGCGGCGGCUCCGGCGAAGUCUUCCGAGGCCUCCUCGACGACGGCACGCUGGUCGCCGUCAAGCGGAUCACCAGCGACAAGCCCGUCGGCGAGGCUGUCUUCCUGAGAGAGGUCUCCAUCGUCGCAAGCGUGCACCACCGCAGCCUGGUGCGCCUCCUCGGGUACUGCCUCCUGCGCGGGGGCGGCAGCCAGUACCUGGUCUACCCGUUCUUGGAGCACGGGUCGCUGGACUGGUGGCUGUUCAACGGCGAGGAGCGGCGGCGCCUCCUGCCGUGGCCGGCGCGGCGGCGCAUCGCCGUCGACGUCGCCAGGGCGCUCGCGUACCUCCACCACGAGUGCCACCGGCAGAUCCUCCACCUCGACGUCAAGCCAACCAACAUCCUCCUUGACGGCGGCCUCCGGGCGCACGUGUCGGACUUCGGCAUCUCCAUGUCCAUCGCGCAGGACAUGACCAGCGUCGACAACCGCGGGAGGGGCACGCCCGGGUACAUGACGCCGUUGAUAUCUCUCUGCAGGAUGUCCGUCAAGUUCGACGUGUACAGCUACGGCAUGACGGUCCUUGAGCUCGUCAGCGGGCGCAGGAGCUUCGCGAGCGGCGAGGACUUGUCCUCGGAGACGCCAAACUACUUCGCGCGCGUCGUGCGGGAGAAGAUGGCACGGGGCGCGCUCAUGGAGGUGGUGGACGCGGCCAUGGCGCGCGCGGACGAGGGGGAGGUGGAGGCAGUGGUGAAGGUGGCGCUCUGCUGCGUCCAGCACAGGCAGGAGCUGAGGCCGAGCAUGCAUUCUCGAAUGUCGUGUCGUGGUCGGUCCGCCGCUGGAGUCCGCCACGGCGUAGCCGAGUCCGAUCCAACUCAUCCCAAAAUCGUGUAGAAAAGUGAAUUCAAAUCCCUGCAUCGUUGGUUCUCCCAAAUCCCUCCGAGAAAAAGUUCCUACGACAUGGCCGCCGCCACCGCCGCCUCGCGAUCUCGCCAUCCUCCAGCUGCCUUCUCGGCGGCGCCGGCGAUCGGCGCAGACUGGGAGAUGUUCGAUUCCACCAUCCUCAUGGGAGAUGUCGCCGAUCCCGCCACUGUCUGCGCCGCGAGCAAUGGCGGGGACGUCGCGUCUCCCUCCGUCUUGCCGAGCCACCGGCCUCCUCCUACGUCGAGAUGCUCAUCGAUGCCGAGCUCUACGACGACCCCACGGUGCUGGCCGCGGACGGGGACCUCCUCCUCAUCCACACGGUCGUCGCCAUCCGCGACCCGCCGCCCUUCUACCAGGACAACUUCUUCGUGCACAGGGCGCACCCGGUGACGCCGUCGCUGCGGCUUCUCCCCCAGUUCGGCGACUGGGCUGCCCACGCCCGGCACACGGGCAUUUCCUGCCUCGGCGGGGAGUUCGUCGUGGCGGCCUUCCAUUCGAGCAUCAUCCGCGGCGAGGAAGGCGCGAGCUGGGACGAGGUGGGCGUGCUCUCGCGGUUCUCGUCUUCCACGGAGCAAUGGGAGGUCAAGGAGCUCCCGAUCCCCUUCGAUUCGGACAGAGGGCUGUAUCCCCUUACAUGGACCACCGACAAGGUGUUCUCCUUCCGUGGAUUCAUGUGCUGGGUCGAUUACCACCACGGCAUCCUGUACUGCGACGUCUUCUCCGAUCUUCCCGAGCUCCGGUUCGUGCAGCUCCCCGGGAUCGAGAUCUGGGAUGACUCGCAUGACUACUCCUAUGGCCGCCAGAUGCCCGUGGCGUACAAGACUGUUGAGGUCAGCAAUGGCGUUAUCAAGUUUGUGGAUGUGGACAAUGGCCAGUUUGGUGUGAAGAAAAGCUCUGGUUUUUGCAUCACCUCUUGGACUCUGAGGACUCCGGAGUUGGAGUGGGAGAAGGACGGCGACGUGCUCCAAGUCGAUGAUCUCUGGUCCCUCGAGGAAUUCCGUGAUUCGCCUCUGCCGCGCUGGGUGCCAGAGUUCCCUGUUGUGAGCAAGCACGACUCUGAUGUUGUCCAUUUCGUGCUGCGGGGGCCUCGCUCUGGUGCAAAGGCUUGGGUGAUUUCGGUGGGUACGAGGCCGAAGCUGCUGAAGUCCUAUAUGCCUUACAAGAAUGAUUACACUAAUUUAUGGAAAGAGGAGGAGGAUUUAGAUCUUACAAGCUUGUUUUUCGAUACGCCCUUUAUCUGCUCUGAUCUCUACAAAGAUCAUGGAAUGUCGGUUGGGCAGAUGGCAGGACUUGCUGCAACAACCUGAACGACAAUGUAAUGCUCUGUAUGAAACUGGCCAGUUGUUGUAAUAUGUACUGUGAUUGUUGCUUAUAUGUAUGAUGCUGGAGCAGAUGGCAAGAUGGAAAGAUGGUUGCUUAUAUGUAUGUUGGUUGUCCUAGUUGUGAAGUGUGAUACGCAAGUAUGCAAACUUUGGCUCCCUGUGGCAAUGCCUCUGCAUGUAAAGUAGGGCUCCUUGUGGCAAUUCCCAGUUAUGUACUGCAAACUAUUGUUUUGUUUUGUUUUCUCACGUUGCAAUACAAUGUAACCUUUUUCCUCAGCUCCUGCAAAAAGUCACUCAUGUUUUGAUUGGAUAUUUUUCUAAAAACUUUAAGAUAUAAUUAAUAAUAUGCAUGUAAUCCUUUCAUCGAAUUAUAAUGUAUUGAUAAGAUUCAAUUCAAUACUCUAGACAUGAUAGUCCUUAAAAAGUUUAUUGGAACUCUUUUAUAUUUCUUCAAGCAGCAGUGUAUAUAGACAUAGGCUAAAGAUUUUACUCUACUUAGAUAUGAGCAAAUAUAAGAUAAAAGGUUGGUUGUGAUUAUACAACACAUGUCUGUAUACGCCAGCUUAAUCUUUCGUCCAUCGUCAGCACCUCAAAGUUUCACUUCCUGUUGAGCUCCCCUUCCAAAAUGUAGAUUCUUUUAGCUUUAUUAGAUACAUAAAUUUUGCUUGCAUCUGCAAUAUAGUAAAAUCUAUGUAUCUAGAAAAGCUAAAACGACCUACAUUUUUUAACGGAGGGAGUACUACUGAACAGAGUAACGUUGACAUCUUCUGAGCUAGUAACAAAUAUUACUUCUUCUCGUCGAGGGUGUAUAUGGACAAUGGACUGAUGCUACCUGCUCAGAUUAUAGCCUAGUGCCCAAGUGACAGUUUUUUACUGAAAGAAUCAACAGCACACGUCGAGGGUGAUGCGCCAUUUAUUGACCUUCCCCGUCUAGCUAGCAUUGACAUUAGCCGAUUGUUCAGCCUGUUGCCUUUGCCUCUUCUUACUUUCUAUGUCCUCUUCCCUUAUUCGUUUGCGAGUGUACACACAUGUCAAGUCCACAUGAUUCUAGUGCUGCUCCUCCUCGAGGUCGACGAUGCUGCUGUUCCGGUGCCUCUGCGUUGUGCUGCAAGAUAGUCAAGGGCCUUCUACAUGUAGCAAUCAUAGGUAUCCUAUUCUGCAUGGUUGUUCCUGGUUUCUUUGAAUCCACCAACAGCUCCGGUGGAAUCAUUGCUCUCGAAUCAGUAACCUACGCUGUCAUCGCUUGCCUGUACAUCUACAACUCGUCGGACCGGAGGGAGAGGAUCAUUUCGAGAAUAUUUCUCGGUGUGGUUGCUCUAGUGAUCGUCGCGGCAGCUCCCAGUCCCAAGGGCAAGACUGCUCCCGCGACGGUCAUCGCCUGCUGCAAUCUCGUGGCUCUGUCGGUAUACUGCAUCUGGAAGAUUUGUGGGCUCGUGCAGGCUUGUCGCCGGCGACGCACUCGUGCUGCUGAUGCGGAGGCGCCACUCGCGCCGGUACAGAAAGAAGAAGACGCAGCAGCAGCAGCAGGGUGUGGUGCGAGUACUCCCGUGCUGCAGCCGACCACGUUCCACAUCGAGGACCUGCCAAGGAAGUUCUCGUACGACGAUAUCCGUGCCAUGACCGGAGACUUCGGUACCGUGGUGGGGCGCGGCGGCUCCGGUGAAGUGUUCCGAGGCCUCCUCGACGACGGCAUGGCGGUCGCCGUCAAGCGGAUCACCAGCGACAAGCCCGUCGGCGAGCAAGACUUCCUGCGAGAGAUAUCCAUCGUGGCGAACGUGCACCAACGCAGCCUGGUGCGCCUCCUGGGAUACUGCCUCCCGCGCGGGGUCGCCGGCCACGGCCAGUACCUGGUCUACCCGUUCUUCGAGCACGGCUCGCUGGACUGGUGGCUGUUCGGCGGCGAGGAGCGGCGGUGCCUCCUGCCGUGGCCGACGCGGCGCCGCAUCGCGGUCGACGUCGCCAGGGCACUCGCGUACCUCCACCACGAGUGCCACCGACAGAUAUUGCACCUCGACAUCAAGCCGGCCAACAUCCUCCUCGAUGGCGGCCUCCGGGGGCACGUGUCGGACUUCGGCAUCUCCAUGUCCAUCGCCCAGGACAUGACCAGCGUCGACACCCGCGGCAGGGGCACGCUCGGGUACAUGGCGCCGGAGAUAUGGGUCAGCUCGCUGUCCGCCAAGUCCGACGUGUACAGCUACGGCGUGACUCUCCUCGAGCUCGUCAGCGGGCGCAAAGGUUUCGAGGCCGGCAGAGACUCGUCGGAGACGCCGGACCUCUUCGCGCGCGUCGUGAGGGAGAAGGCGGCGCGUGGGGAGCUCAUGGAGGUGGUGGACGCGGCCAUGGCGGACGUGGACGAGGGGGAGGUGGAGGCGGUGGUGAAGGUGGCGCUCUGCUGCGUCCAGCACAGGCGUGAUGUGAGGCCCAGCAUGCUAACGGUUGUGGACAUGCUCGAAGGCCGUGUCGCCGUCGAUCUCCCGCUGGAGAGCUGACUAUCUGUGGUGGAUUUCAUGGAGCCACUUUCCUCGCCAGCCGCGAUCGAACGGUGACGUGACAAUCAGGCCUCUUCAUUUCAAAAUUUAUAUUUUAGAAGAUUCAAUUCAAGUAUGUAUUUAUGUUUUUUAAUACAUGUAGCUUGACUUAUGAUUUUUCGAUUCACAGAGUAGUAGAGUACCUUAUCUAAGUAUUGGACUUAAAGAAAGAGGCUGUCAACUGGGCUGAACUUUACUUAACCAAAAAAAGGGAGCGUCUAUACAAUACUUUUAAGCGUUUUAGGUCCAAAUUUUUUAUUUUUAAGCCAUCUAACUUAAGUUUGACAACUUUGAUAAGUCGAUACUAAUUAAGUCGUUGUUGAUGUCCUCUGAAACAAUUUUCAAACUAUAACAUACACACCACUUUGGAAAAAUGUGUUUGCAAAGUUUGACACUGAGAGAUGACUGAUUACUCGAUGCCACCUAAUCGUUGCCAUGGCCCGUGGUUUUACAUGGUGUUCCCUCCCUCUUUUGACAAAAGCUAAUGUUGCUAAUCUUUCAAGUUUGUCAUUAUGUAUAGGGGUUUCAUACAGAUGUUUAAAUAUGCCUUUUUCUAAAAAACACUUGUUAUGCAUUUGAAUUGGAGGUUUAGCAUCCCAGUCCAUCAAAGGUUGUUACUUAUAUUUUUAUAAUGAUCUAGGUUUAACAUCAUGGUCCAUGGAUGGACCAUGAUCAUCUGCAUUACAGAGGGGAACAGUAUGCUGUCUUAGGCAAUAGAAGCCUGUAAUAAAAUGGCGCAGCAAGAUAGUAAUUGUUUUUUCUAGUAGAAAUACUGUGCGAGCUUUGCUGUUCGUGGUGAUAGGUCCCCCUAGGCCUAGCAAUAUAUUUGGUCUCAUUUUUCAUUCUUUAUCUGCUAAGAUACUAAGAACCCCUCAACCUCUUCAUACAGAGAGUAGCUGAGAGUAGGUGUGACCUCAUUUCACAUGUUGACAGAAUCCAUAACACAGUUGAAAGAAAACCUUAGGAGUACAUUUCUGUCGUUUGUUUAAUUUAACUCUCUGUGGUUUGAGUACCACAUUCGUGGGAAUACAACCAUCAUAUUCAGUUUUAUGUUCGGUGGUUGAGUACCACAUCUGGACUAGGUCUGGGCAGAAGACUUACAUUAGUAACUGAACAUUAUUACAAAAAACACAUGUAUGAGAAGUAAUUCGAAAUAUACAUUUCCAUUGGUUAGUAUCUUGUAGCAUAGUUCUCAUUUACAUACAUACACGCACGUAUAAAAUGAUGGAAUGCACCUUUUUCUUAUUAGUUUUCUCUCCACUCGUGUUUGGAAUGGUAAUGCUACAGAAUGACGUCUGGAAUCUUAAAAAAAUUGAACGGCUCGACAUAUGUUGCAAUAGUUAAUCAUCGAUGUUGCAACUAUUAUUUCUGUAUGUUUCGCAGUGAAUGUUGCAUGAAACAUAGUGUUCAUGUUGCGACGGGAAUUUUCUAUCUCAGAGUCGAACAAUGUAGUCAUUUUUUUGCAUAUUUUUCAAUGGUGCAAUUAUAGAUUUUUUAUGUUGCAUAUGUUUUGUUUUGAUGUUGCAACAGAGCGUGCAAUGAAAAAAUUUCCAUUGGAUGUCCGUACAGUAAAAAAAGUAUGAUUAUUUUGAAAAGAAACGCAAAAAAGUAUGAUUUUUUAAAAUACUUAGACCUAGUGAAAAUGAAUUUGCACUAAUUUGAUGUUCAUAUCAUACUAGUACCUCAUAAUAUUCAAUGAGAGCGUGUUAUGGUUGUCGGCAACAUGACCACGUGUAACAUCAACAAUUACAAAAGCAUUUAUGCUCAAUAUUUUUCGAGGGUACUUAUGACUCAAUAUAGGACCAGGUCUUGGCGGAAGAGUCAGAUUGGAGUAGCACAAAGGAAAUCUCCAAUUGGGUACUAGUACAAUUGGCUCAUCAACUGCUCUAAACACCAGGUCCCACAAGCAAUCGAAAUGGAAUUAUCAAUUGGAUCGGAUGGUAGCACAUCGUUUUCGAUUCAUGAAGGAAAAAAAUCGCUCGGCUGCUUGUUUUUUCCCGGAAGUCCUUAUAUGUGUAUGGACAAUGGGCAUACUAUAUAGUAUCAGAUUUGCUCAACCUAUUUUUAUUGACUUCGUACCAGUGAGGUAUAUAAAUAGAUGACUAAGGUAUAAUUAUACUGAAGGGACUACUGAUCCCAGAGACCCCUAUCUUUCGUUAGCAUCCACUACAGAUUACAGAGGCUUUCAGAAAGUAUUGAUUUUCCAAAAGUUGCUGUAAGGAUUCAAUAGUUAGUGCACAAUAUCAGAAGCCAUUGAUGUUUUGCGAUUUUCAUGUUAGGUUCAGACUUGUUAGCGGUUUUCUGAAAUUUUUGAAAUAGGUUCCAAUAAUCGUUCCCAUCAUUCAUAAAUAAUGGUGAGGGGGUAGUAAACACACUUAUAUCAUAUAUAUAAAGCAUCUAUUUAACUUUACUAAAAUACAUGAACACGAUUUUCUUUCGGUGUUCUAAAGGAGAUAACUCUAAAUGUUCUUGUUCAUACUAAGAAAAUAUAAAGAGGAAGAGAGGAAACCCUCUAGAUUCUAGAAUUUUUAUUGCGUUUUUUUUGCACUAUGUUCACAAAAGAAAAGGAUAUUUUUCAUAUUAUCUCGGUUGUCUACUAAACAAUUAGAGAUCGCUUUCUUUUGACCUCAGCUUAUACUAAAGCAGAUUGUUCCUUUGACCCCUUCAGCUCACGCUGCUGCUUUCUUACCACCCCACUCGUUUGCAACAUGUGUCUACCGAUUGAGGCUACCUGGUCAGACUGUAGCCAGUACACGUCAAGUUUAAAGACGAGAACCACUGAUCCCGUCUAUGUACAGCACUAGUUGACGUUCUUCUCUAACCAGAGGCCAGCAGCUUAAGAGCUCUGCAUUUCCCGUCGUUGCAGCGUGCAUCUUCAAUUUCUUCCAUUUGUUUUCCCUUUUGCGAGUGCCCAGCCAUGUCAGGCCUGGAUGACUCCGCCGCAGCUCCUCCUCAACCUCAAGGCUGCUGCUGCGCCUGUGCCUCUGCGUUGUGGAAGAUAGUGAAGGUCAUUUUACAUGUAGCCAUUGUGCUCACCUUACUCGUUCUGAUCACUCCUGGAAUUUUUCAUAGCUUCGGUACAACGAUCGCUCUUCAAUCAGUGUCCUACGCUAUCCUUGCUUGCCUAUACAUCUGCACCGCGUCCGAUCGGGCGGAGAGGAUUGUCUCCGGCGUAUUUCUUGGUAUCCUUGCUGUCGUGAUCCUCGCGGCAGCUCCCAGUGUGAAGGGAAGGAGGACUGCUCCCGUGGAAUCCAAGUCCCCUCCCGUGCAUGUCAUGUACUACUGCGACCUCGUGGCUCUGUUGGUAUACUGCAUCUGGAAGAUUUGCAGACUCGUGCAGGCCUGUCUCCGGCGCCUCCGUGUUAGUGGCAAAGCUCCAGUUCCUGAUCCGGAGGCGCCACUUGCGACGACGCUGAUGAAAUCGGAAGCAGCCUGCACUGCUCCCGUGCAGCUCCUCAUCGAGGACCUGCCGCGGAAGUUCUCGUACGACGAGAUCCGGGCCGUGACCGGGGACUUCGGGGACGUGGUUGGGCGCGGCGGCUCCGCCGAGGUGUUCCGAGGCGUCCUCGACGACGGCACGGCGGUCGCCGUCAAGCGGAUGACCAGCUACAAGCCGGUCGGCGAGGAGGACUUCCUGAGGGAGAUCUCCAUCGUGGCGAACGUGCACCAGCGCAGCCUGGUGCGGCUCCUGGGGUACUGCCUGCUGCAAGGUGGGCCGGGCGAGGCCCACGGGCAGUACCUGGUCUACCCGUUCUUCGAGAACGGGUCGCUGGACUGGUGGCUCUUCGGCGGCGAGGAGCGGCGGCGCCUCUUGCCGUGGCCGGCGCGGCGGCGCAUCGCCGUCGACGUCGCCAGGGCGCUCGCGUACCUCCACCACGAGUGCCACCGCCAGAUCCUGCACCUGGACAUCAAGCCGGCUAACAUCCUCCUCGACGGCGGCCUCCGGGCACACGUGUCGGACUUCGGCAUCUCCAUGUCCAUCGCCCAGGACAUGACCAGCGUCGACACCUGCGGGAGGGGCACGCCCGGGUACAUGGCGCCCGAGAUCUGGUUCAGCUCGCUGUCCGCCAAGUCCGACGUGUACAGCUACGGCAUGACUCUCCUCGAGCUCGUCGGCGGGCGCAGGGGAUACCAGGCCGGCAGGGACUCGUCCGAGACGCCGGACCUGUUGGCGCGCGUCGUGCGGGAGAAGAUGGAGCGGGGCAAGCUCAUGGAGGUGGUGGACGCGGCCAUGGCGAACGUGGACGAGGGAGAGGUGGAGGCGGUGGUGAGGGUGGCGCUCUGCUGCGUCCAGCACCAGCGGGAGCUCAGGCCCAGCAUGGUAACGGUUGUGGAAAUGCUCGAAGGGCGUGUCGCCGCCGAUCUGCCGCCGGAGAGCAGUCCGUUGCCCGCCGUGGAGUUCACGGAGCCUCUUUCCUCGCCAGGCGCGCAAAACGGUGGCACUAGCAAUAAGGUCCCUUCAUUUCAAUAGUUUGUAUUUCGAAAUUUCACUUCAAAUGGAGUAAUUCUUUUAACACAAAUUGAGCUUGACUCUACGGGUUCCAUCUUUCUUUUUUAGGAGUUCCUAACCGUUUAAGUGAAAACAUGUUUGUCUGUCACACCAAGCAACGUGUUCGUUCGUAUGGCAGCCAGUAUCUAUAUAUAGUCUAAGAAAACGGAAUUCGGCCCUUGGGCCUCAAAUGGGCAGAAGUUCUUUUUACAAGGCAUAUAGAUACUGGCAGGAAAAUGUGGGUGCCAAUUUCUGACGUUGGUCAAUAAUGGUUUGAACUAACACUAUUCACGUCCACUCUCCAUCAAUCGGCCGACAGGUACAACCUAAACAAGCGAAAAAAACUUUCACGAACCCAGCAAACUUAAAACAAGCAACAGACUAAACAUGCGAAUCUCGCAAUGGCACAGAACAAAUCGGCUUACUACAGGUUAUACUAGGCUAUGCUUACCAUGACUCCAUGAGGAUGCAAAAUUAGCAGUUUUAUUUUUGAGAGAGAGCUCGACGAGUCAAUGCCACAAAAAUCUACAACGUUGCCGAGUUCUCCAAGGCUCUUAUUUCUUUUUAGCGGGACAAGUUAGCAGCAAUAAGUUGUAAACAUGCAAACAGUUGCAGAUUUAACAAGUGCUAGUUCACGGAAGCUCAAUACAAGCAUACACAACCCACUCACUGAAAAUGGAGGUCUUCACGUUUCUCCUAGGUAAGCACCAGUUUCUGUUAUAGCACUACUGAGGUAAUCAGUGGCGCAUCAUGUUUGGUCUCAGAUGCAUACUAGCAUAUAAUAUAUGCAAGAACUACUUUCCGCUCUAUUCACCACCUGUAGACCACAGUGUGCAAAAAUUAUGCAUGAAAACAAGAUUACUUCGACAUCACAGAAUUAACACAGAAUUAAGCCAACCUUCGUUUUUUGUGACCAUUCCUCCUGAGUUCCUGAUCCCCCAAAGUAUUUUAGGAUCAAAACACUCAAUUCCGAACAUACAACAGGUAGCAAGACACCACCAUCAAUACAAAAGGCAACUUUACCACAAAGGGUAUCCAAUGAAAACCCCCAAUAUAUAUAGAAGAUCUGUAGUAACUAUGACAAGGUGCCUUGAAGUCCAGUCCAAGCCACCAGCAUUUGGGACUAAGGCAUGACCAAUGCUAGGAGCAGAAAGCAGCUUGAUCAACACAAUAGGCUAUUGAUGUAAAACCAGGCAUCGCCUUUAGCUUUUGGGGCUUGGUCCUUCAGUUUGACCAUGCUCAUGGUUCCUGCAAUCGAAAAGGGUAAACAUUAUGUUCCAAGAUAAAGACUAAAACAAAAGCUUUUGAUGCCAGCAUAUGCCUUGUAUACUUCAAUGAAGACAUUAGAACAUCGUCCUCACCAUCUAAAAUAUAAGACCAUAAACAUGUGCUUCGUAUUCACUAGCCCCUUUUAAUCAAUUAAAACAAAUCGAAUUUGAAUAUCAAAAGCCAAGUUAACUAGAUUAAUUAGCUCAGAUCUCUCAAGUCAGUAAGCAGAUAGCAUGACCCGACAAGUUUGAGCAACUAAAAGACAAGAUAAAAAUUUGGAUGCUCUUUAAAAAGGUUAUGCCUCAUAUACUCCAAUGCAUUAUACACCUACGCCCUAACUUUGGCUGUACAUGUGACGUCCAUAUUAGUAUCUGCUUCAUCUACUUAAAUCAGGAAGCAUAUAACACAAUGUCAUAAAUUCUGAGCAGAAAAUGAGAGACUAAAUUCAAGCCUAGUAUUUUGAUGAGAAAUCACUAAUACAUUAAACACUCCCUAUGAAUAAUUACUCCAGAAACUCCCUAUGUGCAUGUUUAAAAGCUCAGGAAAAGAGAAAGUAUACUCUGCUAUUGAUACAACAAAUUUAAAGUUAAUUUAAUUCACACAACCAAAAUAAAAGCAUGCCACUUAGACAUUCUUAUUACUUGCUAUCACAACUACUUUGUACACAUAAGCACUGAGAAAGACCAAACAGCAAUUCUCGAGAACAUCAACAAAAACUGAGUCUGAGACAUGAGAUCGAAUUGGUGCCUCGGACAUGUAAUAAGUAAGCAACAGAUAGUACAAACAAUGCCCUUGGCUACAAAAUGUAACUAAUUAGGAGUCUAGGAGAAUUGGAAAAACAAUGAAGCAUCAGAUAAUAUGUGAGAUGAAGCUUCAGAUAAUAAGCGAGAUGAAGCAUCAGAUGAUAUGCAAGAUGGAUACUGCUACACCAAUACAACUUUGGAGAAAAGGGCUCAGAAAACAUGUGGUAGCAUUAGCAUAAACUGUGAUAGAACAUUUGGCAAAGGAAACUAUAUCCCCUGCAUGUAUCUUCAAUUGCUUAAAAAGAAGUUGAUGACAUGCUAUGCAUCCUUGGAAAAAGAAAACAAUACAUAUGUUUCUCAAAUUGGCCGGCCCUGAUCACAGUUUCUUUAAAUAGUAACCAAUCAAUACUCUUUAGAGAUCAGAGAAUACAAAAGAAACACAUAAAACAGUGUGCUUCCAUAGACCAGCCAACUUGGAAAGGAACCAGAAUCUCUUUUCCUACAUACAGUAAGUCGUGAAAAGAGAGAAAAUUAAAACUUCAAUAAGGGUUGUCAUAAGACAUAAGAUACAACACCCCCAAUUUGGUACUUUGGCAGACCUAAUGGUAUUAUACACAACCAUUAAAUGUUAUAUAUGAUAUAAAUUUUCUGAAAAACAAAAGAUAAUAAGGUCCUAAACAACCAACAACAGCUCUAAAUAACAUGCAGUUCUCAAGAUGUGUUUGUAGUUCAAUUUGAACAGCACAAGAACAGGGGGAUACAGUCAAUCAGUACCCUCUAUAUUCAUUCCAGGAUUGAUAAAGUGAUAGCCACCCAAAUCUAGGCUAUAACUUCUUUUACCCUAAAAAUGAUUAAAAUCCAUUCUGUUCAAUUAUAUAGAACAAUUACGAUGGUGAACUAAUCAAGACAGCGAACCACUUUACUAGAAUAACACCAAUGCUUGGAUGGAAGGUAAACGGACAUGUUUGACAACCAAUAAAAGGAUACAAUCACAGAUAAGCAUAGAAGCCAAUAUUGUUCUACAGUUUAUUAAUUGGUGCAGUUUUGUUUUGGCACCUAAUUGUGCAGGAAUUUUACUGUACUUGUACCAUUGCAUGGAUUCAGGCUAGUUUAUGCAACAACCAAAAUGGCCAGAUAGUUUCGAGAUGGCAUUGCUCACAAUAGCAUCAAAUCAGCCAGCCAAUGCCUCUUGAGCAUGAUACUAUCUAGCCUGAGCAAACUCAUUUAUCACACCCUUUCAGCCUGUGUAUCUUCAGCGAAGCGUGACAUAGGAUAGUGAACAAAAAGAAUCCAUCAUAAAGCACAAGUGCUUUGGGUGACAUUAAGAAAACUCAGAUCAUCAUAUUCUACAAUGUACCUCUAAUAGGUGUGACUCCUGUCCAGUCACCCUUAUCAUCUAUGGCUUGUUUGGAGCAAGUUGUAUGCAACAUAACACAUUAAAGAAAACCACAUACAACUAAGAAUUUUCUGUUCCAUAGCUCAGAAGACACAUAAGCAUGGUUGGAGGGCCAUAAUAAAACAGCUGAUCCAUUUUUCCUAAGCAGUACAAUGGACAAUAUGCUACAAUCCCAACCCAACUGCAGCAAGGGUUGUCUGGAUCCACACAACCAAAAAUUUCCAAGCUCGAGUUCAUGUAAUUUAGAUGGACUGCAGCUAAUCAUUGACUAUCAAGGCACCAACCAGAAUUCAAUAGAUAAAAUCCUAGAUAGCAUUGUACGUAGAUGAACGUAGUACAGUUCUAAAAUUCCCGAAACACUCAACUAACUAUUGUAAAUCCAGAGUUUUUCACAAUGAAGGACAAUCUUUCGUGCAGCUACAUCAUCGAAAUCUGAUCAAUCAUUCAUGCAACAUUGUAUCCUGGAAGUAUGUCACAGACAGCCAUCAUGGCUGACUGGCAUUGGGAAAAGAUUGCAUUUUGGGGAAAUUUGCUAAGAUUGCUGAAUUAUAAAUGCAAUUCAUGGUCUCCAUGUGCGCAAAAUGAUGCUAAAGCACGCAAUUAAAGAAUACCAGACCGGCAUAGCCACAAACAUUACCUGCAUUCGGGGCUCGGGGCAACCACGUCCGAAUCAGCGGCGCGAUGCUUGGCAACCACUCGGUCAAGCUCAUCCAGCGUCGCGGCAUCCGCCUUGCCCAGAUCAACCUCGAGUUUCCCCCUCUUCUCCAGCUGGCACGCACCCCGCUCCUUCAGGAACCCGGCCACGGUCCGCUGCGCGGCAACCGGCAGCCCCUUCAGGUCGUCUCUGAACUUCAGCUUGCGCUCGGCGUCCGUCGGCGGUGGGGGCGGGAGCUCUGCUUGGAUGGAGGCCCAGCCGUCCUCGAAGAUCCCGGAGAGCUCGUCGGCGCUCUCGUACACGGGGUCGCCCGGGUUGUUGUAGGACUUGGCGUUGCUGAACGUCAGGCGGACGUCGGCGGCGAACGCGGGCGGGUCGGCGUAGCGGCGGCGCUCGAGGCGGCGGAGCACGGUGCCGAGGUCCAUGGGGUCGGCGAUGACGGUGUAGUAGUCGCGGAGGCGGAGGGCGCGCGCGUCCACGGGGGCCGCGAAUAUCCAGCCGUCCUCGUCCCGCAGCAGGCGGUCCAGGAGCGCGCGGCAGCGCCCGAACGCGCGGCUGAGAUCGCGGCAGCGGCCCGCGCCGCCUCCGGAAGACGGGGCGUCCGUGUCCGCCGCCGCCCGCUGCCGCGGGUGCCUGGACUCGUCGAAAGAGUCAGGCGGCGGGCGCUUCAUGUUUGGGCGAGGGAGAUUUCCUCGGCCGCCUCCCGGCUCUAACUCUACCGGAGCUCCCCCCGCGCCGCCUCCAGAAGACGGAGCGUCCGUCCGCCGCCGCAGGUGCCUGGACUCGUCGAAAAAUCCAGGCGGCGGGCGCUUGGGGCGCGACACCGGCGGGUUUUGCGGUUUCAUGCUUGGGCGAGGUAGAAUUCCUCGGCCGGCUCCCGACUCUAACCCUACCGGAGCUCCCCCCGCGCCGCCUCCGGAAGACGGAGCGUCCGUCCGCCGCCGCGGGUGGCUGGACUCGUCGAAAAAGCCAGGCGGCGGGCGCGUUGAGCGCGGCAUCGGUGGGUUUUGGGCGUUUCAAGUUUGGGGGAAGGAGAAUUUCACGGCCGACUCCCGAGUCUAACCCUACCGGACGCGGAACAUCUGGCCGAAGGGGCAACCGGGCAAGUUCUACCGCCUUACCGAGAGCUUAUCUGGCACGCAGCACGCUGAUUGGUAACUUACUGCAUCGCCAGGUUUGACUUAUUUCUACAUUUUGUGAUCAAUUAUUUACUGUUCACACAAGGAUGCAAUUCCUCCGAAUUGGAUAUCAUUAUACACUAAACGCUUCCAACUUUAGAUGACUAAAAUUUCGAAAUGGUCCAGUCAACGGUGUGGAAAUGAUGCCGGAGACGAAGAGAAGUUUGAAACAAAGGUACCACCGACUAGUUAUAACCUAUAUUGAGUAACUACCUGUAACUAUAUAUUGCAUCAUUUACAAAUAAAUAAAUGCAGAGCCAGUUAUCAUAGGGGAUGCCUUCCUUCUCCUCCACCACCUUCACCUUUUGUACUUAUUCCUUCUCGUCUCCUUUUAUAUCUUGCUCCGAAGGAGUUUCCAGUUUGGAUUGGGAUCGGGUGUUGGAGUAAGCGACGAUUCGAAGUUGUGUGAAGAUAUUUAUUUCAAAUUUUGACUACAUAAAAAUGCAUUUUUUAUGUUGAAUUUGAAUAUUUGAAAGUGAUAUGAGUGUAUUUAUCUUGAAAAUUUGUUUUAUAACAGAAUAGAUUUGCUAUAUAUAUUAUGAUAAAAUGUAGUAAUCAGAGUUUAAGAUUAACAAUAAAUUCAGAAAACUUUAAAACAUCAUUUAUAUUUCUGAAAGGAGGGGUACUUGCUACUUCUCCCUCCUAUUCCUAUCCGGUCGUCAAUUUGACCUACACGAAAGGAUGCACAAGAUCCAUCAUGAAAUAUACUCUUGUAAUAUAAAACCUUUUCUAUUCACGAUAUUAUUUUUUUAUAGAAAUUGCAAGUGAAAGUGUUACGCAGGAGACCCGUCAACGUUUUAAACGAGGUAGAAUAAGAUAGAGUACUCCAUAUUGAGAUUCAAGACGGUCUUUACGCAGGUUGUGCUUCGCGUAAAAGAGGAAUGGAAGCAACCAAUGUUAGAAUGGUUAGAGCAUAUUUUGUAAUCUUUAUGAUUUUCCUCCUCUCUUUUUUUGUUUCUUGAACUGUACUGGACAAUUUGUUUGUUUUUCUUCUCUUAUACAUAAUAUAUAACCAGCAGGGGACUUUCCCCUCCUGUUUCAUCAAAAAAAAUAAGAUAGAGUACUAUUUUGACUAACGUAAAUUUUAACAUGUCAAUCUCUCGAUGAUAGAUGUUAGUAUUCCCUCUUCGCAUAUUCUUUGACUUCUCCACCGGUGCUUGUGGCUUGGGACUUCACCACGAUGCUUGGACCCGCGGUGGGGUAGUGACUUCAGCAUGCGGAUCGCAACCGACAGCUCUCCAAUUUGAAACUUUCUGCUACUCAGAUCAUACAAGCUCAAUGAUGCAAGGUCACCAAUCAAAGAUGGAAUAUCUCCGAUCAGAACCAUUAUUAGUCCCGCUAAUGGCCCAAUGUAGUAAUGUGCAGAGUCUUCGGAUGUUUCAGGUUGCCGAUAUUUUUUUGGAUUGCUAUACUACAUUCGAGUGAAAAUCAGCUCCUCCACACCUAAUUUUUUCCUCUUCCACCACCUUCCCUUCUUCUUCACCUCCGGCGAGAUCCGGUGAGCUUCUUAGGGUUCGAGGUUUGGGGUUUUGGGUUACUUGUGUCUAGCGGACCUAGAAGGAGGUCCGGGGUGGCAGGGAAGCGGGUGGUGGUGGCGGUCGAGACGGCGGCGAGGCGGGGCGCCCGCCGAGGCGGCGGUGGAUCCCUGGUUGGAUGGUGGAUGGGCGGGGGCAAGCACUGGCGUUGACUUGUGCGAACGGGUGGUCGAGAUGGCGGCGGGGGUGAACGGCGGCUCUUGGAGAGAACAGCGAGGAAAGGGAAGGAGGAGGGAGGGGCGGUGGAGGAAGGCGGGCCACGCCGUCGCCGGGGGACGGUGCCGGAGACCGCGUGAGUGAAUAAGGAAGGGGGUGGGAGGGGAGGUAAAAGGAUGGAUGGGUUGAUUUGAGCCGUUCAUUUUAGAUUCAAUGGCCAGAAAUUCAAGUGUGACAGAAGAAAAAAAAGCUCGUGUGCACAGUAGACAGCUCCUAUUUUUUUCAGACUCAGAACCUCCAAGGAGCUACCGGCAAGCUGCCGAGUGUCGACGAGGUUGGAGUUGAACGACACGUCUAGGAGGAGGGGCACGCCGACACGGACAUGAAUCUACUGCUUGUCCAGGCAGCCUGACUUGACACCAUUUUGCCCGAAGUACAAGAAGCUAGACACACAGGAAGGGAGCAGGGGUUCACCGUGGACGGCGAAAUUGGCCGGCAGAUCUCUUUGUGCUAGCAGUGAGUUGGAGCGUGCUGGCUGGAGGAUGAAGAUGCCAAUACGCCGCGACUCCCACGAGGCCACAACGAGAUAAAAGGAGAUGAAGGCCAGAAUCGAUGAAUGGCGACCGGGAGACCUCGCUCAUCGCCGCAUGAUUAUUGCCUCCACGAGCGGCAAGUCUCUGCUGCUGUUGCUGUGUGCCUGUGCCUGGAUGAGUUCUGAAGCGCCGACGAGCAAUAAAGACGGACAAUUCAAUGUGUGCGAGAGCGAGAGAAAGAGAUGAGAGCACUGAGAGACAUGGGGCGAGCUUUUUCACACCACCAGCACACGUCGAGCUCAGCGCCUGUCAACAUACAACAAAGCAGAGCAGAGGAGUUGCUGGAGGUGAGGAGAAUUAGAGAGGAGGAAUUGACAUUGCGGCAAAGUGCACAAAAAUUCAACUCAUUUGCCCUCCUUAAUCACCCUAAUUAAAUUAGCUAACCUGUUCCAAAUUUCUUAAUUCUUGGCAAGUGUGAUAGGUUACAUGGCGGAACAGGCUGGGUCUAACGGAGGAUCCUACGUUGCUUCCGUGUGUUGGAUAAGUAAUAUAGCUUUAAAGCUUAUUAGGUCCAACUUAUAGAUAAAUAAAUUCAACAUUUUAGAAUAUAGAUCCAACAUUUUCGAAAAAGAGGAUGAACAUUUACGGAGAGUGAAUUCGACAUUUUUUAAAAAUGCGUCAACAUUUUAAAAAAUACUAACUUCAACAUUUGGUAUGAGCUGGAGAGAAUUAUUUCAACAUGUCAUAGAACCUAGCUCAACAUUUUGAAAAAAAAAGUCAGCUUUCCUCUCCGAUGGCGGCAGUAGGGGCGGCCCGCUGCGGACGGUGCGGUGGGGGUUGGCGGCGAAUGCGGGCCGCGGUGGCUGGCACGGCGACGGUGGAGCACCCAGGCUGCAGGGCUACCUGGAGUGGCGGCGCACGCGACUGUAGCACACGGCCAACGUCGGAGCUCGGCCGCGAGGGCCGACGGUGGGGCCUCGCAGCGCGGGGAGGCGAGGAUGCACCACGAAGGAGGUCCUGCGGUGGGGAUAUUUAACUAUUUGCCAUCCUUACGGAUGACAUCUCUCCAUUUGCCAUCCUUACGGAUGCGCUUACAUAUUUACCAUCCCUCUACAAAUGAAGCAACAUAUUUGCCAUUUUCGCUGACGUGACACGCCAACUCACACGUGCUAGCGUGGAUCGGGGUGGAAAAAGACCAAAACGCCCCUGCCUUAUCCCUAUUAGCUAUCCCUUUCCUCUCUCUCCACCACUAACGUGUGGGACCCACGUCUUGGGGUCAUCUUCAACCUUCGGACACUCGCCAGGGGUCGGUCGGUGCUCGCCCCGUGGCCAGCGCUAGCAGGGGCCGGCCGCCGCCGCUCAUCCCCGUGGCCGGUGCUUGUCGAGGACCGUCCGUGGCCGCUUGUCCCCGUGGCUGGCGUGGCGGCGACGAAGGUGGCGUUGGGGGCGGCUGGUGGUGCUUGUUGUCGGGGAGGCGCUGGCUCAUGGAGUACCAGGGCUCGAGCGCCGGGAGCGUGCCGCGGAGCUCGGGGAUCUCAUCGUAGCUGAACCCGAACCCUAGGUCGGCACAACCCUUGAGCUCCUCGAGGUCAUCGUCCAUCAGGCUGCGGGACCGGCCCACCCCGUCGUCCUGCCUCACGCUGCCGCCGUCCGAGGCGAGCAGGACGGGCCUCGUGUCGCGCCGCCCCGGCCAUGCCGCCUCCGACUGCGCCUCGCGCCACAUGUCCUCCACCUCCGGCUCGUGGGCACCGGGCGCCGCGGCGAUGGUGGCAGCAGAGUGGACGAUCUGCCUGUUGGCACGGCGGCACCGGUGGUUGCGCGGCAGGCGGAGGAGGGAAGCGGCGGGAGGCGGGAACGGUGGAGGGGAUUAUGCGGAGGUGGUGGAUGAGGAGGAAGAUGAGGAUGCAGCGGCAGCGGCGAGCUCGGUGUCGGAACUCCACAUCUCGGGGCGGCGUGUGUGGUCUGCUGCGUCGCGUGGGGAGGGGAGGGGGAGGGAGGUGAGAGAGGUGGGGAGGUGUGAAAUGGUGGCACGGGAGAAAGGGCAGGGACGCUUUAGUCUUUUCCCAUCCCGAUCCACGCUGGCAGGGUGAGUUGGCGCGCCACAUCAACGAAAAUGGCAAAUAUGUUGCUUCGUUUGUAAAGGGACGACAAAUCUGUAGGCGCAUUCGUAAGGAUGGCAAAUGGAGAUGUGCCGUCCGCAGGGAUGGAAAAUAGUUAAAUAUCCUCCGGCGGCGCGGGGAGGUGACGGGGCCUAGCAGAGUGGGGACGUGAGAAGGCGUGGCGGAGGAGGUCCGACGGCGGGGCCCGGUGGGACACGGGGGGCAAGGAGGUUCGCAAGCGCAAGGCUCGACGACGUGGGGAGGCAAGGAGAUCCGGCGGUGGGGAUGGUGAGGAGGCCUGGCGGCGUGGGUGGGAGAUGGAGGCGACGGCGCCACGGCGGGCUCACUAGGGUUGAGGGAGAUGGGCAUGAGAUCCGACGGCUCAGGGUACUCGUACGAAUCUCAAACAAGCCACGUAACGCUUCCGUAAACCAGAUAGGAUUGGCGGGUCUAACGGGCGGCCGGGGUACGGCCCUAAGCUCCCCCCGCGGGCCUCCCAUGUACUAAAAGAGUGUUGCCCCAACGGCCCAACCCUAGCCCCAUUGUUUGCCCCACCCCGCUCACCCCCAGCCGCCGCGCCGCGCUGCUCCCUCCGGCCGCCCCCCUAUUGCCGCCGCCGCCGCCGCUCCCCUCGGCCAAGCUCGAUCGUGGUAGUCGACGGCCCCUCCUCUCCCCUCCCGCCUCCGGCCUCCCUUUCACCACUGGACGCCGGGAUCACUGCCGCGGCCACCCGCACGGCGCAGCGCGUGCCUUUAUUUGUCUCCCCCGUUCCCUUCUCCCUCAGUCUCUCUCCUCACUUGGUCUUCCUUUCCUGGCGGCGACGACUGGGCGAGCGGCGGCGCUAUUCGUUCUCCGCAGGGCCCUAAGCCGGCGCAGAGCACCCACCAGGUACUAAAACAUAUCCACAUAUCGUUUAGUUUUGGAAAAUGCACUAUUCACUUAUCCGUAUCCGUGUUGCGUUUGGCUUUUCGGAUGUGAGUAUUCCCUUAUCGUCUUGGUUUCAAACCUAUACUACAAUAAUGUGAAAAGAUGUAUCCAUGUUUUCUUAUAUGCUUAUGCUGUAGUGCUACAACCUACGGUAGUCGAAGGUCAUAUACAACAUUAUGCAUGCCAUUGAUGUAAACAGUUAUGCUUUGCAGCAGUAGCGAAUAGCAAGGAGUUAGGAGAGAUGGAUAUGCAAGAGAAAACAAUUCCUGCUCAACAAGGAAAGGAAAAGAAAAAAGGAAGUGCAAAGAAAAGAGAGAGAGCAAGGGCGAGGUCAUCAUCUGUUUUGGAUUCUACUAAUGGUGAGACAUGCCCUAUUAAAUUCAGCGCCUGUUUAAAAUUGUAAUUCUUACGACUUUCAUUUACAUCUUCAAUUAACUAGCUUUUUGUAGUACCAUUAUGGGGUUGAAAAAUUGAUAUUUUUUCAUGAACCAACUAUUUUAAAUAUGAAUGAACAGAGUUAAGGGUACUCUUUGUUUUAUAGUUCUUUAAUUAACUUGCUUUUGCAUUUGUUCGGAAAUUUCAGACACAGUCAUCAAUGAGGAAAUGCCAGAGUACAAUCUUGAUGGACCUACUAUUGGGGAAAAACUAGCAACUCUGGAUUUGAUCAAUAGAGAUAAUGAAAGGAAGGACACUGAAGAGCAAACACUGGCUAUGGCACUACCAAGUGCAGAUUCAGUCCAUAUUUUGCUCAAGCAAGCUCUACGUGCUGAUGAUAACAUGUCAUUGCUAACUUGCUUGUACAAUAGAGAUGAAAAGGUAUUCUUUUCUGUGCCAAUAUUCAAAACAUCGAUGCUGUGUUGGUUGUUACUAUCAAAUCUGAGAUCAAUUUCAUACCUGUUGUCACUG